GGCGCAAAGUUCGGUUAAUUACGGAAAGUCCGGAGGACUACUUCGGUUAAUUACGGAUGGUCCUACUUCGGUUAAUUACGGAUGGUCCUACGGAUAAAUCCUCCGGACUACUUCCAUAUGGAUAGUCCUCCGGAUAAAUCCUGCGGACUGCGGACUCCGGACUACUUCCAUAUGGAUAGUCCUCCUUCUAAUGGAUAGUCCUACGGAUAAGAAUCCUCCGGACUGCGGACUCCGGACUCCGGACGUAGGAUAAAUCCUGCGGACUCCGGACUCCGGACGUAGGAUAAAUCCUGCGGACUGCGGACUCCGGACAGGUGACGGGGGUUUUGUUGAGUUUACCUUACGUGUUUUGGACAGACAAAAUAACGAAAAUUGUGAAAGUUGAAGAAGGAUAGAACUCCGAAGGACUCUGUCAUUAAUGGUCCAAGUGUCUUUCAUUCAGUUUCCCUUUUUUUUCGGUAUACUAAGGGGCGGUUCCCUUCCCCUUUUCCCAAUAUUCUAAUUAAUGUAUCAUGAUAGGAAGAACCAUGUAUUUACUUUCUAAAGAGGAAAAUAGUUCCCCUUCGACGAAUACGAAUUAUGGAACUAAUUUGAGAAAAUAUCUGAUUUUGACUCCCGACAAGGUGAAAAGAAUAUUGAAAGUCAGACAAGAGAGAAUUUCCCAAAGACUGCAGGGUCUUUUUAAGUGUUCCGCUAUUGUAAUUGCCAAGGAAAAAGACCAAGAUAAUGCGAACCAUUUGAAUGCAGCCGUAUUGAAUGAGAAUGCCACUCGGUAUAAUGCCGCAAAGCUCAUUAGACAAGCAUUCCCAGAAUGGGAAGGGAUGCUGGGUCGCCUUGAAUAAGGCGUGGGGAUCCCUCUGUAACUAUGUCACGAAGGAGGACAAGAAUCCCUACGUCUGGGGGAAGUUCUCACUCCAACAAGUAAUGUGCGAGGCCCAGGCUUUUACAAAAAAGAGGGCUCUUUGAAAUAGUAGUAUAAAGCAGCCGCCCAUGAAAGUGGAUGCCCUCCUUCAGAGGAGAGGCUCCGAAAGCAUGAGAACAGGCUCGAUGUCCAAAACGAUCCACAGCUGCACAGGCCCCUAUGGACAAAAUAGAAUGUGUUACGCCAGCUAUAGCUAUGGGAGGACGUGCAGAACAAGAAGGCCCGAGAAAGAACUCUCAUGGAGGGAAUUGCACCUUAUCUCUGGGAGCCCGGAUGGGCCCAAGAGUACCAAGAGUACGAGCCGGAAGACUUGGGCGAGAAAGAUUUUCUACUCGACUGGGUGGCAAUCAACCGCUCCGUGGGCGCCCGAAGGCCCCUAAAGACGAGGCAACUUUGAAUUUACGGGGAAUGAGUAGAAAGAAAACCUUUUGAAUAACUAUACUUUCACAAGUGAGAAGGGUCUAGACCAGAAAGGAAAAACGACUAAAAAGGUGCUAACGACUUCUUUGACCUUUGGGUCCUUGACGAGUUUCAAGACCCUAGUCAUAGUCGACAACACGGCACUCCGGACGGGUCCAGGUGACUCAGAAAAUUCCACUAAAAGCCUAACCAUCUACUCAAAUUCUUAGAUGGACAAAAAUGUAGGCUCGACGCUAAAUAUGAUAGGGUCUUUCUCAAGAAGAGAAAGGUACCUAUUAUUCUAAUUGGAAAUGAGCUCCCCUUUCUUUUUCAAUGAAAAGGACGGGCCCGUGGUCGGAAAGGAUUUUUCCCUUAAGGUUCUUCUCUCACCUAAAAGAUCUAGUGGAAGAAAGAGUCAUCGCCACGGAAAUGUAUAGAAAGAAGAGCGGGGAUCCUGGAUUCCAUGGGACAUCCACCCAUUGAUAACAACUUUCUCCAAGUAAAUUCAUUCUAUCUUCCGGAAGAAGAAGAAUGCUUCGACUCUUGGAAUUUGUCAAAUUUUCAUCGAAAAGAAUUCGUCUAUCCUCCAUUCGGAGAGAGAAAGAGGGAAACCCUUUAUCUCCAGAUUUCCGAGGAGAACUUGCAAAAGUCUCGAAUGAACCUCCUGAACCUUGCCCGUCUGCCUCUAUGCAAAAGGAAAGAAAAGCAGGGAAAGUGGAAAACCAGGUACAAUAAAAGGGAAUCCCUCGUUCUUUCAGAAAAAGCAGUAGCUUUACUUGAGGAUGAAAUGCUCUUUCCAAUCCUAAGAGGAAGUUGAAGAACUAGCUUUUGAGUUCUGAAAUCGGGUAGGGGACUACUUUCCCCAAUGAGCUACCCAAGGAAAAAAGGCUGAAUGAAUUGAGUUUCUGAAUUAAGCUACCCCCUCCGUUUUAGAGUCCUUCCUUCCAUAUGGAUGGUCCUACUUCGGUUAAUUACGGAUGGUCCUACGGAUAAAUCACCUGGACCUUUCUUUGAUGGUGCAAAGAUCUAUGGAUAAGGCGCAAAGCAAAGGAUAUUGCGAGACAGGUCCUCAGUCCUAUCCAUAUUAACCUGCGACUGAGGACGGGAUAUUCUUGGGGAUUUGAUGAGAGUAUGAAUCAUAUUAUUUUGGAGGGGGACCACUCCUCAAAUUCAAAGAGCCUUGCCUCCGGUUGUAAUAGUCUUGUAAAUCAUCAAAACCUCCGGGGAGCGCAAGAAAGGAAAAACGAGACCUUUAAUUUCAUAUCUGAGGAAAGGUCAUCCUUGCACUCCUUCCCAGUCGCUUCGCUUCGCGCCUUCUACGCAGUGGAAUCUGUCUCAGUUUCAGUUGCUAAAGUCACUUUUGGUUGAGGAUUCAAUGCUCGACCAGAAGUUUCACUGGUUUACAAAGAUGUGUAAAUUAACUAGAAAUCGCCUAUAGGCGGAAAGAAAAGGCCCAAAAUGGGUUCCAAAUGGAUGAUUCACGAGGGAAAUGCACAUUUGUAAGGUUUCCGCCUAUGCGGAAUGAAAGAAAAGACUCAAAAUCCCGACCUUGGAAGGUUCGAAGAAUCAAUGAACUAUAAAGAAAGCACAAAUCCCCACUCCGCGGAGACCUACGGCAAGGUUAUCAUAUGGACAGUCCUUCGGACUUCGGACGGAAGCAAGUGGUGGAACCGCUACGUGGGAGACCCCAUUCGUGAGGUUUAAUCUCCAUUUUUCAUCUUUUGACCACUGGUCGUAUGAGUCCUUCGCCUUGGAUCUGGCGGGAGAGCCCAUGAUAGAUACCCGAUGAUCCCUAUAUUCAUGACAAAAACUAGGGAUGUUCCACUCAGCACCCUAAAGUUCCACUCUAGCUCCUUGUAAACAAUGAAGAAACCUCCUUUCCCGCAGAGUCAAGUGAUUUUGACUUGAGUAAGUCACUUCAAAACCGUGGGAAAACUGUCCAAAACCUCUGAUUUGACUCCGUAGGCAAGGCACCGGAGCGGCAAGGAAUCUCCUACUACGCCAUCCCAAUACUGUCUUUCCACUUUCAAGGGAUUCCUCCCGUAGGUCCGCCCCACCUCUCCUUGUUUCAGAGUCAGCGGAAUCGCAAUAUUCUUUGCACCUUUCAUUAUCUCUUUUUUAAUUCAUGAACGAUCGAUCCGAUCGAAAGCAAGAAAAAGAGAUCCCACUGGGGCGAUUGAUUCUUCAGAUGCCCCGAAAAUCAAGCUCCAGAUGAGUUGACGAGACCAUAGGAAGAGGGACCUAGUCGAAUGACUCUUUGUCUGGUAUGCUUCCGCAACCUCAUCAGAGGUAUCAACUUUUUCUGAUGACUGAACGGGUAGAACUGCGCGUGUCGAUCCAUGAGAUAGAGCGACGUCAGUCUUCCCUCCCACGGGAAAGAUCCAUGCGCCCUACUUCUUCCUCCGAUUCUGCUAAGCGUACUUCUUUCUUCUUUGAAAGGAGAUUCCGAGGUGAAAAGAAUAUUGAACCGCUACGUGGGCGUAAAAUCAAGCGGAAAUCUUCGAGCAAUAUUCUUUGCUUUUCUAGUGGACCUCGCAUAUUUCAUUGCGCCUUCUCUCCUUUCAGUCGAGCCCUCAGUCCUAUCCAUUAGACUGCACCUCGCAAUAUUCUUUGCGCCUGCGCCUGGACCUUUCUUUGACUAUCGUAGCAAGAGUAGCUGAAGGAUCAAUGAAAUUUGAUGAUUGAUGCCAUAAAGGAAAAGUCCAAGGAUUUAGUUAUCGAUGUUCUCGGAAGAAUAUUGCGGAGUGAAUUUAAGGAAGACGAAGUUCGAGCAAUCCGAACGGAAGAAAAGGUCAAUGGAAGUCCUGGAGCCUCCGGAGUGCUCCUUAUCUCUAUGGUACUAGUAAGAGAAAAGACCCGUCCUUUUUCUUUAUCAAGCUUAACCUUUGUAAUAGGUUGAAUAGUCAGCUGGUCCGAAGGCGCCAUAAGACAGGUCCGAAGGCGCAAUGAAAUAUGCGUUGAGAAUUUGAGAGAAAGAAAGAUUAGACUUUCCAGUUCUUCCCGCUCCGUGGGCCCUUCGUUAAUUACGGAAAGUCCUCCUUCCUUCCAUAUGGAUGGUCCUACUUCUGUUAAUUACGGAUGGUCCUACUUCGGUUAAUUACGGAUGGUCCUACGGAUAAAUCACCUGGACCUUUCUUUGGCCCUGCGGACGUAGGACUACUUCGGUUAAUUACGGAUGGUCCUACGGAUAAAUCACCUGGACCUUUCUUUGGCCCUGCGGACGUAGGACCCUGGACCUUUCUUUGGCACGUAGGACAGCUCAUUAACGAUAAUGAAAGAAGAAAAAAAUGGGAAUGAAAAAGAAAGAGGUGAAUAUGGGAGAUUUCAGACAUCGAUUUUAGUCUUUUUGACGGAGUGAAUUCCAUGAUUUUGCUAGGUUUUGCCCAUAGGAAGUAGCAAGAAAAGACAAAAAAUCAGUCAAAAUUGAUCUAUUUUCGUUAAAUAUCAAUAUGAGAAAAAGUCCUAUUUAGAAGCAAAAAAGCCGGGAAAACGCAAUGAAAGAAGAACUCCUAGGACAGGGAAAAGAAAUGAACAGAGUUUGAUUAUGGUUUCUGGUCCGGAGAAAUACGGGUCUAUUCUUUGAUCCUUCUAAUGGAUAGUCCUCCUUCCCUCCAUAUGGAUGGUCCUACGGAUAAAUCACCUGGACCUUUCUUUGGCCCUGCGGACUCCGGACCCUGGACCUUUCUUUGGCCCUGCGGACUCCGGACUACGGACUACGGACUUUCGGUAAUUAACCGAACUUUGCACAAGGCUUCCGCUUAAAUGUCUUUCGAAACUCAUAUAUAUCCUGGUGGGAGCUUCCUUUUCUCAUUCUCGAUUUGAAUUGGACUUUAGUAGGUCGAGCCACUAUUUUUCCUUGCUGGGGAUGAAACUGAAAGGGAUGAGUUUGCUCUUGGUCACCUCGUAGAUUAGCCGCUCAUUAAUAUGAAGAGAAGAAGCGAGAAAGGUUCGCCACUAUUCAAAACCGUUAAGGUCUGAUCGAGAAGCUCUUAUCCAGAGAUGUCUUUCCAAAAGCAGCUAUCUAGGGAAAUGAGAGAGAUAAAGAAUGAGUUUAGACGAACGAGGCCUAGCCUAAGACAUAAGAACAAAAAAAGCUUUGUAGAGAGACUCUAAUUCUUUGAGCCUCUUAGCGGAAUUAGACCGAGCCCUUGCUGCUACCUUGGCUUGGAAGCUAGGGUGCGCGGGGCGAAGCGGUAUUUCCCCGGUGGAACGAGAGAAAGGAAUGAUCGAGAUCAGGAUCGGCAUCACCUGGAAAGGAAAGGGUCUCCACCGGAGCAAGAGCGAGACUUGUAGAGAAGGAAGAGAGUGUCCCCUCAUUGAGAUCUUGCUAAGGCAGAGGAAGAAGGAGAAGUUGAAGAACUAGCUUAGAUUAUAGAUCAGCCUGUGACACAAUGACUGAAAUCUCUCAGCAGGCUUCGUCGUGCCCUAAUUCCCCAGACGCCCUACCCUCCCUGGACCUGAAAGAGAGAGCGCCAAUUCCUUCCACCGAUUUCCCACUACGCGGUUGAGGCAAUCCCCCUAUCGUUCAGGCAGAGCUUUUCUACCUGUGCGGAAAGGAGGCAAUUCAGGUUUCCUUUCGUCCACAGGGUGAAGGGGCAUAGGCGCAUAGGGCCAUAGACCGAAAUGGUUAAAGAACAUUUCUUUCGUGAAUGAAGAAAGCUUUCUUUAUCCUUAUGCCACAUCUCACUGAGAAAAUCAGUCAAAUGAGUCCUUCUCACCCAGCCGGGCUAAAGCACGAACCCUCAAAGACUUUACCACUUCCAUCCAUAAAUAGGGGAAUGAGCCCAACUGAGUCCGCUCGAGCCCUUGUUUUGACUCCUCUCAAAUCCCCCGUCCUCAGUCCUAUCCAUAUUAACCUGUGACGCAUCUGGACCCCUUAUAAUUGGAUUGCGCCUUUCUUUUUUUCUUUAUAAAGCUUAGUUCAUUCUAAUUCUAAAAGGAGAUUUUCAUCAAUCUCAUUUCAAAUCUUCCCCAUGCUAAAUCUCACAUCGGAAAGUCAAGAAGACGGACGAGAGGCGGAAUGAAAUAUGCGUUGACAAGACUGGAAGGCGCAUAUUGCCCAUUAGAGAAUUUGACUUUGGAGGAGAGGCUCAAUUCAAAGUUCAGCGGGAAGAACUGAUCGCAAUAUUCUUUGCACCUCCUUCAGCAUAAUCUAUUCUUUGCGCCUGUCUGUCCUUCGUCCUGGAGCGGUUUAAGACGCCUCAUAUGGAUAAAAACAAGUCGUCCUGGAGCGGUUUAAGAGUCCUAAGUAGCUUAUCUAGACUCGUCCUCCGCGGUUCAAAAUGGAAGGCUCAAAGGAUAUUGAGGCGAUGACAUUCUUUAUUUAGUCGCUCGCAAGAAGGCAAUAUUCAAAGCUCUUUUUUAAGCAGCUGCAAUAAUGAAAGGGAUCAUGACGCAAUAUUCUUUGCGCCUUCUACGCGGUCUCGCUUCUUCUUCGCGACUAAGUUCAGUGCUUUCUUUCAUUCUUCUUCCUUUGAAUGAGAAAAGGGCAAAUGCCAUGUUCAAAGCUUGAUUUUUCUCAUUACACGGGGAAUGAACUAGCCUUUGUUCGCCGACCGCGGUCUGUCUUCUUUAUCCUGAUGUGACUAGAGUCUUUUCAUUAUACAAGCACCGAAGCGCUACGCAUAUUUCAUUGCGCCUCGUUCAAAGCCUUUUUCUAUUUCAAGAAAGAGAGAUAUGAACUUCUCCUUAAAGAACUAGGAGAGAAAAUCGACUUCUGCCGGUCCGUCCUUAGUCGUAGUCUGAAAACCUUUGCCUAUUCCCCCGCUCCGUGGGCUUCAACAAAGGGUACGGAUGAUGAUUCCUUUUUGUUAUUUCCCCUUCUCCUAAUAUAAUAGGGUUAGUCGAGCUUCCGAAUCAGGCAGGUGUCGUGAGCGCCGAUUGGUCGAGGUGACUUGGCUUCCACCGCAUUGAUGACUAAGAAGCUUAGAUGAAAGGCUUAUGUCUUUUUCUGCUGACUUUGAUUUCAUUAUCCAUUCCACCUUCCUUCCAUCCGCAUUCGUCGAUGAGUGGAAUCCCUUUUCGGUAAAAAAACCAGUCGAGCCACUUUCUUUAGCCUUGGCUAGCUCAUAAGGCAUGAAACUAAGCGACUUCUGAAACAAGAAGAGCUACCCUUGAAAUAACCACAGCAACAGGAACAAGAACUGCCACAGCCGAAAGAACUAGGUCCUUCUAACCUCUCCUCUCCAGUCUCGCUUCUUCGAACCAGCGCCGGAACUGAAAUCCUUCGCCCACGGAUCUUUCUCUCGCGCGGGUCUGGCUCUCUCACUAUUAGAAUCUCUUCGUAGACCGGCCGAGACCAGUGGGCAGCGGUCACUUCCAGAGUCAGGAUGAUAUCAGUCAACUCAUCUGGAGCUUUUCAUUGAUCUCUUUCAAAAGAAAACCCUCUUCCUUUCAAAGUAAUAGGUUGAAUAGUGAAAUAGUGGGAUUGAUUUUGAUCCACUAGAAUGAACCGCGUAGGAGGAGGAUCAGAUCAAGGUGAACAAGAUCCCCAUAUUCAUUGGGGCGAAGAGUUUACGUAAAUCAAAGAAAAUGAGCUCAUUAACGAGAAUGAAAGAAGAAAAAAAUGUCUAAUCUUUGCUCAAGAUGACAUUCUUUCUUUUGGUGAUCGAGACCGCGUAGAAGGCGCAUAUUGCGAGAAACUUGAUUUGAGAAUAUUGCGUGAAAGGUCAAAAUAGUAAGGAGCAAAGAAUAUUGCGUGGAAGUGCACUAAUAGGGAAAAGUCAAUCAAAGAAAAGAAGCUCAUUAACGACUACUGGAUAAAGAAGUCCUUCGGACGGAACAUGGGAUCAAGCCUAUUUUCUAGCUUGCUUUGGACGAAUGCUUUCUUUCCUACCCAUUUCGAGGCGAGAUUAGAUUGAGGAGACGGAGUUCUAUUUAGAUAAGAAAAAAGACCUAGAGGGAGAGAAGAGGGAAAGAUGGAAAAACCCACUACGCGCCCCCAUGUGAGAUUGAAGUUUGAACGCCAAAUCAGCCAUUUGCUAGUAGGGACAAUCGAAGAUGUAGUAACUUCAGGCCGGUGAACAUGAGGAGCGAGUGAAAAGAGGCUAAAAUGGUUUUAGCAAAGAAGAUGUCUACGAGUCAAAAUCAUCCCCUAUCCUAGUGCGUGCCCCGUCUGUGACCAGACGGACUAUGAAUAUAUCUACUCCGAAAGGGACUAAGUUGCUGGAGGUGUAGAGGAGAGGGACAGAUUUGACCUCUGAUUCCGCUGACUCUGAAAGAAGGACUGGUGGGGACUUUCUUCUAUUCGCUCGUGAACUCGACCGCUUCCUGAACUCUUGAAAGGAAUUGAAGGACGGGUUCAAACUACGAACCGGACCGACCCGGCCGCUGCCUCUUCUUCUCUCGAUCCUAUCUGAGCCCACUGGGUCUCGCGACUCAAAUCCCCACUUUCCCACGGUUUUGAAGUGACUUAUGAAAGUAUGAAUCACGAGACUCUGCGGGAAGAGGAUUCUCACUCCUUCUUCUUCCCUCGCUUUCUCUUUCAUCUCUUGCAUCCACGCUUGGGCACGAAGGAAUCGGAAGACCUUCGUUAUAUAAUUAAUAAAAAAAGCAAAGUCUUCCCAUUCCCCAUUCAAUCAUCCCACUGUGGUAGGAGCCGGAGAGCAUAACUUAAAGAGAAAGCAGAAGCCUCACAGGGGACGCGAAGAGUAGGGCAUUCCCUGAAUUAGCUAGCAAGGUCACAUCCAUCGAGUAAAGAUGAACCGUCCGGAGGACUAAGAAAUCCAUAUGAGCCUUGAUUUAUUCCUUUUUAGAUCAAGAUUUUCAGUCCUAUCAUGCACAAUCUGAGGUAUUUUUCGGGUAUUAGACUGAUUUGGGAGAUGCAAGCUCAACCCACGGAGCGGUAGAUUCCCCUUACCCUACUUAUGUAUCAAUCUGCCGAAAGCGAGAAGUCUUCUCUUAUUGGGUUUCUUCUGCAAAGUUCAGAAGUAGAAGGGCUCGAAUAUAAUAUUGAGUCUUUUUUUUUCCUAUUUAUGUGAGGGGAAAUCUUUCAAUUAUUUCCGUAAAUAAUCCCCUCCGGUCCAGCUCUUCAUGGAAGUCGAGAGUGAAUCUUGAAGUGCGCGGGCAAUGCCGCUCAGUCUUAAAGUGGAAUCUUUUCGGAUGGGCUUCUUCUUCGUAUGACUCGGUAGCCAUAGCCCCAGGACGAAUACGAAUACAACCAGAGUCAGAUCUUGAACUUGAGACUUAAUAGAAAGGGAUAGAAAGAAGAAUGAACUAUUCACGGUGCCCACGUAGCGUCCAAGAAGAUUUUAGUUCCUGAAGAGCAAUAAGAAAAAGCAAAGCGGUGGCACUAUCAAAAGGACCCGUAGGCAAGGCUCCAUAAGACGGGGAUAUUGUGGACCCCUCGGACCCAGUUCCUUUGUUUAUAGUCAUAGUCUUUGAAUCGAUGUCUUAAGCAAAUGUAAAUGAAAGAAGAAGAAAGUUCAACGAAAGCCAGCGCUGAUUAUUGCGGACUCCUUCACAUCUUAUUCCUCGGAGGCUUUUAGGAUUUCUUAUCUUUUCUCGACUUUCUAUAUUUCAAGAGGGCGGGGAUUUGAAUCAAAAUCUUCCAUGAAGCAUAGGGCUUCAAAAUCAAACAAAGAGAUUCUCACUAAGAAAUCUUCGAUUUACCCACUACUUCAAUCUGAUUUCAUAUUUUCCUUUGUAUGAGAAAAUGAAACUUGGUCUUUUCCUCAUGCAAGAAUUCAGUACAAAAGCAGAAUCGGAAUACAAGGCUCAGCGAGGCCUCGGACGAAUGAAUCUUUUCUCUUUAUCUCUUUCCCAAGUGGCUUUCUUGAAUCCGUGCCUGCUUCGGCAUAGCCGCCCGAUAAAGCAGAUAGAGGCAAGUCCUCCGAAACCUUUUUGAAAGAAAGAGAGGGGCGCAGAGACUCGACCGUAGGGAGAGGGGCGAAGCCGAGAAUGAAACUGAAAGAGAGAGAUCUCACAAGAAGAAUUGAACUUCUUCAUGGGAUUCCCUUUAAAAGAAUGAAAGACAAAGAGAGAUUCAACAAGAUCGAAGAAGGAAAGAAAGAGAGAUCAUGAAAUCGUAAACUCAUGAAAGAAGAUAAGAGUUCAAAGAGUUCGAUCCAAGAAUUCGAAAGACUUCUCUCUCUCUAUGUUCUUGACUUCGUUCUUUAAUUCAAGAUCUGUAGAAUGUGAAAGAUGAAUAUUCUUUACUUGACUUCCUUCUUUACAUCGAAGACUUCUAAAUCUUAAUUCAAGAUCUCAUUCAUGACUUCGGAAAGAAGAAUGAAAGAUCCAAAUGAAAAAACCUUCUCCGCCUCUGAAAGAAGAAAGCCGUCACACAAAGAAAUCAAGAUCAAGCCUAGCCUGAAUGAACAAGGCCUUUCAUUCGAAUGCUCUCUGCUAGGGAAGAAAAAGAAGACAAGACGAGCGCGAAGGGAAGCGCAUUUAUCUCAGAAAAUCAGAGAAAACGACUCAAGAGGCCCAUAUUGCGAGAGGCUCGACCAGAGGUUAUCAGAAAGGAGACCUAGUUCACUCGAAGGAGAGGAGUGCAAGCAGUUGAGAUAAGAAAAAAGACCUAUAAGGACUUUUAGAAAGACUAUUUUCUGACUAUGCGGGAGAGAGAUUUGACCACAAAACCCACUAAAAGGAAUGCUCCUUCUCCGUCCUUCUACGGGGAAAUAGCAUUUCUCUAACGAGAAAUCCUUGUUCUCAUUUGCUUAAGGAGUUUUGGACUACUUCGUCCGCCUCAUCCUAACCACCUUGUGGUAGGAGAAGGAGAACCGCGCCCAGUAUGCCUUCCCCAAAGGAAGGAGGUUUCGGAAGGACUCGACUAGGGUCCGGAACGAUGUAGCCUUUACCUUUAGGCCCCGAAUCGGAAAGGAUAGUUCAAAAAUAAUAUAAUGCCUGAGGACGGUGGGAGUCUUUCGUAUUGAGCUGCGGUUCUUGCUCGGCCUGCUGGGUGUCGGAAGAUUAGGCUAUCAAUGAGAGAAUGUGCCAUCCCUUGUCCCAGUUCUUCUUGUUGAAGCCGUUGGAGCAGCCGAAAGUUUCUAAUUUCAGCAAAGUGAUUUGAAAAAUCAAGGUCAUCUCAACGCAUAUUUCAUUGCACCGCGGAGUGGGGCGCAAGUAAAUCAAAGAAAAGAUGGCGGGUGCAGAUGUGCCAUAAGACAGGUCCGAAGGACAGACAGGCGCAUUGAAGAAUUAUAAGGGGACCAGAUGACGGGGAAUUUUGCGUGAGUUGCGUGAGAAAAGAAAUUAAUUGACUGGAUCUCAUAUGGAUUUCUUAGUCCUCCGGAGACGGUUCAUCUUUCUUUUUUAGUUCCAUUAAUCAGUCCUUCGGACCGGUAAGAGGUGCAAAGAUCUAUGGCCCACUACGGGGGAUAUUGUUCAAAAACAAAGGCUCAUCUUCAACCUUGUUUUUGAUGCGCUCAGGUAUUGCCAUUAGAAAAUUUCAACUUCGAAUUUCUUCUCUACUCAUUCAACUUCGAAUUAAGUUAAGAUCUCCAUUUGAGAAUUCAGAUCUCAGUCUGAGUAUGAGAUCGAUGACGCAUGAGUUCCAUCAAGGUGGUAACAAGAGAAGAGUUCCAGCCAGAGGAAGCAAGGUUUCAGACCAGUCUGAUUUAUGGAACUCAAUCUUUCUGGGAGUCUGAAUGUGGGCUAGUUUCAUGAGUUGGAUCGGAGAGAAGGAGCUGAGUUUACUCAAGGGAGACAUUUAAGCGGAAGCCUUGUGCAAAGAAUAUUGCGGUUCAGUCAGUUAAUAAGGCCCGAAGCGAAGCGACUGCCCACGUAGCGGUAAGGAGCGCAAAUCGACAAAGGAGUCCUUCUCCGUCCGAAGGACCAAACAAAAAUAGAAUGUGCUUCUCAUCUCAACAAGAGAAGAAAGAUCAGAUUUCUCAACUACUUAUUAAGAGAGAGAUCUGAACCUAAUAAAUACUGAAGAAAAGGCUAGAAGCGACUUAAGAGGAGGAACCCACUCAAAUCAAAGUCAGAAGAACCGAAAGCGAAGCGACUGAUCGAUUUCUUGCUAGGAAGAAGGGGAAAGUUCAGUCAGGAGCGGAGCCCCCCCUAGGAGAAGGAGUCCUUUUCAUAGAAAGGAAUCAAAUAGAACUACUCCUCUAUAUUAGAAUAGCGAAUAGUCCUUCGCCUAAUUCCGAAAACAAAAGUAAUAGUAUUCAUCUUUUCAUAGAUCGGUUUUUUAGUUCCUAUUUACUGAAUAUGGCAAUUAUAAGGGGUCCAGAUGCGCGAAGCGAAGCGACGGAUAGAAGGCGCAAAGAAUAUUGCGGUUUGGAGGAGUGCAAGGCGCAAAGAAUAUUGCCCUAUUUAAGGCCUUUGCUUUGGGAUCAUGACUCUCCGCAAUAUGAAAAGCUCCUAACGUCUCCUUUUAUAGCUUUAAUUAAUCAUGACUCGCUACAAUAUCCCUGUCUUAUGGAGCGGUCAAUGAAAUAUGAGAAAGAAUUUGAGAGGCGCAACUUAAGGACAUAGACAUUUGUGGAUUCUUCUUAAUCAGUUCAUUAACGAGAAUGAAAGAAGCUAAAAACAAAAAGAAUCUGCUAGAUUUCAGAUGAAUCCGCGGAGGGAAAUGCUAGGUUUUGGGCUCGACUGAUAAGGAGAGCUGAAAAGAAAUAGUAGCAAGAAAAGACAAAAAAUCAGUCAAAAAAGUACUUUUAUCGUUAAAUAGAAAUCUUCGAAAAAGUCCUAUUUAGAAGCAAAAAAGCCGGGAAAACGCAAUGAAAGAAGAACUCCUAGGACAGGUAAAAUCAAUGUCAGACUUCUAGUUUGAGUUUCUGGUCCGGAGAAAUACAGGUCUAUUCUUCUCAAUAUUCUUUGACCCUCCGUCUUCAAUCUCAAAAUCAAUGAAGGAGUACAAUGAACAUCAUAAGGGGACAGGUGACGGGGAGGCUGAAUUCAUUGAGAUUCUUAAGAAAUUGAUUAGACCACUUUUCUGGAGGGGUCCUACUAUCGUAGCAAGAGUAGCUGAAGUUGAAGUUCAACUUAAGGAUUCCCACGGAGCGGCCAUAAUAUCUAAAAGAAACUUCAGCAUUACUAGUCAGCCUCAUAAUAUAGAAGAUGAAAGUAGCGGAGGAGGAGUUUAUUGAAUCUGAUUUCACCUUCCUCUUCCAAAUCUACACUCAUUCAUUGAUCUAUUUUGAUCUAUAUUAUUCAUUCAAUCUCGCAAUAUGAACCUUCCUCUUCGAUAAUUCUUUGUUCUUUGUUCGCAACUCAUAUUGCAUUGAGCCUCGCAAUAUUCUUUGCGCCUUAACAUCCUUGGUCAACUCUUGGGGCAGUGGAUAGAGCUCGUCCCUAUUUGACUGACGAGGGUAGGGUUAGCUCUUAUGAGAAGUGCAGCUUGUUGACUGCCACAAAGCGGCUUUCCUCAGGCCUUGACUGUGGCGAGGCUACGCCUCUCUCAAGAGAAUCCGUUUUCCCGAAUCAAUGCGCGAAUUUCCUUUCCAUUCUAUCUCUUGGUUGAGAGAAAUGCGCCUGACUCGAUCGGUACCAGGGGCUAGCUAUUGACUUUGAUUCAUAGUAGGAAUAGGAAGAGAGACUCUUUGCAAUUCAGAUGGCUUUCUUCUUUCAUCGCCCCUUUCCCUUUCGCCCAAGGAAUCCUCUUCUUCGGCUCUGAGGCAAGAAGUCAGGGCUAAUUCUCAUCUCAUCCCGGUGACAAGUUGCACAUUCAAAAGUGAGUUCAGUUACUCUUAGCAACUCUUCGCGAACCUAUACUAGCUCCAAGAACUCCUCUCCUUGAAAGACAGGAUGAAUCUUAAGAGCAACUUUCAGUCUUAGCCCUAGCGUGGGUGAGUGGUAAGCGUAGGAGGCGAUAACGAAGGGCAGCGGCAGCAGUGUGUGUGGUUCCAGGUGCCGCCGCCUCAUUGAGAUCCGCAGGGGAGACUGAGAUUCUACUUAUGUAUGGGGUCGUAGGCUUAGUAGGGCUCGAACCUAGAAUAUCACCCUUAUCGUUAUGAGCGGUACCUUGAAAGCAAUGAAACUAUCCGUAUCUCUCUACAUGCAAUUCGCUCACUUCGGUAAGAGCGGACGAGGAGGCCUUUGCUCUCUCCUUUGUCCCAGGAAUGAAUUAAUAGCGAGACCGGAGGGAGAGGAAUGAAAUAGCGAGACCGCCCACGGAGCGGGAGAGGAAUUCUGAAUUGGAUAAAUACAAGAAGCAAGCGGCCCUUUCGCGAAAAAAACUGUCGGUACGCUUUCCGGCUUGCAAUGAUUCAAAGGGGCGGAGGCUCAGAACCUCAAAAUAAUACUGAAAGCCUAUCUUCGCUUUUAGUUAGAAGUAGAAGUAGAGGGCGCCCCCCACACUUCUCAAAAAGUAUGGAUGGAUUGACGAAGAAAAAAUACAUAAGGAGUCAGAAAGAAAAAGGUUCUUCAUCGAUAGUCGGACCUAUAUAUUCCACUGAUCAUGUUCCUGCUUUAUUUCAUAUACUUUACUACACCUAAAAAAUUCCUACCUCUUCCCCUUUCUGUCAAUCUUGCCAAUUCCGACUAAUGUACCCGAGUGCAUACAGUUGCCCAACUACUUUCUUUCUCCGACUUCUUUAGCCACUUUUCCGCAUCUCUUUUAUUCGAUUCGGGAGAGCUUGCUUCGUGGCGGAGCAUUUAGCAAUGCCAGCAGCCUAGUGAGGGUUGGCUGUCUGGGGACAGGUUAAGGCAGGGCCCGCUGCUUCCAUAAAAAAGAGAAGAAGAAGAAAGCCGGAGGUCAAGAUAGAUAUAGAAGGGAAGGAGCCCUCUCGCUUGCUUAGAUAGUUCCACCCCUGGGCUUUCUUCCGCUCCGUGGCUUUCUUUGUUCGGAACCUUCAGUAGUAAGAAGGUGAAAAGAAUAUUUCAUUGUCUUCUUCUUCUUCCUAUGCCUUAUUCACUUCCGCCCCGUGGGUCUGAAACUUCCUAUAUCCUCUUAUGAUACAAAGUCCUUAAGGACUCAAAUUCUCCAUAUUCUUUGUAUAUUCCGUCGGACUUCUUUAUAUCCGUCCGAAGGCAGGAAAAAUAGUAUUCAUCCUUGCGCUCCUGUUAAGGAGCAAAGAAUAUUGCGUUGAUGAGUGCAACUAAUUAAAUCAACCAUAUUAACUUCUCUCAAGUCUCCAACUUUUUUAUGGAUUCCUUCCAUCUCACCUUUACAGAGCAGCAGCUCUCCUUAUUUCAUUCCUCUGAACUCUCCUCGGUCAUCAGUAUCCUCGGACGGAAUGGAAUGACGGGCUUUGCACUCUGAUUUAGUAGGAGGAAAAGAAGUUCUCCCUCUGAUUUUAGGAGUUCAAAGGAGUGAACAAGUGGAAAGAAUGAAAUGGCUUUCCCGAUUCCGGGAAGGAGUUCAGCUGCGCAGAGUCCGACUACGCGGAUCGAAGGAGGAGCUUCACCGGAAAGAGGUUCGCAGAAGAAAAAUCAAGCUCCAGAUGAGUUGACAAAGGCUGAUCAAGUUUACCCACAGAUCUCAUAUCUUUAUGAAGAAAGAAAUCCCAUUCUUGCUCGAGCAGAAAGAAGAAAGAAGAGGCGCAAAGAAUAUUGAGAAGAUAAAGAAAGGCCUACCCCUCCAAAAUCAUUGAGGGUGAAUUCAGGGUCAUAGGGAGGGAAGCCCCACUCUUUAGUUUAGUAGGCUCUUUCCCUUCUUUAUUAGGUUAUUAGGAAGGAAUGCUCUAUUAUCUACAGGGAAGUAGGACCAUCCGCCAUCUGCUGUCUCCGCUGAGGAGGAAGGCUGAAGAAGGAUAGGGAGUCUUCUUCCACGAAAGAAUGAAGGUCUAGUUCAGAUCCAUAUCAAAAGAGUGAUAGCGACCAUAUGACCUGGAAUUCCUUUCUCCCUACUUCUUUCUCUAUUCUGAGUCCUCAACUUGCACUCCUUAACAGUCGCUUCGCUUCGUCCCUCUCCGGAAUUCUCUCUCCCUUCCUAUCCGAUUUACGGGGUUGAAGUAGGAAAGUAUUCUGAAUGAACUAGUCCAUCUCGAACUCGAGAAGACGGAGGCGCCCCCAGCUAUCUCUCAUAGGUCGGGGGAAUAGGGCAUGGCCCAGUCUCAGCACACCAAGCAAGAGCAGACUGCCUCGAAGAAAGGGUCGGGCAGAAGAGGGUUUCCGGCCAAACCCGGGAAUCAAGGUAUUUCAUUACUUAAUGAUUAGUCUUCUCCGUCACCGACCGACCGAGUGGGAGAGUCCGCCUUCCGAGCGGUUUUUGAUGACUGAAAUCUUAUCAUAAGUAAUCGCGCCUCUUUCUGUACAUUAAGCAAGGCGCUUCUAAUGGAUAGUCCGGAGGACGGGAAGAUUGCCACUUUCAUAUUUUCUUCUAAUAUCAAAUGAAUGAAGAAAGAGAAUUACUUAAUUAUGACUGCAGAUCUUUCUAAUAUCAAAUGAAUGAAGAGCACUUUCGCGCCUCACUACUACAAAAAGUUCCCCUUUAGGCUGAAUGAAUUGAGAAGAUGCGCCAUAAGACAGGCGCAAAGAAUAUUGCUCGAAGAGUGCCAUAAGACAGGGAUAUUGUUGAGAAGAAUAUUGAAUGAAUGAAUCUACCUUUCAAACUACUACUGCUACAGCUGAUUAAGUCGCUGCGCUCCAUCUUUCUUUCCUUCCCUUUCCUCCCCCUUCUCCCGCCCUGCCACUACUAGAAAGCCGGAAAGCCCGUUUUAACCCCUCUCGCGAUAUUAUCGUUGUUCAAUGAUUGAUUCAAAGAAUGAUCCCGAAAAACCAGAGUGAAUCCUAGCGUUGCCAACGGAUUGGGACAUUGUACUAAACGGCAUCAAUUGUAGGCACCCGUUCAUGAGCCCCUUAGUGGGUGGCCCUGGUCGACCCGGUCUUCGGACCUACGAUCAGGCUUGAACCUUCUUCCCCAUAAAGAAGAGAAAUCAGGCUAUUAAGGCAUGAAAUGCCCAACCCUAGCAUCUGCUGCCACUGCAACUGCAAAAGCAAGAAGAAAAGAACAAGGGCGGAAACUAUCCCCCGGGAAGUUCAUAACCUUCUGUGUUUUAAACAAAGGAGCGCAUCAUGAAAGACGAAUGAGAUCAAUCUCUCUCCCAAAUCUCUCUCUUCAGACAAAGACGAAAAGAGCUUGAUUUUGCAAAUUCUUUUUCUGUCAAAAUCAGGAAGAUCAUAUGAGAAGAUUAUGCCUCCAACUUUUUGAUGGAUGCCUUCUAUCCUUUCUUUAUCUUUCUCGUAAACUCACUCUCGCAGCUUAGCUUCGCUUCCUCCUUUGCUUUGGAGUUGUCUUUCUUCUUUUCUUGUCUUCUUUGUAAUAGUCUUACCUACGGCAACUCAUAUUGCAUUGAGCCUACUACGCCUUCUACGGGAGUGGGGAGUAACCUAAUAAAUACUGAAUAAGACUCUGUAGGAGCCGUAGGAGAAGUCCUUCUCCUCUAAGAAAAAAGCCUAGGUCAAAGAACAAGCAUCAGUGUCUUUCGGUUGCCAAGAACAAGUUUCAUCGGAAGUCAGAUAAGUAGAACACCGAGGUAAGAGGCGCGAAGAGGGAAUAUAAAUAGUCAGACUAAAGGGUUCAGCCGACCGAGUGGGAGAAAGAGACCGGCGAGAAAGGUAGGUUUGAAUAGAAGGAGCUAGCCCACUAGAAUAGGGCUUAAUAGAAUAUUCUAGAGCUAACCCCAUAGGGUGCAGAACGACUGGGUAGAUCUUUGAGAAGAUCAGUGCUGAUGGGAGGGAGAUCCGUUCCGUAGACCGGAAAUAAUACGACUUCUCUGAGGUAUGGUAUUGCUAGCUUGCUUACUCUGAAUAAGGAGUAGGCGCGGGCGGCCCAGUGUCUCGGUUUGCCGCGAAAGAGAAUUCCCCCACCAGGUUGAAGUGCACGCCAAUGUAGAAUCCCUCGUAAGGAAGCAAGAUUGAAUGUCAAAUCAAAUCAGUCUAGUCUAUUUCCUAGAAAAUGACUUUUCUUUUCGAUGUGCGCAUAAAUACUCCUUUAAUGGGUUAAACCAGGUGGAUCGGCACAUAUUUGGAGUAGGUAAUGAGUACACUUCAGCCGCGUAGAAGGAGUCUUCUUCCUCUCGAGUGGAGUUUCUUUCCCCUUACUGACUACUGGGACGGGAGGAUUCGAACCUCCAAAUAGCGACCACUGCCCGCCCCAUUCAAGACCUUGAUCAUAGUACACUUCCGGAACAAGAUCUCAUACAGCGUAGACCCCUACGUCUGUCAGGUCGAUCCGGCCUCUUUAUCUGACUCAUUCCGAUCGAGACGGAUUCCUAUGCGGAUUUUUUUGAUUCUAUAUUACGAAAGACAGAUCCAGCCGCGUAGGAGGCGUAGGAGGCCUCCGCUAUAUACUCCUCCGGUUUUCAGACUCAAAAACAAAGGUCCAGAUGACUGAUUUAUUCCACUGAAGCUCGUCGGUCGGUCGGAAGCGAUAUAGCGAUAUUGGCUCUCCCGAUAGAACCCAAAAUCAGGCGAUCGACGGUCCGUCAGAGGGAAUGAAGUAGAAAAAGUCUUUAGAGACCUGAGUGGCUCUGUUCCGGUUGAGCCUGUAGCCGUUGUCACAGCUCUUUGAAAGAAGCUAUUUGAGAAAUAUGUCACAAGUAAGAAAUGGAUGAAAUAGCUAGACAAGGUAGAAGUUAGAGGCAGGAGAAAGAAAGUCCCAAACGGAACUCCCCAACACCAGCAUUGGAUCUCGCAGGGAAAUCAUCCAAAGAUCCAUACUGGAAGAAAGAGCCUGUUCUUCUCACUUUCGACGUACAUUAUCAAAGAGAGAGAUAAGAAAACCCCUAGAAAGUCGCUAUCCUCCCAAUUAGCUUAGGAAGGAGAGUCCAGAAGACGUACUCAUUCCCUAUGUUUUGAAUAUGUGCACCUCGGCACAAGGCCCCGUUCCAGUUGAUGAAGUGGCAGGGGAAGUCAGUUCCCCCUUAAGAUCUGUCCUCGCUCUUGUUCUUUAAUAAGAUGCUUAGUUUCGCCUACCCCAUGAAUUUGGGGAUUUGACCUCUCCGUCCGAAGGACUCCUACGUCGAUUUGCGCUCCCAGAGUAAUGUUUAUAAUAGUCUGUAAAUCAUUCAAAAAACAAAGGUCAUCUGAAACCCUUUUUUUGAUGCGCCUCAGGCGCAAUGAAAUAUGCGAGUAGGCUGAAUUCAUAUGAGUUUAAGUAGGCGUAGGCGCGAAGCGACUCUUAAGGAGUGCAAGUUGACCUACUAAAUGAGGCGGCUCUUGGACAAGUUCGUCAUUCGAUAGGAAAUAGGGUGCUCCACCAGGAUGGACAAAGGCUCGGCUUCCAGGUACAUUGGGGUAGACUGAAAGAAAGAGGAGAAAAGCUCUCAAUUGCUUAUGAGCCCUUAUCCAAGAAGGAAGCUUUUCUCUUAAAGGAUUCCACCGCGUGAUCUCCUUUCAACUUUCUCUCUUUCCAAGGCAAGGAUUGACCCUCUUUUCUUGGGUUGGGUAGCAGUUCUUCUUUCAGUUUCAGCGGGAGAAGUUCGUGCUUUUCUUGCAGCUGACCGCUCCGUGGGCUCUGUCCCAAGCCUCUGCUACCAUUCAAAAAGACCCUGACUCCUGAAACCCUGGAUUGGCAGGGUGAAGAAGAUUAUAAGUCGGCUCAUCAUUCUAAGGUCCGGAGGCUCCGUAGGAGUUGAGAGGUUGCUGCGAGACAAAACUCUUCAUUCUCAGCUUCCGUUGAGUAAGUGCUUUCCUCUUCCUGAACUUUUCAUCGAUCAGUCGCUUCGCUUCGCGCCGGAGGACGACUGAAAGGAGAGGCGCAAAGAAUAUUGCGGAAAUAUGCAUUGAAUAGGCUCAAUGUAAUAUGAGUUGACGAAAAGAAAAAAGAAAAGAAGCUCAUUAACGACUAAUGGAUAAAGAAGUCCUUCGGACGGAACAUGGGAAUGAAAAAUGUGCAUCUUUGUGCUAGAUUUCAGAUUAAUCCGCGGAGGGAAAUACAAGAAAAUGCUAGGUUUUGCCCAUAGGGAAGUAGCAAGAAAUCAAGUCAAAUGCCUUCUUUUUCACUCAAUUAUCGUAGAAUAUCCAUAUGAGAAAAAGUAUGAAAAAGAAGCAAAAAAGCCGGGAAAACGCAAUGAAAGAAGAACUCCUAGGACAGGGAAAAUCAAUGAAGACUUCUAGUUUGAGUUUAUGGUCCGGAUACUGACGGGUCUAUUCUUUAUUUCACUCCAGGUUAUGAAAGAAAAAUGAUUCUUGAAUUCGAGUGAAUGAGUUCAUUCUGCUUUCAUUCUCGUUAAUGAGCUUCUUUUCUUUUCUUGACUUUUGUUUGUGCCAUAAGACAGGUCCUCCGGACUAUCCAUUAGAAGAAAGGUUAGAGCAAAAACCUUCAGUCGUCUAUUUGUCAAAUCUUUCCCUUCUGAAAUCAGACUGAGUACAUAGAAGUGCGAAGGAGCGAAUCGACCAAAGAGAAUAGGAGCUAUAGAGGUUUGGCCUACAACUACUAUCCAUUUGUUGCCUUAGUCAGAUAGCUGACUUUUAGGCAUAGCAUUAGCAGUCGAGGAUCACAUCUCUGUCAAUCAGUUUCAAGCAAGAAAGGACAAUUCGCAGAUGCGGGGAAUCGGACCCACGGAGCUUUAGACAUAAAGAAACCUAUCCAGCGGUAAUAUAGAUCAAAAUGCAAUUCCGACUUUCUCAAAUUCUUUGAGCAUCGACCGCCUUGAUUUUUCAAUCUUCUUUCUCAUAUUCAUUCACCCGCGUAGUGGGGAGCUUUCGCAAAUUCUUUGCGCCUAACUCUUUAAAUAGAGUGUCCAGCUGAGUCAGAAACCGCAUCUUUGCAACCUUUGGGAUCAUGAAUCUUCAACCUUGUUUUUGAAUUGAGCCUAACGGAGGAAGAAUAUUGCGAUGAAGAAAGGUCACUGAAAGAGGAAGGGGAAUGACCAUUCAGAGCAAGAACAAGACUAUCUCUUAGACUGUCAAAAGUAGCUCGAUCGGGAGCCAGAUAGGGAGCCCCAGGCGAAGGACCAAUUCAGAGCAACUGAAAUAGGAGACUAGCCCUAGCUAGAACUUGAGAAUCUAGGAUCCUCGGGCUGGUGGGGCACCCCUUGAAUUAGUUCUUGCGGAUGCAGCACUAUCAGUCCUUUCUCCAAAAAUAGAUCGCACUCCGCGGUAAAAGGCUUUAUUGUAAAGCAAUUAUGAAUAGAUUGAAUGAACGAGUAUAAUAAAUGGAAGGGAUGAAAUAAGGAUUGGAUUCUCCUACAAUAAUCAGUCAAAGGCUGUACACUAGGCUGGGGCCAAAGGAAACUCGCCACGACGAGGGCGCCGAAGUAAAGCAAUCUCUCUUUUUCCGUCGGCCUUCUGAAUUGAUUGACUUUUCCAAACUAGUAAAAAGACUAGAAGCACCGGUGGCAACCAGGUCUUUCCACUACAAGGGGAAAGGGCUAGACGACUAAGAAAGUCUCUUUAUUCUGAGGAUCAAGGCUCAAGCGAGGUUACGAAGCCCACGGAGCGGCAGCUGCCCUUUCUGCUCUUCCCCUUCUUGUAAGGCUCUUGCUCUCUCUCUUUCCUUCUUGCUUUUCUUCUUGCUAAAGCUUCUAUUCAAGAUAACUCAUAAAUCAAAGAUCAAAGAUUCCCGAACCGAAAAAUCAAGCUCCUUACAACGCAUAUUAUAUUCUAUCCUCGGUGCAACUUCUCUCAAAUUCUUUGAGCCAAGGACGUGAAUUUGGAUCAUCGGCGUAAAAGCUAAGAAUUCAGGCUUGGGCUAAUAAUUAGGGGAGCUCGGUACUUCGGACUAUUUUAGCUCGGCUCCUUACUCCGUCUUUAGGGGAGCUCGGAGAUUUCCUCUUGAUAUGGUUCCGAGGGAGUUGUCCGGUUUCCGGAUUUAGGAAGUAGAUUGGCCUUUCAGGUUUCCUGCUUUCUAGCUCGGUACUUCUUCCUUGCUCCGAAUCGGCCUUUUAGUAGCUCGCUCGGGAGCCUUUCUAUAAUAUAAUGGGAUUGGGUAUCGUCCCUUUGACUCUUUAUUUAGGAAUGGUAUCAGCUGCGCUUUUCCGUAUUUCUUUUCCCCUCCUAGUAGACUCUUCCUUAGAACUCCCUUCAUAGGAAAGUAGCCGAUAGGGACAUUGGGUUCGGAGCCCAUCAAAAUCUCAAUCGCAUAUUUCAUUGCGCCUCUUCUUAUUUUAUUCUUUUUCUUUGAUUUUCUUGUUCGUUCAAUUGGGAUCGAGCCGAAGCGUCAUAGUGAAACCUUGUGAAUUCAGGCUAUCCCGUUCUUGGAAGAGGAGAAUUCGAUCUUUCAUGAGAUCUUUCUCUUUGUAUUCAUACAUUAUUCUAGGAAGAAGUCCCAGCUGAUAGGGAGGAAGAAAGUCAAUGAACAAGGCUCAAAGAAGAUUGAGAAAGAGAGAGAGUCAGCUAGACCGAUCUACGCCGCUUGGGACCGAGUUUCAGCUUCUGAGUUGGAGUUUGACGGGGAAUGAGAUAGGGUAGAAGCGUGAUCACUAGAUCAAUAGGAAGCUCCCCCGGCCGAAAAGGGAGGUAUGAAGUUUACCAGAUUGAGUUCUUUCACAGGUAACUGAGUAAUUCUCCAAAGUCAGGUAAUUGUCUCUUGAGUCCGCUCUUUCAAGGUAAUGAGAAAAUGAGUUGGAAGCAUCAAAGACUGAGUCAUCCAGCAAGGCCAGCCAGCCGUGAAUUAGUAUGGUCGGUCGGAAGGGAUAUAGCGAUAUUGGCUCUCCCGAUAGGCUAGAAUAAUCUUAUAGAGCGGUUAUCGAAUCUUUCCCGAGGUGUGAAUAUACUGAGUCAAGGACGAAGAAUGGAUCCCUUUCGGUAGAGCUCAGUGGGAAAGGUAUAAAGGGAGGAUCAUUCAUCAGACUGAGUACGGUCCCCUGAAGUAGGGGAGUCAGCCGGGGAAUCUCUCUAAGCCCAAGGUUUUGAAGUGACUGACUUUACUCUUCAUCACGAUACGGAGCGGUAUUCAGCAGCUAUACAGAGUGGGAAAGGUUAUCAUCGCUUUCAUAUUUUUUCCAACAACAGGCGCGGGUUUCAGAUGAGCUUGAUUUUUCAUUGAGGCGGUAGGGGGUAGGUACAAUGGGGACUCCCAAAAGAGGAAGCGGAUGACGAACUUUCAGGGGAACGAAGGGAAGGCCCCAGGGUCGGUCGGCAUGGCAUCGGUUGGUGGCAGAACCUGAGCCACCCCUUGAGUCAAAUGAGAAGUUUCAUAGGUGCCAGUUGACGAGGAUAGAAGUGAUAUUAUUUGUUUCGGGAGAGGGGCAGGCUGCAGAGUAGACGAGGGGAAGGAGUGCAAGUGCUCAAAUAUAAAAGCAGGGAGACUAAGAAAGACCGGCCGUUCAUUAGUUAGGAACAAAGGUAUGAAUUAGACCGAGCCCUAGCUUCUGGAGUACGAGACACCCCUAACCCGAACCUAGGCUUUCUCUUUCUUUUCUCGUAGAAGGAGGCGCAAAGAAUAUUGCAAAUAAAGGCUCGGCUUUCUAUUAAGGAUCAAUUCAAAGUUCAGCGGGAAGGUGCAAUAAGACAGGUCCGAAGGCGCCAUAAGACAGGUCCGAAGGACUAUCCAUUUGAGUUGCGUGAGUUGACUGGUCCGAAGGCGUCACAGGUUAAUAUGGAUAGUCCUUCGCAAAGAAUUUGCGCCUAACGUCGAAUAAGAAGCUGGAGGCUGGGUGAGGCGCAAAGAAUAUUGCGAUGUAGUUCAUAUAGACCUUUGUUUUUCUUCCGUCCGAAGGCUAGGCGCAAAGCUCAAAUACUUUGAUCCUAUUAGAUUAUGCUGAAGGAGGUUCAUCUUUAGGAAAUCUGAUUCCAUAGGUGAUGACCGGAGAUAGAGAUGCUGUCGAGCUACUAAUCCGUCUCACCUUGAUCCUGAACGGAGACGGAUGCCUAUUCCUCAUACUCUUCAUCGAAUCCAUAUCCUAUCUACUGAAUAGUGAUUAGAUAAGAGAGGAUAGCGGCUUAGUCGAGAUGGGAUAGUUCUUCGACCCUUGACUCCUUUUCAUUUAGAAGUCAGGCCUUCAACUCGAGGUUCAGACUAAAAAAAAGGAGGCCUACGAAGCCUUAAGCUACUUUACAGGAGUGCACUCACGUCCAAAGGUUCAAAGAAGAAAUCAUGCUGCCUUCUCUUUCCAUGCAUUCCAUUACUGAAUAAUGAAAGAUCUCUAAGCCCUACGUGGGCUGCAACGGUCUCUGGGCGAAGACCGAUCGAUCCGACCGAGGACGACUCUCCUCUGUCCCCCAAGCUUAGCGAAAAGACGAUCUCCUCUGAUUCGUAGGGGAUUGGUUGAGAAAGUAGGAAUGAAGUCAGCUUAUUCCAUAAAUAUGGGUCGGUCCCUUCCUAUCUGCGCUGGUGGUCGUAUUCUCGUAAUUCAGCCUUGAAUCAGGCCUUGGGAGCAGCCAAAGUUCAGCCAGAUUGCUCAUCUUAUACAAGUCCGAUAGAGUCUCUAUCCGGGGGGGCUUACUUACCUUGAUUCCCUAUAAGCCUUUUCUUCUGGUCUCGCGGUUGAUUGAUCCAAGGCUGAAGGAUAAUCUUCCCGGGUCCAGGUUCGGCUGGAUUCAUUCCCCGUCUUUGAAUGAGCAAAAAGAAAGCUCCAGAUGAGUUGAGCAUUUAGAAAAUGAAGAAAAUGCAUGGUUUGGGCCUAUAUGGAAGGCAAGAAAGAAAUAGAGGUAGUUAACUCAUUGAUAAUCAAAGUAGAUAGGCUUUUUCCUUCCAUUUCGAAGCGGGUGGGUUUACAUCAUUCAUUCAUGGUGGAGAAGUUCUUGUGAGCAUUAAGACAUUGAAUUUGGUGUAUUACCGCUACGUGGGCAUUCGGAAGGAUGAUCACCUUACCACGAGGCCCCAUUCCUUUCUUCUCCCUCUCUGUGGCUGGAAAAAUCGGGUAGGCUUCCCCCCGAGCCCGCCCAUCCAUAAAUAAAUAGAGAGAAGGCUCAAAGAAUUUGAGGAGUCAGAGACAUAAGGAUAGGCAGUGGCAGCCGCUCUUGAAGUUAGUCUUGGAGCAUCCAAGGGAAGUUUCUGUCUCAGUUUCGAAGUACUAUUUAUUAGGGAACCGAAUGAGAGUAGGACUAGCCAUAGAACAAUUAUCGUUAGGGUCUUAUGCUCCUUCGUUAUGCUGCUUGACCGUAUCGGAUAGGAUAGAAGCUUUCCCUAGGUCGGAAGCAAGAUCGAAUUAUGAGUAGGUUUAGGAUGAGCUACUUUGGAGAGCAUAUUCCGAGCUCUAGUCGGCCUGCGGAGAUUCCUCGGUGGAGCUACCCUCUAUCUAAGAUAAAAGAGAACCUUUCCCGUAAAGAGAAAGAUCGAAAAUCUCUUUCCUUAUUCACACCUAUCCCACUGGGGAAGUUCCACUCUAGCUCCUUGUAAACUCGGAAAAGCUGAUGAUAACCUGCACCCUAUCGAAACCUCUCCUGUAAGUCUCGCUUAGCUCUGAUCAACUGAUAGAACUCCGUCUGAUUUUGCACUUCUUCUAAGUCCAAGUUCGGAACUAAUGUGCGUAGGACCAAUCCGAAACUCCAUAAAAUCAGUGAAUAAGGAAUCCUUCCUCUUACUAGUAAUCCUGAAGUUUGGCUCGCCCAUAAUUGAAAGGGAGAAAACGACUCAAAAAAAGAGGUUCAAAGAAUAUUUCAGACUCCCACGGGGCGGAGAGGUGCAAAGAAGAAAGAAGAGAAUGGCGAUCAGAAGAUUGAGAAAUCCAUUAGAAUGAGCCUCAUGGGACUAGCGCGUCAGAAGAAGAGGAGCGAAGGACCCAGUUGGCUAGGAGUUAUCGGAUUCCCAUAUUAAGCUACGGAGGCCCAAAGAAUAUUGCGGAGAAGAAGAUGUCGGUAGCUCUUUCAAAAAAAGGUAAUUCAGUAUACGAAAAGUCAGAGAAGAGAACCACCUCGUUCGAGAGGAGCGGGCGACCCUCUCUUUCAUAGUCAAAUAAAAGCCCAUUAUAAUAUAAGGCCCAAAGAAUAUUGCGAGGAGCCUCAACUCAUAUGUAAAAGACCUGUCCUCAUGCAACGUCCAAACAAGGAGAAGAAAGCCAGGAGAAAGCAAGGUGCUUUAAGAGGGAGAGCUUGACUCUGUGCUAUAGUCCCUCUCUUCCGUAUUCAAAGUGACUUCGUUCGGGAUCCGGAACGAGUAUGUACUGCAUUAUGCUCAAUCCCAUAAAUCAUCCUUUGAAGGCUUGAAUGAGGAUACUGAAACUAGAAAGCUUCUCCAGCGUCUACUUCCUCAACCACAGCCACCGCUGAAAGAACUCAAUCUGGAUCCCGUAGUUAGGAGCAUGAUUUAUUUAUCAUAUCAGGCCUUGAUUCCCUAUCAGCCUGAACUUCCUGAACCUUGCAUAACCUUUUCCUAUAUGGAAAAAGAAAGAAAAGAAGAAAGACGAUAAAGCAGCAAGGGGUGAAGCCAAGCGAGAGUUAAGGAGCGCAAAUCUCCUACGGAGCGAGAAAGCAAGCGAUUCGCCGACAAAGCAACUUUGACUAAAAGAAGAAACUACUUAUUAAGAGAGAGAUCAACUUAUUGGCCGAGAAAGAAGACUAUCGACAAGGAAUAAGACUCACUCCUACUACGCCAAAGGAGCCUUCUGCCCACGUAGCGGUAAGGAGCGCAAAAUCAGACUCUGUCUUCAGGCUAAAAAAGACUGCAGAAAGCCUAUCCAAGUUUCAGUGGAAAAAUCAGGGUCAGGACGUGUUGAUGAUGACGAAGAUUAUCCAAAAGACCUAAAAAGUACCAAUCUGACUCCUCCGUUCUAAUCUCAAAUUCUGAUCGCCAUUCUCUUCUUUCUUCUUUGCACCUUCGCAUAUUGAAUUGCGCCGGAGGACUGUGAAAAGUCAAGAAAAGAAAAAAGAAAAGAAUAAUUAACUCAUUAACGAUAAUGAAAGAAUCAUUAUGAAUCUGGUAGAUUGAAGAUUUCAGACAUCUUUGUGCUAGAUUUCAGAUUAAUCCGCGGAGGGAAAUACAUGAUUUUGCUAGGUUUUGCCCAUAGGGAAGUAGCAAGAAAUCAUGAAAAAUCAGUCAAAAUUGAUCUAUUUUCGUUAAAUAGAAAUCUUCGAUUUACUAUGAAAAAGAAGCAAAAAAGCCGGGAAAACGCAAUGAAAGAAUCAAGCCUAUAAAAGAAAUUCAAUGUGCAAACUUCUAGUUUGAGUUUCUGGUCCGGAUACUGACAGGUCUAUUCUUGAUUCCGCUCCUGAAUAUGGAUAGUCCUACUUCCUUCCAUAUGGAUGGUCCUACUUCGGUUAAUUACGGAUGGUCCUACGGAUAAAUCCUCCGGACUACUUCCCUCCAUAUGGAUGGUCCUACGGAUAAAUCACCUGGACCUUUCUUUGGCCCUGCGGACGUAGGACCCUGGACCUUUCUUUGAUGGACCCGAAAAGCAAAUUUCUUUAUUCCUUCCUCCGGUCAAUGAACUCAACUCAGAACUCAGAGCGGAAUCAUAAAAUGAGAUUGACUCUCUAUCUCUUUCGGGAAGAAGUACGUAGUUAACCGUUUAGGAUUGGGCCCCCAGUAAGAAAGAAUGAUAAGUCGGGUCUAUCAGUCUGAGAAUUUCAUAAUUCCUAAAGUGGGGCGCAGUUGAAUGAGAAAGAAUGAAAUGCCAAUCUCGCCUCAUUGUACUACGAACCCUUCCCACGAUUUGAUCUUAGAGUCGACUCCUUUUGUCCUACCGCGCCUUAGCUUCGGAUCGCAUGCUAUGCUAUCAGCCACGGUAUUUUAGAGUCCUUGUUCUCCUUUGGCGAUCAGGUAAGACCGAAUGGGGACGGUCAACUUCUCACUUUUCCAGUAUUCCUUGCUCGGUUGACUGGAAGAAGAAAACGGGGAUGCCCUAUAGACCUCUCUGACCUUUCGUAGCCAUAUGAACUGGGUGCUGCGAAGCGCAAGAGCGUAUCGAGAGAGGAUAUUUAGAGAAUUCCCAUGCUAUUCUUUCUUCUUCCUUUACUGCAAGCUAGUGACUGAGUCCAAAGCGGAGAGAUAAAGGACAUCCGCCACCUCGCUCGAUAGAAGAUAGAAAUUCAGUUAUCUGAAUCCAGCAGGCUUGGGAUUUGAUCCACUCGAUAUAGGGAACUCGCUCAGAAAAAUCCUUAGGAGCAUAAUCAGAAUUUCCAGUAGCGAAGUAGGAGAUGGUAGGCAUCAUGUCCAAAGAUCCGCGGUUAGUGAUCCUCACUCUGCAGGAUGCGAUCAGCAAACCGAUAAGAGGUACUAAAUCCGACUCUAUUUGGCAAGGGUUCGAGCCCAGCUCGUGACAAGGCCUUCGGUCGAGCUGUCCAUUUCAAAGACUGAUGAUAUGUAGAAGACCCCAGAUCAGUCUCCCUGGAUUGAAGGUUGCCUUGAGGACAUGGAACUCUGUCGCUGAGUGGACUCACUUGAAGUAAAAGGGUAAACUUGCCCCUUUCUCUAAGAAAGAUAGUAUGCUCUUAUUGAUGCAAAGGAUGGGGAGAGAUUCUUUCAAACCGAGAGUUUGGACACAAAAGAGGUUUUUUCAACUAUUCAUUGAAAGGAAAGGGGGAGCCGCUAAUUAGAACUCGAGGGUCAACUCCUGAGGGCAACUAAGCAGCGAGACCAGUCCUCCGGUCUCUCAAUUCACUGCUCUUAACUAUUCCUUGCUCCUCGGGUCAAGAUGCGCCAUAAGACAGGUCCUCCGGACUGCGACUGAGGCGCAAUGAAAUAUGCGAGGAGAAAAGAUGGAAUUUUCUUGCUUAAGCACCUAGCAUCUCAUCACAAUACAAGCUAAAACCACUGAUGAGUCAUAGCUUUACGAGAUAGCAGUCUAUAAAGAGAAUAAGAAGAGAAUAAGAUCUUAUUCCGCUUUCUAGACUCCUUUCAUCUUCUCCCAGGCAAACUGAGCUCACUAGCUUGAUGCCCAGCUCUUGCUUUUUCGAAUUCUAUGAAAUCCCUCAAAAUAGUACUUAUGACUGAGUUGGGACAAUAACCUAUGGGAAGGAUUGAUUUGAGGAUGAGGCAUUAGCAUACUGACUCGCCUUCUUCCUUCUUAGUCCAAUCUCGAAUGGAACUUUGUUUGAGGACUCCUAGAUAGGAAAUGAAUCAAAUAAGUAAGCUCUUCUUUCAUUUCUUUGGGUUACUGGCGCACAAUAUCCCUUUCUUAUGGAGCCUUGUUCCUCUCCUUUCAGUCUCGCCCUUGAUUUUAGCAAGAAAUCCAAGAAAUCUAAGCUGGUGUAUUGAUUUUUUUUGGAAGAAAAUAAAUCUAGUGUGUGCGAGCUUCAAUCUUUUCUUUUUCUUUUUUUCAAAUUCAAAUUCCAUUUUUUUCUCAAAAAGCCGCUCCACGGUGGUAAAGUCUCAUCUUGUGUCUUGGCCGAAGUGACAAUAGUCACAUGGAACCCUAGAGUAUUAGAGAAGAUCUCAAAAUGAUCUGCCAGUUCCGGGAAGAAUUCGAAAAACUCCGUUUCCAUCGGGAAUUGAAUGGAGUUUUUCCGUAUUUCGCCCGGAGAAUUUAAGAAAGACAGUACUAUUCCUAUAAUUAUUUUGAAAAAAAAAUGAAACAUUGAAUGCCCUCGGAGAGUGCUUUCUCGUGCUAGGUCACUGACAUAUCCUUUGUCUUUAUUUGACUCCAAGAAUGGAUUGGAUCGAAAGGACUUUCCUGUCGAACCCCUUGUCUGUAUCAAUUUCUGACCGCGCAGAAUCUCCAUAGCCAAUUUUCCAUUUUUGCUUCUGAAAUCAUAGGGUUCCUUUGGCACGACUCUUAUUUCAGACGAUCCAGGAACUUCCAUAACGUUGGUGUAAUUCAGUUUGAGCAACGGCUCCUGACGUGAUAUAUCUUCGUAAUGAAACUGGAGUUGUAGGCUCGGACCCAUUCCUAAGGGAAAAGAGGGCCCCAAGCUUAUAUACCCCCGGACAGGGAGGUCUAGAAUUCCACAGCGAUGAAUGACCCCAGAUAAGGCCAGUUCUGGGAGACAGAUAAGGGGAUUGAGUACAGAGAUGCAAUGAAACCGGGUGUGAAUCGGGUACUCGCCUUAAUUAUGAGAGGCUGAACAAUCCUCUUGCCCAAAUUGACCAGAAUGAAUGCAUCUUGCUUUCUCUGGACAGGGCUCAAGAGUGAACAGUGGAAAAAAAAGACUGGUGGAGAAGUGGCUAUUAAAAGGUUUGAGAGGGCCAAUGGAAUUGAUGCGAAAUCCUUUUUCCUAUAGUCAAUGCCCACGGAGCGGGUUAGUGGAAUUAAGAGGUCCGACUAGAAACUGAAAGGAGUCAAUAAACAAGGUUCAAAGAAUAUUGACAGAUCCAUUGAGGCGGAUGAAUGAAGAAAAAAAGGACGAAAAAGAAAGGUCCAGGCGCAAAGAAUUUGCGAAGAACUGUUGUUGAGCUAUUCUAAAAUAGUCCUUCGCCUAAGAGCGCAAACCAAAGGCAAAGGCUCCAUAAGACAGGGAUAUUGUAAGGCGGUCGAUGACCAAAGUCAAAUUAUCUAAUGGAUAGGCCUUCUGACAGGCAAUAUUCUUUGCGCCUUGCACUCCUCAGCAAUAUUCUUUGCGCCUCCGAAUUUCAUGCGCCUCAACUCAUAUUACAUUGAGCCUCUCACGCAAACCCGCAAUAUUCCGCAUUGAUCCUUCGCACCUUUCAGUCGUCCGGAGGCUCUUUGAAUUUGAUAUUGCGGAAAAGAAUAUUGAAGCAAGGCGCAAUAUUGCGACUGCCGGAGGACCAGUCUCGGCGAAUAGGUUUCAUUCUCGAAAGAAUUAUCGAAGCGACUGAGUUCUAUUCUAAUGGGGAUCGUUGGGGAAUCCAUAUAUAAAGAGUAGUCUAUAUAUUCUUUGCGCUCAUUGAUAAGGGCAAAUUUCAUUGAUCAGUUCUUCCCGUGUAGUGGGCUGACUUUUUUGAAGUGGAAGGCAAUAUUCGAUAAUUAGGUUUCAGGCAAUAUCAAUAUUCUGCUUUCACGCAAUAUUCUUUGCACCUAACUAUUCCUUGCUCCUCCGGAGGGGUCCAGAUGCGCGAAGCGAAGCGCAUUUAUCUAAGAAAAGAAGAAAGGGUCCAAGAAUAUAUAGAGUUUACAAAUUAGGAGAAAGAAAGGCGCAAAGAAAGAAGCUCAUUAACGAGAAUGAAAGAAGAAUUAUGAUUUCAGACAUCUUUGUGCUAGAUUUCAGAAUAGACCUGUAUUUCUCCGGACCAGAAACUCAAACUAGAACUGAGAAAUGUGAAUUGACUGUCCUAGGACAAUGAAUGAAUUGCUAUUUCCCGGCUUUUUUGCUUCUAAAUAGGACUAAAUCAAAGAUUUCUAUUUAACGAUAAUUGAGUGAAAAAGAAGGCAUUUUCAUGAUUUCUUGCUACUUUAUAGGCCCAAAACCUAGGAAUUCACUCCGUCUUCAAUCUAGCAGAUUCAUAAUUCUUCUUGAAUUCGAGUUAUGAAAUCCUAAUUAUUCUUUCAUUCUCGUUAAUGAGUUAAUUAUUCUUUUCUUUUUUUCUUGACUUUUCUUUGUGCCAGUCCGAAGGACGGAUAAGUUCUUUCUUUUGUUGAAGCAGAAGUAGGGCUGCAGAGGAAGAAAUGUUCUAAGUCUCGGAAAAAGUAGAAGUAGGCAGACUGGUAUCAUACAACCGAGUUGGAUCGGGCCCUUCCUGCUAUCCACUGAAAUCGGCAGGCAGUACUCAAGAUUCAUUCUCCCUUUCACUCUUUGAUUAGUCUCUUUUUUCUUAAAGGUAACUGAGAUCGGCAGAAGAAGAAGGAGUGUGAAAUUCUUCUUCUUGUUAGAAAAGAAAGCACCAUCUCCGGAUAGAACCUUCUUUUUCUAGGGCCUUUCCUACGAUCCCCAGCCCAGAGAAUGAAAUCUUCUCUUUUUAUGUAUAAAUAAAAGAGAGCUGCUAAGAAGUUCGCUCUUCCAUUGGUCCCUAUCUUUUCUUAUGUGCGUCGGACUCUCUCUUUCUUCCUUGAAGCCCUUGUUCAUUGACUUAUUCCUUUUUUUCUUCAUUCAUCCGCUACUUUCAUCCGUCCGAAGGACUAUUCGCUAUUCUAAAUAGGUUCUCCGGAACUCAGUAAGAAAGCAAUGUUCAUUGUGGUGUAUGGAAUUGUGGUAGUAGUCUAAUCAGCAGCUCAAUAUUCUUCUUGACUUGAAGAACUAUAACAUAAUGCUUACUACUAGUAAGGAAAGAGGCUUGAAGAGGAAUCUUAUCAAGUUGUGAUUCUAGUCACUCUCUCUCAAGCGGACAGACCGCAUAGAAGAUCAAUUACACAAGAUGCAAUUAGGCCCUUUGUUCAUUGAGGCGGUUUUCACUUCUCUUUCGGUCUAGUAGUAUUGUAAUAGCCAGGGAGCAGCACAAGGAUGCAGCAAGACAUUUCCACCUUGCUGUACUGAAUGAGAAUGCCUCCCGAUAUAAUGCUGUUAAACUAAUUAUAUCGGACAGUGUGAGAUUGAGCUUGGUCCACCCUUUGUACGUAUGUGACAAAGCAAGACAAAAGACCUUAUGUGAAAGAGAUCCCUCCAACAGAUACUCUGGGAGGCCAGUGCGGCUUUCAAGCACAAGAAGGUCGAAAGGCUGGCAAGCGAGCAGGAGCGGGUGGAUAUCCUCUUCCAGAGACUUUACGAAUACGAUGAUUGGAUGGAGCUAGAAGAGGAUCCCGAUUUCAGAAAGGCCCUCUGGUCGAGGUACAAUACUGUAAGGAAGCUAUGGGAGGAUGCCCAGCAGAGAAAGCAAGGAUUGAGAUCCACCACGGAGAGCAUCGUAGCCUAUCUCUGGGAUAGGGGCUGGCCGGAGGAGUAUAAGGCCGAGGAAUUCAAAGAUCAAUCUCUUUUCUUUUAUUGGGUAGCCACCAACCACCUUGUGUACCAGAGGCACCUAAAAGGCAGGCAGAGUGGGUAUAGGCAUGAGAAGUCUUUUCUCUUGCUUCUUUCAUAUUAUGCUUGAGUAAGGCAUGGAUAUUCCUUAAUGGUCGAAACUAGUUCAGACAUCUUUAUCUCAUUUCUAUUCAAUGCUGAAGACGAGAAGGCUGCACGCGACGGACCCUAGGGAAAAUCUUGUCCUACUCUUUGAACUAGAAACUCACGCAAUAGACUAAACUAAAGGCUCGACUCUCGAAAGUGGCAUACCGGUGCCGCAAGCUUGGACACCGAAGUGGCAACAGACUCAUAUUCCCUAACCGAUUCCUCUCCUUCAUUGAGCCGCAAUAUUGCACCUCUGAUUCAUGACAUUUGGCCCUUGCCGUAGUCCGUAUGGUCCUCUUCCUCGGAAUAUUCUUUGCGCCUCUCCCCCGUCCUCCGGACUAUCCGUAUUAACCUAGCUUUCGCUCGUCUUGAGCCGUCCUCAGUCGCUUAAUAUGGAUUUCUCAAUUCUUCAAUCGCAUAUUUCAUUGCGCCUCUGCUCAAAUUCCCUAAUGGAUAGUCAUCUGGACCCCUUAUAAUUGGGCCAUAGAUCUUUGCGCCUCUCAUCAAAUCCCCUAAUGGAUAGUCCUUCGGACCUGUCUUAUGGUUAUGGGCUGGUAUCAAUAUUGCUCGAAUUCUUUAUAUAUUGAUUAGGAAAUCAGAAUUCGGACAAAAAAGUCAAAUCUCUCUCUCUCACAAACGGGGAUAAAUAAAGACAGUUGAAAGGCCUUAGGCAAUAAGGCAUUCAACGGCCGAUCUAUAAAAAGAGUCUUCAGUCUCGGAGCCAGCCAGCCGUUCAUUAGUUGGGUCGGUCACUGAGUGAGACCUAGACUUUUUUGACUAUCAUACUCAAAUGAGGCGACGAGUUCUUUCCAUUUAGGCAGUUCAAGAACGGAAAGAAGAUCCGCACCAAGAUCCGAAAGGGGUAAAGCUUCCCCCCAUUCAACCUAUCUUAGCUUUCGGCUAGUCCUGUCCUCCCCUAUUCCCUAUCCUUAUAUUAUCUGGGACUCCCUGUCUUAGAACCUAGCCCGCCACUAGGAGGUAUCGGAUCGAGUUUCAUAAAAAGCAGAAGCAAAACAAGGCGCAAUGCAAUUUGAGAAAGCAAAGAACUAAAAAGAAAGGUCCAGAUGCGUCACAGGUCCUCCGGACUGCGACUGAGGGUGAGACUGGUCCUCCGGACUUGUGAAUAAAGGGUUCAAAGAAGAUUGAAGAACAAAGGGUGCAAAGAAUAUUGCGAGCUCCAGAUGAGUUGAAUCGACCUCUAUCCCUUUCUUCGGAAGCCGCCGUUGGGACGUUCUUUCCCGCGGAAGAUGGUGCUUGACCGAGUGGGCUAAGCUUAUAGCAAGAAUAUCGUUCUCAAAAAUCUAAACGAGGUUGACUCCCGACUUGAUUUUCCCGGUUUGGAUUCAAACUUCCUUUUUGAACACGAGUAAGGUAUUCAGUUCCAUUCGAAUCAGUCGUCCUUCGGUUUUAAAGCAUUAUGUUCAGAAGGCUGAAUGAAAUUUGAGUUUAGUUUAGUCCCGCUUUUUUAGUGGAAUCUUUGCUAUUCAAAUCAGUUCGCAAUAUGCGCCUUAUUCAAUGACAUCGGUUUUUACCGCUCUUUGCGCCUUCGGACGGGAUAAAAGAAAGAGGUCCAGAGGACGUCCUGGAGGCUCCAUAAGACAGGGAUAUUGUGCGUAGGCUCAAUGAAAUUAGAGAGAAGAAGAUUUUCGGUUCAUCUUUAGCGCCUACAUCGCUCUUUGCACCUCACGCAAUGAUCUUUGCUCCUCCCACUCGUUCAGAAAGCCUAUGAAAUCAGGUCAAUCCGGAAGAGAGAGAGCUUCCGAAACAGCACCUAUUAAAAACCUAUAGCCUAGAAAGCAUCUGGGAGUCUUUCUUAUACACGAUUGAAAUGGAGCAGUACCCGAGGGUAGGCUUUCUCUUUCUGACUUUCUAGUUGAUAGGCUUGAUUUUAGUAGGUCUUUAGCCGAAAGAAAAGAGCUUUUCUCAGCCAAACAAAAGGGCAACCCGCAGGGCGAGCGGCUUGGCAACUCUUCCUACCGCUACGUGGGUUACGGAUUGGAUUAGUCCGAGUUCUCCUAGGCUUGAAUCUUAUGGCGUAGAAGGCUAGGCGGCUCCGCUCCGUGGGGCUUUCUGGAGGCAUCAAAAUCGAUCAAUGAAUGAGGCUUUCUUCGAUCAUUCUUUGAGCCUAAGUCUGCGAGAGGAAAAAGAAGGCGCAAAGACAGGUCCUCCGUUUUAGAGUCCUUCGGUUAAUUACGGAUAGUCCUACUUCCAUAUGGAUAGUCCUACGGACUCCGGACGGAUAAAUAGAGGAUCAAGUGCUUUAACCGCUACGCUGGAGCUACGGAGAAAGAAAGGCUCCAUAAGACAGGUCCGAAGGACUAUUAGGGAAUUUUGAUGAGAGAAAGAAGGCAAUAUUCUUUUCUUUGCGCCUGGACCUUUCUUUCAAAAGACUCCAAAUAACCUACGGCAAGGAAGAAGACGGAGAAGGAGGGCCACCAAAGACUCCAACGUCUGCGCCCCAUUAAAGACUUGAGAGAAUACGAAGGUGAGACUUCCUAUGAAAGAAGCUACCUGCCACUUUUCAUACUCAGUCUUAUCAAUAUUCUUUGAACCUCCGCUUCCUCUUUCUCGCAUAUUCACACCUCUCCCUAUCUGGAGUAGGUCUUUGCCGAGAAGUCAUAUAUUAUUUACGGGAUCUCAAGUCCGUAUAAGAAGAUCGCCCGAUAGGAGCAAAGAAUAUUGCCUUCCACUAAAUGCUAAAUCGGAUACUGUCUCCGAAGAUGAAUAACUAGGCUUUUUCGAUUCACCAGGCGCGGAAGCUGAAUUAAGAAGAUAGGAAGUUUAGGCGCGGAUGGUCCUGUCUCCCGAUCGGAUGCUGUCCCUUCUAAAGAAAAAGAUACCCGAAGCUUUUGGUCUUCGUAGAUAGCACCUGACAGAGUUUAGUCAAUUAUCACGGAUGAUCUAAGAGAAGAAGAAAGAGAGAAGAGCUAGUUUCAUUACAACCUUCUUCAACUGCGGAGUCAACCCUAAAAGUGGAUCUGGCAUCAAGCCUAUCCCUUUUUCCGGGAUCAAGUACUACUUCUAGAAAGAUCAAGCCUUUACUAUUAUGAUGUCAAUCUGGUAUCGGAAGAUAGAUCUGAGGCUUCUCCUUCAUUCACUCAUUCAACGGAGAAAGGGAAUAAGUCAAGACCUGACUCAGCUGCAAGGACGACGGAUUCCGAUCUGUCCGAAGGACUAUUCGCUAUUCUAAUACUCCCCGAUCCUACUUUUUCUUAAUAGUUCAUGCGAAAGAGAUUUCGAGUUCUUACUCGGCUGUAGGGAAAGUCUUCCCCGCUACGUGGGCUUUCUCUUAAAGCUCUUCUCGUCUUUUGAUCUCGUGAUUCAAUUUCUGAAUCCAUAGCAAGGAUUUCUCAUAGGACGAAAUCGGGGUAAGAUCUCUUGCUACAGAAAGGGUUCCGACUUCUCCAACUUCUCUGCCCGAUGGUAGGGGGCAGGGGUCUCACGCGCGUGAGGCUUCAGUUCAGUACUGAAUUUCUCAACCUUCCUUGAUAAGUCAAUGAACAAAGGCUGCGGAGGAAGAGGGGACGAGUCAGAUCGGUCUCUUUCUCUUGUUAACGAGAAUUUCGAUUCCUUGCUCACAUAUUAAGCUGCGUAGGAGGCGCAAAGAAUAUUGCUCAGAAAGAAUUAGCUGCCGUGAGUUGCGUGAGAAGACUUGUAAUAGAGUGUCCAGCUGACUAUCCAUUAGAACUUUGCGCCUUCGAUCGAAGAGUCUUUUUUUUGAUGUCCCCAUUUAUUUUGGCGAUCUACAUCGCCUGGUUCGAGGACCCAAGCGGACUUUCUCGCCCAAUGGAAUCGGACCGGCUUCAGUCUACGAAUUCCCUAUGAAAAGCAUAUCUUAACCGGCGCCUCUUAUUUUCCAAUUUUUGUCUAAUGCUCGGUCUUGAAUUAUUAUCAAUAUCAAAAUCUCCGCGGUGAGCAUAAGCAUAAGAAAAAGAGAAGUCCGUGGGAAAGGCAGAGGAUCAAAGUCUCGACCCCUACGUGGGAGAAAGACGAGGCGCCGUGAACUAGGGCAAGGGAUAUUAGGGGAAUCUGAAUUUGCAGAAAGAAAGAUUUCAGACUCCUAAGUCAAUCUUUCUUGACUUGCACUCAUUCAUGAAAGGCAUAUUGAAUUGCGCCGGAGUCCGGAGGACCAUCAAAGAAAGGUCCAGGGGCCGCAGUCCGGAGUCCGCAGGAUUUAUCCGUAGUCCGGAGGAUUCUUAUCCGUAGGACUAUCCAUUAGAAGUAGGACCAUCCAUAUGGGCCAAAGAAAGGUCCAGGGUCCGGAGUCCGCAGGAUUUAUCCUACGUCCGGAGGAUUUAUCCGUAGGACCAUCCAUAUGGAAGGAAGUAGGACGGACCAUCCGUAAUUAACCGAACCUGGCACCUACGCAGUCUCUUUAGUAUUUGGAAUUCCACUAAAAACCAUAUUAACCUUCUAGGCUUUAGGCAGCCUCCUUCAAUUGGGAUUCUGGUGAUUCAAAGAUAGAAUGGGGGAAUCUAUGGCUGACUCUGACUCAUACUCAAGAUCUGAUGGAAGUCCGUCCCAAGGGAAGAGGAAAGCGGAUUGACCCUCGAGCCUAUGGGAUAAGAAGAGAGAGGGUUUGGGGCUCACUCAGUCCCAGUUCUGGAAAUCAUUCAUUCCCUGGGUUGGUUGGAGACCCCCUUUCAGUUCUUGCACCAAAAAGGUAAUUCAACAAAUAGUCUCCCUUUGCCCAGCAACUCCACCAGGAAGAGAUAAAGGUACUCAAGGUCACAGGGACGGAACAAGCUCUUUCAAAGUCAUCCUCAGGGUCUGUUGCGGUUUCAGUUUCAUAAGUGGCUGCAGAAGAUCAGCCUGGAUCGGGGAAUGAAGUAGCAGAGGAGGUUGAAGCAGAGCCUGCUGUCGUGGAAGAAGCGGCCUUUCCUUCCCCUAUCGCCUCAUUCAAGGCUUCUUUCUCUUAAUCCUACACAUCCAUCUUCUCUUUGAAAGAGAUACAGUUCCAUCACCGCGGAGUGGGAACGAGUAGGACUCUCGCCCUAGCACAGAGAAAGGGAAGAGGUUCUCAGACGCUCGAAAGAGUUGUAUCAGGAGAGGUUCACGCUCGAGCUAAACUACUAAAAGAGUCAAUGCCCACUAUAGUAUAGGCAAAAUCUUCUCUUUUCUUAAGCAAAGCGAUUAUUUAUUAUGAAUCUCGUAUAUGAACUCUAUUCUAAAUAUCAGAAGAAAGCAUCCCUACCUGCACCCUCUUCUCCACGGAGGGAAAGCGCUCAACUGAGAAAGUCGACACGACGACGGACAAAUCGACCAGACGCGCUAUCUCGGGCCGUCGGCCCAUCCCAUCGAUAAGACCUUUUCUUGUGCGCAUUCCGUCUACCGGCAGGCAAGGAUGAAAGUAGCGGAGCAGUCUGCAAUAAUCAGGCAGAAGAAGAAAAGAAAGACUGCAAAGGAGCGGCAACCUACUGAAAUGAAAGGAAGAAAAAAAAGGCGCGAAGCGACUGAUCGAUGUUAUUGGAACAAGGGAUAGGCUUUUUUCUUAGUAUCAGUCCAAGAAAGAGGAAAGUCUACAAACUAAACCAGGUUCAAAGAAUAUUGACAAAGAAUAUUGCUCAAGAAUAUUUCAUUGUCUUUUUUAGUGGUCCGAAUUCUGAUUUCCUAAUCAAUAUAUAAAGAAUAGUCGCAAUAUUCGAUAAUGAAAGCCCACGUAGCGGUGCCAUAAGACAGGUCCGAAGGCUGGUUAAUAUGGAUAGGACUGAGGACGGGGAAUUUGGAUAGCUCUUACAGAUGUCAAUGUUUCUGACUCCUUCGGUUCAAUUAUAAGGGGGAUCGUUGGGGAAUCCAUAUAUAAAGAAUAGUCUAUAUAUUCUUUGCGCUCAUUGAUAAGGGCAAUAUUCUUUGCUUUUCGCAAAUCAAUAUCUAGUUCUUCUCAUAUUACAUUGAUCCUCUCAUUCCCUAAUAGUCCUUCGGACCUGUCUUAUGGCACCUCAUCAAAAUCCAUAUUAGCCUGGCAGCUAAGGAUAUUCUUUCUUCCCGCGGAGUGGGCUGACUUUGCACCUUGUCAUUGACUCAAAAAGAAAGGUCCAGGCGCAAAGAAUAUUGCGUAGAUCCAUUGAAUUUCUUCGAUCUAUUUCACUCAUUCCCUAAUGGAUAGGACUGAGGGCGAGACUGGUCCUCCGGACUUGUUUAAUGGAUAGGUCAACUCAUCUGGAGCUUGAUUUUGAAAAGAACUUUGCCGGUCCCACUCCGCGGUUGAACUAUACGGAGCGAAGUGAGCAUAGUGACCAGAGCAGGGAGCUAGAGAAGAAAGAUAAGUGGCUGAAGAAGAUCCGCCUGGUUUUGAGGUUCAUUCCGUAGCAUAAGGGGUUGCCGCAGAAGUGUCUGUCGGAAGAACUUCUUGCCCAAGAACGAAAUCAAAAAUCAUCCUAGGACGAAAAAAAGGGGAAUUCUCUAAUCGGCAGGCUGAACAUUCCCUCUUAAGUAAAGCAAGUCCACUGCCGGGUACAAAACAAGGACUCGUCAACAGGAAUUCAAUCUAAGAUAGCUGGUAGCGAGACUGGUCCGGAGGACGGGAAGAAUGAUCGGAGAGUGGAAAUAGGGAAUUCUUACAAGUGCAGUUGAGGCUCAAAGAAUUUGAGCGCCAUAAGACAGGGAUAUUGUUGACGCUUUGAAGAUCGAAAGACGUCAUCACCAGAGAGGAAUUUGCUCAAUAGAGUUGACUCUGGUCGGAUUAGUUUACUCAGGAUAGGGGAAUGGAGUUGAUAGACGUCGAACCCAACCCACCGGGGUUCAGUACUAUUAGAAUAAUAAUCAGAGUCCGAGGUCGGCGCAGAGUUCCUGUUUCAUCACUCUUAGUAUUCUGAGUUUAGGAAGUAUCUCAUGAGGAAUCAGAAUCAGGAACCCCAUCGUAAGGGAGAGGUGUAUCACACUGACGGCUUUCUUUAGAAAGCAAUUUUCGGACGCUCCUUCUUUGAAUUGCAUAAACCCGGUAUUUUUGUCUGAGAGUCAAACCGGGGCUUCUUUUGUCCAUUUUCACAUAAAAAAGUAGGGUCAAAGAAUGAGAGAAUAAGAUUUUUAGGGAAUUUUCAUCCGAAGAGGCAGAACCGGCAGCGUCUCGACCAAUCGGAAGAGGGAGCUCAGCUCCUAAAAUCAAAGCUCCAGAUGAGUUGACGAGACCAAAGGCGGAGUACGCCGCAGAGAGGAUAGGCCCAGCACUCAUUUCGUAAGUAAGUAAGCGAGACUCGACCAGUGGCAGUCAUCAGACUUGGAACAAUAAGAAGUUGGUGACCUCUUCCGUCCUUUCGUUUUUUGUCUUGCUGGAUCGGUUAGCGACCUCGGAAUCUGAAGGAUGCAAACUCCAACUUAGAUAGGCUCCCCCGGCCUAGUGCCAUAACUCUGAUUAGUAGAACGACGACCGGGAUCGGAGAGAAGCAGCUUUACAGAAGGGAAGGUUAGAAGUAGCUUCUUUCCUGAAUCUUCGAGGUAAGAGGCAGCAGCAGGAUCCGUUGAGGCGGGAGGAAGAGAGAGGGUUCGGGGCCCCCUUGCUGCUUAGUUUCCGGGGAGAAAAUACAAGCGAGCGGUAUGAGCUGCUGUUCUUGAAGGAGUUGCAGUCGCUCUUCGUCUUGCAGAAGUAGUAGUUGUCCCACCACCACCUUCUUUAUAUGUAAAGGCUUAUGUCCCAAUUUACAGUGAUUUAAUGACUUCCUUUUCUGGGGAGCCGCGGAAAGAUGAAAAAAGACAUUCAAAGGCGCAAUUCCAUAUGCCUUGAAUCGGAAGAGUUCCAUAACUUUACGAGGUGCGAACUUAUGUCCUGUCCCAGGAAAAGGAGAAAUGCCCGAGACUUAGAGGAUCGGGAUUCAGUUCCGGAGAAAGGCUCAACCUACGGGCAGAGGAAGUUGAAGUACGAGAGACUGAGUCCGCGCCCCCUUGAAAGCAAGUCUGAAUUUUGAUGUUUUAGAAGUUGCGAAAGUCGCUUUUCAAAUUCUUUGAACCUUGUUCAUUCUGAACUUUCUCCUCCUUCUCCUAUGUCCAAAAGUCAUGAAAUUCUCAAUAUGUGGUCCGAAUUCUGAUUUCCUAAUCAAUAUAUAAAGAAUAGUCUAUAUAUUCUUUGUCAAUAUUCUUUGAACCUCAAAUUUCAUUGAGCAGUUCUUCCCGUGUAGUGGGCUUACCUUUAAGACUCUUUCAGUUCCAUAAGACUGAUCUGGAGCUUUUGCAAAGAAGAGAAUAGAAUGGCGAUCACAAAGAAUAUGCCUUGAAUGAAUGAGUGCAAGGCUGAAAGAUUAAACUACCGCACCGUGGGGGAGUAAGAAACCGCAUCUUUGCAAAUUCAGAGCCACUAUUUUUCCUUGUAAGUGGCUUCGCGCCAUCUCGCCUUGGAAGAGAUUAGCCGGCGAAAGGCCUCGACUAAGAGACAGGCAAACCAAUCAGGGCAUCCAAUCGGCAGGGAGAGGGGUCGACGUGUGAAGUUUGCUUCUUUAAGAUAGAUAAUAGGGGAGUACUUGAGUUCUUGCAAAGACAUUAUUCUCAUUCAUAUAUGAUGAACGAUCAAUGAACAAGGCUCAAAGAAUUUGAUGCUCCGCGGUACAGUAGAAUCAGAGAGAGGAAGGAGGGACAAACUCCAAACAAAAGGCUCGUACGGUCCCCUUCGAGGAAUCGGAUCUCUAAGGAUAAGGGAAAGGCCUAACUAAACUAACUCACUCUUUUUCUUCCUUUUUCAGUCGCAGUGGAAGUGGCUGCUGAUGAGGCUCAAAGAAUUUGAGGAUCGCUCUUUCAUUCGUUACCGCUCCGUGGGUCGCAAAGUGGCUUAAAACUCCUAAACCUAAAAUAAAGACGAAAGUACUUAACUUAUGGGAGCCCACUAAAGAAAGCCUAUUAUCUUCUAAGAAAGUUCAAUCUUCUUUCGAACGAAGGAACUCAUAUUCAUUCAGCUAUAUACUCCUCCAGGACGUCGUCUGGACCCGUCCUCCGGACUUCUGAAUUCCAAAAAAAGGUGUGAAAUCCGCUAAAAUUGCCACUUUUCAUUAAAGCUCCGUCGGCUCCAUAAGACAGGUCCGAAGGACUAUCCAUCAGGAAGGCUCAAAGAAGAUUUUCUCUCAAAUUUGAAGUUCCACGCAAUAUUCGAGCAAUAUUCGAUACCACUACGGAGGCCCCAUAAGACAGGGAUAUUGAUUGAGAGGUGCAAAGAUCUAUGGCCCCCAAUUAUAUUAUAAGGGGUCCAGAUGACUAUCCAUUAGGGAAUUUGAGAAGCGCAUGAAAUUCAGAGGCUCAAUGUAAUAUGAGUUGAAUUGCGCCGGAGUCCGGAGGACCAAAAAGAAAGGUCCAGGGUCCGGAGUCCGGAGGAUUUAUCCGUAGGACCAUCCAUAUGGAAGGAAGUCGGACUAUCCGUAAUUAACCGAACUUUGCGCCUAGCCUCUCCUUACUCAAAUUGCAUUGAGCCUCCUCCGCCUCUUGAGCCUGAAUUAUCUCAGAUUUUCGGUUCAUCUUUCCAUUGAAUUUAUGGAACCCCCUACGCGGUGCAAUGAAAUAUGCGAUGACAUUCUUUCUUUUCUGGCUUCUGAUUGCAGCCGCUUAAAUUCAAAAAGCGCAAAGAAUAUUGCGUGAUGACUUACUAUUUUGCUCAUUCUUCCCGUCCUCCCUCCAUCCAAAUAAAAGGAGCCAGCCCAUGGAGAUGCUCGUCUUGAGCCUGAAUUUGAGAAAAGACUUCUGCGGAGAGCAAAGAAUUUGCGAAGAAGAAAGAUCUUUUUUUUCAGUGGUGUCAAAAACAAAGCGGAAGAUGAGUCUUAUUCCUUUGUUCAUUGACCUCUUUCAUUCGCGAGAGAAAAUAGACUAAAGCAGCCCAUUCUUUAGCUCAUUUAGAAAGAUUUGACUAGGGAGGUUUUCGGAUUUAAGUACUUUCGUCUUUAUUUUAGGUUUGAAAAGACAAGAAGAAGUUAAGCUUGAUAAAGUCAAGAGGAGGGGUCAGAAUGCUUUGAAUAGGUUGAAUAGUCCUCCUAUAAUUUAGUGGAUAAACAAGGCGCAAAGAAUAUUGCAAAGGUCCUUCUCAAAUUCUUUGAUCCUCAGGCGCAAUUCAAUAUGCGAGUAGGAGGAGCAAAGAAUAUUGCCUUCCACUAAAAGACUAGGACUGAGGCCUUCUAAUUGGAUCUGGUUCAAUUCCCACUCCAAAAACAACCAGAUGAGUCAGAAAGAUUUCCUUAAGAUAAUAGGCUUUCUUUUCAUAAAAAACCACUAAAGAGCGUGCCAAAUCCCAAUCUGCAACAGAGCGAGUAGCCUGGUCAACUACAAAAACAAAGGCUCGACUGAAAUUCUAAAAAACACGAAUAAAUAAGGUUUUUCCAUCUAAGGAAGUGUAGUCGCCAAAAGGCAAGUUGAACGAAGGGCCUAGGGAAGUCGGGGCUGAGCAACGGAACUCUACUGGACCCCUAUGAUGGGAUCGAACAAGCGCACCAAUGGAAGUCGGACUGAGUCCGAGUCUAAAAAAGUGCUCGUCUUCCCCUGUCCUUGCGGAUAGCGGGAGCAAGAGAAAGACGAUGUACCAGAGCCCUAACCAUCGGGACUGAGACAGAACUAAUGUUGACCCGACCUUGAUUGAUUAGAAAGAGCUUAGCAAAGCCAUCCACGAGAAAAGAGAUCAUUGUUUGGGCCUCAUCUUCAGCUCCUCCAUGGCUUCCUGGUAAAGUUCUGCUACGUGCCUAUCCUCUCUGACAAUGUCAUCACAUUGAAUAGCGUACUUCAGAAACCUUUGAUAGAAGAAAAAAUGGGGACGAGUGAAAAUAAACUAAUAUUUUUGAAUGAAUGAGUUUCGGAGUACGAAAAUAUGAUGAAUAGUCCUCCCUCCGACGGAGCAGCUUAGCUUAACUUAAUAUGUGACCAAAGGUCCAGAUGAGUAUAUAGCGUAGGAUCAAUGAAAUAUGAGAAGAAUUCUUUAUAUAUUGAUUAGCCUACUUUUCCUACGGGGUCCUCCGGACAGGUUAAUAUGGAUAUAAAGAAGUCAGAAGGACAUUCUUUCUUUUUUUUGGUCCUCCGGCACUUUCUCUCAAAUUUCAUUGAUCCUACGGACUAUCCAUUAUCAGAGAAAGAAUUUGAGAAAGAGGGAGAGAAGCGGAUAAGCGGAUCUUGCAUAAAUCAGCGGAUAUUGCACAAGCCGAUCUUGCUCUUUUGACCUGAUUGAAUUCCGUGACGGCGUAAACCAAUCCGCAAUAUUCUUUGCACCGCACCGUGGGGGAGGGCUCAUUCACUCGAAUUCAAGAAUCAUUAUUCUUUCAUAACCUGGAGGGUCAAAGAAUAUUGAGCAGAAUAGACCCGUAUUUCUCCGGACCAGAAACUCAAACAAGAAUCAAACUAUGUUCAUUUCGAAAAUCAAAUAGGACAAUGCCUUGCUAUUUCCCGGCUUUUUUGCUUCUAAAUAGGACUAAAUCGAAUAUAUAUAUCUAACGAAAAUUGUCUAAAAAUGACUGAUUUUUCAUGAUUUCUUGCUACUUCCCUAUGGGCAAAACCUAGCAAAAUCAUGUAUUUCCCUCCGCGAAGGACUAGUCUGAAAUCUAGCGGAUUCAUAAUUCUUCUUUCAUUUCUGAAUGAUUCUUGAAUUCGAGUUAAUGAGUGAAUUCUUCUUUUCUUUUCUUGACUUUGAACAGGUGCCAUGCAAUUAUAAAGGGUCCAGAUGUUCCAUAAGACAGGUCCGAAGAACUAUCCAUCAGGGAGGAUCAAUGAAAUAUGAUGGAUCCUCCUUAGUCGGCUAAUAAGCCAGUUAUGGGAGAUUCUUUAGUCCGCUAAUAAGUAGCUUGGGCUAAGAAUAGGUUGAAGCUCUUCUUCUUAGUCGGCAAAUAUAGCAAGUGUGAAGCGAGAGUGAGCUUUCUCUUUAGGUUGGAAUCAGUACAUCUAGAGUAUGUGAGGGGAGAAAGCGUCAAGCCUGGGAGCUAGUGCAAAGAUAAGCCCUCACUUCUUCCUUUCAUCUCGCUCGCUUUGCUCGAUUCUUAUAUGGAUAGUUUUCUUGCAGCCAAUCGAUAGCCUGUCUCUUAGUUCUUUCUUAUUCAAGAUCUAGUUACAUUUUCCCUAUCCAGUUUGAGUCUUUUUUUAGCCUAGGCUUUCUUCCAAUCCAAAUAGUAAGCUGGUCCAGGCUAGGAAAUGGCCCUAGUUCUUCGACCCGGACCCCUAUGAUUCUGUCUUCUUGCUUUGGGCUCCUACUCGAAUGAAUACCAGUCGAUACCUUCAUCUUUCAAUCACCGAGGUAGAAGUAGAAGGAAUGAGAACAAAAAUGCAAUUUCGUCCCAUAAAAAUAGAAUAUGAUCUCUUCUUUGAAUAUGUAUGCUCCACCUCUGCUUUACCGUAUCGGAAAAGAUAAGAGAAACUAUAUGUCAAGGAGCUAGCCUGGAACAAAAGAAAACUAGAAGUAACCCCCCAGGGGCUGGAAGAGAACUACCAAUGGAUUUAGCAAACUAGCACUCGCUGGUGAAAUAGUCCUCCAAAGCAGCAGCCUACUUUAGGAAUCCCCAAAAGCAUAUAAAAAAUGGCGGUCCUGUAACCAGCUUGUGCUUACUUUUAUGGAAUCACUGGCUCCGCAAAUUGGCCAAGACUGGAUCUCAACCCGAAGGGGAAAUAGAUUCCUUUUUUCUUGCUGGAGAAUACUUUUCAACUACAGACUUGGGAAGUCUUCCUGCUCCUGCUUUUUUGACCUUGGAUUGGAAAGGGCUGGAGGGGAGCUCCUAUACUAUGGGGAAGGCCAAAGCUAUUUACUUAAAGUCUCCUUUUGAAGCGAAGCACUAGGAAUGAUAUCCGAAGCCAAGAAGAAAACUCCUGCUCCACUGGGAAAAGGAAAAUAAUGGUAUAUAAGACAGAAAGUAUAUAAGAGCUUUACCAGGGGACCCCGUUUAACCACUUGCUUGACUUUGGGACGCCCUCCUUGAACUGAGAAAGUACUCUUUCUAUUGUAAAAGAGAAGAGAAGGUAGGGCAGGAGAAGGCAGAACCAACUAAAACUCACGGGAGUACGGCAACUCCUUAGAUCGUAUGGAAGGGGAGGAAUGAGACCAAUAGCUCUUUACCCUGCUGUCUGGUGGGGAACUUUCACUGGCAUUAACUAUGGGCGGGCACUCCCAAUUGUUGGCCUUAGUACUCGAAACUAGUUCGCAGGCUUGAGAAGAUGGUUAAACUAGCUAUUCUAGAUACAGGUAAUCUCUAAAGGGGGGAAGCAAAAAUGACUGCGCUUGCCCUGGCCUGAGAGAUUGAAAAACUCCUACUGGGUCUGCAACUCGCUCGAAUGCGGAAGGAAUUUGCAUAUCCCUGCCUUCUCACGCAAUAUGCUUUGCGCCUUGAUCUGUCAAUGACUUGAGACUGGAGAGCUCACUUCACUUUCUGGCAGUCACUUCGGAUAUACCUUUUGUCUUUGCCUUACCCAUUGUAAAGGAUACUGGCUAGCUUGAAAAGAGUGCUAGCGAACCUGCUUUUGACCUAGAAGCUGCUUUAAUACCCCGCUGACUUCAGAUUCAGAUUGGCUGGAGGUGAAGACCUUAGCAUUGGCUUACAAGGACUCCUCUCUCAAAAGAAAGGGUACUGGCAGUAGACAAAUUACCUACUGGUAAAGUCAAGGGAGGACCAGAGCAGCCACAUAGGGCAGUUUGACAUCGAUUGCGGGUAAAGACAGAUAGUCAGACCUAGCAAUCUAGUUAAUAAGGACCCCCCGGAGAAAGACAGCUUCACAAGUCAGUUCCCCUGGCUCGGGCUAUCUCAGGAAAGAGUUGGGAGCACAUUCUUUCUUUGAACAUUGAGAAAGGAGCGUAGCCACCGCUGAAUCGGAUUCUAUUCUUGGUGCUGGCAGAGGUUCAAACUAGCUAUGCACUAAAGAAGCCCUAACCUAACCCCUAUAGUCAGAGUAGUGAAGCAAGCGAACUGAACCAACUAACCUAGAUCUUCACUCCCUGGAAAUGAAUAGCUGACUGAAGCAGGCAUAGAUAGCAGAGGCAUUUCUAUCCAGUACUCCUUUCUUUCCAUCGAUCCUUCUUUCAAUGCUCUGAUAUGAGUUGAGUUUCGAGUAGUCGAUGAUUCGUCACAGGUAGGUCAAUAUUCUCCUACCUUUUCUUUGUUCUUUCUUCUAUGUCAAUAUUUCACCUUCUUUUCUUUCAAUGUAAAUGCUUCGGGUUCUACUAGACACAGAGCGAGAAGUCGUUCUGCUCUCUUCAGCUAUCCCUAACACACUAGACCAAGCGAACCAUCGUUGACCGAACCGUCUAACCUAGCUAGAUCUGAGCUACCUGGAUCCCUUUGUCAGUAAGUAAUUGAGGAAGAGUUACCUGGAUUGAGACAGUCUGAAGGAUUAGUACCCCCCUCGGUCCAAUUCCAGCUGUUCUUGCUCUCUCAGGACUUCCUAGGUCAAUUUCAUCGAGUAAAGAAAUUCUCACACAUAGUCAACCCAAUACUUGACUAUAAAGUAUUAGCUAAGUGCCUUCUUUUUUUUGAUCUCGCUACAAGUUCUAGUAUGCUCUUACGUCUUGAACCCUGUCUUUUAGACUAGCUUAUCUCCAGUAGCAGUGGUUGGGAAGAAGAUAUUCCCCUAUCCAGGAGUUUAGGCUUAAUAGAAUCCAGCCCUAAAUCCGCUUAUGAGAACUGAACUUCACGAUUGGACAGCUAUAAGCUAAGCACCAACUUCCGCAAGGACUGCCCUGAAGGAUAGGACAUUCUUUCUCUUACUAGAAAACUCCGAACAUUCUAAUGGCGCGACAGGCGCAAAGAAAGCUAAGCUAAUAUGGAUAUAAAGAACGACUAAGGACGGAGGAUCAAAGAAUUAUCUCAAGAAUAUUGCCAUUAUUUUUCAUACUUUUUCAAAGAAUCCCUAUAAGUUGACUUAUUCUCUACCCGCUCGGCCUCGUAAACUCUGUAUCAAGCCCUAACCCAACUCAGACUAUGAAACAGAAAUUCCGGUCCAGACCAGUCCGUCUUAUUCAAAACCGAGACUUCCGGCCGAAACUAGCACUCAAAGCGAUACUUAUUCAUCUGGAAGUCCCACAGCCAAGAUUACUCUCUCGUCGAUCCCAUGAUAAGCUAAUAAUAGGGUGAGCUCCCUCUACAUCCAGCCUGAGAUACUGAUUUUGCUAACUCUCAGCUCAAAGUCAAAUAGGUUUUAUAGGAGCCUGGAUCAUUCAAAAAGAAAGAAUGUCCUUCUGACUGAUUUUUAUCCAUAUUCAAUGAAAGAAUUCCUGCCCAUAAAAUCGCCGACUAAAUCGGAGAGAGCAUACUGAGUAUGAAGAUGGAAGACUAAGCUAAACUGGAAGAAGAUCUCUCUUUCUGGGUCUUAUCCGUCCUACUCUCUCAGUCUUGAAGUGACUGACUCUUCCUUCUGAUCAUAGUACUGAUCCUACUUCUGACUAUUUAUCUUAUUCAUUCUUCAUCGACUGAUGACUCGGAAGAAAUGGAACAAGGGGGUGUAGCGGACUCUCUCUCUUACUGACUUUCUGAUCAUAGUACUUAUGAAAGUGAACCAAAUCUUCUUCCUAUUCUCAUUCUAACUUCCGAUUCUUUUCAAAUCCUUUCCAAAUGGAGAAUUCUGACUUUUCUUCCAUAUUCAGGAGUUCAGUCAAUAUCCCUCGUACUCCAUCUAGAUAGAAAAUGGGAAAGUCCUCUUAUCGAUACUCUGCCAGACUCGGCUUCGCGGGCGCCUAUAUAAAAGAAGGGAGAGGCCUCUCAAAUACUUUGACCCUCUUCUCUUUUUUCGUGGUAAGAAAGACGGAGCGGUCUAAGUUCCGGAUCGAAAAUCGAGUUGGGGCGAAGCAGUAUUCUGACGAGGGUGCAGAAUUAUGAGGAUAUGCUUUCCCCGAAAACUCUCUUUACUCAUUCGAUCUGCUUCCGAAGAGGUGCUAGAAGCCGCCUCAUCCCUGAUUUCGAGGUGGGAAGCCGUGAGUCGGGUCUUUCUUUCUUCAUUCGCUAUUGCUUCAAGCAAACUAGUCAAAUACUUGAUUAAGUAGUUUCGGGGAUAGGAAUAGUCAGAAAUUCAUAACUAUCUUCUUGCGGAUCUUCUGAAAUAAGAGGUCAAAUUCAAAGAAAAAGGCGCACUCACAGAAGUUUCAGUCAGAAGUUGCCUCAGUCCUCCUUGGUCCCCUGAAUCAGAAUCAAGGAUCUUUCAUCCAUCCCUUCUUCUUUCUUUUGCAGUUGCAGUGGAAGUGGGAGUUUCAGCUCCAGAGGCUUUUCUUGAGGAAGGAAUAGCGAGACCCUUUUCAUUGAGGCGGUUGAGCUGGCGCAGCUUCUCCCUGGCGCCCAUAAGAGUCUGAAAUCCAUGAUGAAGGACUACUCCCCGGAUCAGGCAGAGAGGGUAGAGGCGAGGAAGCUUUAGCUUUGGAUGAAUGGGCUUGAAGCAAUGAGAAGAAGAAGAGCGUAUUUUUAUACCUCCUUCCAUCCACUCCUUUUUCCGCACUUCAAUCUGAACUAAGAAAAGGGGAAGAAGAAGAGCAGCUCUCCCGACCUAUCAAAUCUCCAUCUUUCUUUCCCGAAAGCAUGAGUCAACAGAGUAAGCAGUCUCGGCAGAGAAAGGGCUUGGACCAAGCUAUCACUCAUAUCCUAUUGGAGUUGGGUCGAUCGGGCAGUCUGUUUAGGAAGUAGCUGCCGUGGAAGAAGCGGCCUUUCCUUCCCCUAUCUCUGGGAAUCAAGUUCCUUCUUUCUGAAUUUACGGAUCGAGCGAAGACAUCUUGAGACCAUAGGCUUGAAUCCUUUAAGAAAUAUCCCACUUUGCCUUUCUUUGACUGAUAGAUCCGAUCGAUCCUUCUACUAAGACAAGAAAAGCGACUUCCGAAAGAUCUCUAAGCAAUCUCUAUUCUAUUGGAAAAGAAGUGGAACUUCGAGUCUAGAAACUUUCUUCCACUCAUAAGGCUUACGAAUUCCGAUGAAAAGAGUCAAUCUAAAAAAGACUGCAGAAAGCCUAUCCUCCUAACCUCUGAUUUAUGGGGGUCUCGCUCCCUCUUUCUAUUUCUAUCGGAAGACCAAAUUCUCUCUAUCUCCGCUCCGCUUCUUUGCUCUGGUCUCGCUUCUUCGCCCUAGUAAAGCUUCCCGAUUCUUUUCGGUAUCUGUCUUUCCUUAUUCAGAAAUGAAUAUGAAUUGAAGAAGAAAAAUCCCUUUCCGUGAGUCAGGCUCAAAGAAGAUUUCGAAAGAGAGAAAGAAUAUUUUAUUUCACUUUCUUUUGUCUUUGUCAUUAACAUAUGAAAUUAGGACAGCGACCCUUUCAGAUGAAAUGAGGUCUUAGGCUCUCGAAGGAGACGAGGUUCUCUUCCGAAAAGGGAUUUUCUGACUAAUGUAAUGGGCAAGUCCCUUUCUUAGAGGAGAUUCCAGUAGCGGGUCUAUAACGUAAAUCAGAAUAGAAUGAGAGAGAGGAUUGGGACCGAAGGACAGCUUCCACGCCAGGAAGGAAUUAAUAAGACAGCUGGGUGUGCCGGCCAUAUGUACUUUGAUUUUCUUUUUUCACAUUCAAACGGGCGCGGAGGCAAAGAAAGGGAAAAAGGAAGGCCCCAUUCCCAUUCAACUCAUCUGGAGCUUGAUUUUUCACCAUUCCGAAGUGUGAUCUAUUAACCUCCGGGAUCUCCGCGAGAUUCUCUGUAGGUAGAUAGGGAGCUUGCUUUCGAGUUCGGAAUAGAAAGAAGUACGAUGUCAGCGGCCCGGUCUCCCACUUGAAGGAUAGGCUUUCUCUCUAGUAAAGCUUGCUCCCGCCCCCCCUAGAAAAGUAGGCCUUAAUCAAUAUAUAAAGACUUCUCCGCAAUAUUCUUUGGGCCUACGGUCCGAAGGAGUCAGAAACCACAUCUUUGCAACCUUUGUGAGUCAGAAACUCAAAUCAAUAUCCCGCGUAGUGGGCCAUAGAUCUUUGCGCCUGCUAUUUAACAGCUUUUUUUCUCCAUAAUACUUUAUUAGUUAUUUAACAGCUUUUCUUUUCCAUAAGACUUUUCUAGCUAAAAUAAUGAAAGGCCUAUCCAUUAGAGAAUUUGACUUGCGACGUCCGCUUUAAGAGCCUAGGGAUCGUGGAAGGGUGAGUUUGCUUCCCCCAGUAAGCACGCCCUAAGAUGCUGCUUGAGAUCUUUCGGCCUUCUGUUCUUGCAGCAGUUGAAUAAGUGUGUCCGCUGUGGAUUGAAGCUCUUGACCGUAUUUCCUAUAAGAUACCGUACUUCCAGACAGAGGUCUUGGUUUUCUCCGUAGCUAAGGGCGGACAAUGAAUCCGUACUUCAUCCUCAGCGAAAGGUACCUUGAAGAAAGUCUCUGAAAAAAGGGAAAGCUCUCACACUUAAGAAAAGACAAGAUUUUGCCUAGGGUCCUUGAAAUCCCACUAUUUAGAGGGGACAUCCGCUCAGGAAGAGGUUAGAGUUGAAGCGCUAUCACUUUGAGAUUGAAAGUAAGGAAGAUGGAUCGGGGUAGGGACCACUAGGUGGGGCCUACUUUAGAUGAUAGGUUAGAACCUUCUCGACCAGUACUUCUCUAGAAAAUAGGUAAGAGAAAGCCUAAGGAAAAGAAUCUGUACUCAAGGGUCAAAGAAUAUUGACUUGAGGACAGUCUUCUUACUUAAGGGAUGAUCUCGGAGCAAAGGCGUCAUGGACCCUCUGGCCUAUGGGAGGAAGACAGGGAGGGGAUUGCCGCUCGAAAGAGAAGAAGGGCAUCAGCCAUACCUGAAGCGGAGGCAGAAAAGGGCGCUUCGGGAAAGAAAGCCGUCAGUCCGAGCUUUCUCUUUUUCUUUCAGCAGUUGCCUCAUCUGGUAGGGCAGAUCUCUCUUUAUGAAAUUAAGGCCUCAUAAAAGUUCUUCAUUUAUUUACAUGUAAAAGUGAGAAGAACUCUUUUAAGACGUUAACGGAUGCAAACCCCCUUUCAUCCUCUUCAUCUUUCAUGGGCAUUCCAACAAGAAAAAGGUUAGGGCGCGGCGACUCUCCUCUUCCUAAGUACUACUCGCAUAAGAAUCGUUUUCAUGAUCAAGAUGAUCAGACAGAGGGAUCCCGAACUGGACAAAGGUGAGAGAGGAGAGGGAAGCCCCAGGAGGUAAGCGAAGUCAUCAAGAGAAAGCGAAGGUUGAUCGUAAAAAACCUUUCUUUUCGAUUUCUAAUCAUUUUUUUUAGAAGAGAAAUGGAAUCAACCCCUCGUUCUACCCGUGGGGACGGUUGAGCUGACCAUACUAAACUGCUCUUCUCUUGUGACAGAAGAUGAUAGUGGUUCUAACCGCGCGCGUCUCACCCGACGCGACCGAGUUUCUUUGAAUGUGCGAUUGUAGAGCUUAGAGGUUCACUCCAACCUGGUUUUUUAGGCUGAAUGCAAAGGAAUGAACCAGAGGAGUCUUCUCAUGGAAUAUCUUUCUUCUUAUCUACUUUACCGCUGCAAAUUGAAGCUGGGUCCGUCCCAGGCCUCCUUAUUUUUUCUAGAAGUAGUCCUUUCUUUUCUUGGGUUCCGUUCAGUCGCUUUUGAAGCUCUUAUUGCAAGAAAUAUGGUAUAUUCACGAGGCGAAAGAAAUGGAUGAAUGUGCGAGACCGCGGAGGGGGCCAUAAAUUAGGUACAAUCAUCAGAGUUAUCGAAGAGCGGCUCGUCCAUACAAUACAAUUGGGCUAACCCAUGAAAGUCAAAGCAAGUCUUCUUUAUUUAUGCUGAAAAACUCUCCUCUGGCUUCGGCUCGAUCUAUCCAGGGUCUUUGCUCACCGAUACUAUGUAACCAAGCCCAAUUCUUUCUACUAUAUGGAGCGGGUUUGAGAGUUCGUUCGUCACUUUACUCAUCCAACGGGAAAGGUUAUGGGUUGCUGCAACAAAGCCUCUAGGUUCAUUACCCUGAUCAUGGUGGUAGGGGUCACCCUAUAAACCCGGACAGAUAAGAGAAAGGGAAUUAGGCGAGCUCCAUCAUCAUUAUGAACUGGGGAAUGUGAAGAGAGAUAUACCCUGAAAUUGGCUAGCAAGCUGGCUCAAGUGGGUCAAAUGGUAUGCUUCAGUCUGUUCUGAUCCGCUGAUAACGAAAGUACGAGAUCCGGACAUAGAUCUUUGAAAGUACGGACUAAAAGGAAGUUAAUAUGGACCUGAUCUCAAAUUCUCUAAUGGAUAGUCCUUCGGACCGCUCCAAAAUAAAGAAAAGAAAAGAUGCGCAAAGAUGAUCGACUCCUUAUUUAUGCUGCGUAGGAGGACGGGUUCCCCAAGAAUAUCCCUGUCUUAUGGCGCAGUUCUUCCCGUGUAGUGGGCUGACUUCAUUGAUCCUCUUGACUUCUUUAUACCAUAUUAACCUUUCCUUGGACUCAUAUCCACAGCGCACAGAUGGAGGAGGGGCACCAAGGCAGAUUGAACUGAUAUCUUCGGGUGUCUUAGGCCCUAGCCGCGAAAAGGCAUGUUUCAAAAAAAGGGUAGGAAAAGGGAGAAAGACAGAAGAAGUUCGACGAGAGGUAUGGGAGAGCUUGCUCAAGCUGCGAGACUAAAGGGAGAGGUUGCGAGCCCUUGCCGAACUGUACCGUCAGGGGAUCCCCCAAAAGGUCUCCCUAAGGCGAGCUUCUCUAUGGUCGAAUCCCUUCGCCUUUCUCUUGGCGAGCAGGUUAGUGGUCCGCAAACUAAUAGUCCAAAGACUAAGAUUUUGAAUACUACUUCCCCGCCUCAAUGAACAAAGGCUGAGUGAGGAUGAUCUUACUAGAGAAUAAGUCGUAUCGAACCCUCUUCUUGUAUUGGACGCUCGGGAUCGUUCUAUACUGGAAAGUGGAGCAUAUGAUACCAGGGCCUAGCCCGCUGCACAUCCCUUUCGAUUUCUUGACUCGCUUACCUUGCGGAUAAAUGCGCUUCGCUUCGCAUAGUAAUCUUUGUAAUAGUCUUCUUUUUUAGGUUCUACUUUCCCUAUGUAAAAAGUGAAAAAGAAGACUGAAGUCCCCUCUUUCAAUGCCAUCUCCUACUAAUGGAAUAUGAGUGAAUAGACUCUAUUUCUCAUAAUAGCUUCUUCCCACAAGAAGAGUGCCAUCGACUGAUGAGGCCCCAACGGAGACUGAGUACUCUUACUCUCACUGAGGCUGGAGGAAGAGACAAUACUAACUUCUCGCUGACUCUUUCUCGAUCCUUAUUAACUAGUCGAGAUGGAAGAAUUCCGAUUCCUUUACAUCGUCUUCCUCUGAUUCAACGACGACUUAUGACUGCAAUUAUUCAAAGAAUGAAAGCAUACUCCUAUCUUCUCGGGAAUAGUGAUAGCUUGAAGCUUCUACCCUAUAUUGGUCUACGGAUCCCCCUACUUAUCAGUCGUAUGAGAACCUACCCGCUCCUGCUUCCGCAUAUGAUAACCUCUUCGGCUCCGUCGGACCCCUUAUUCAUUUCGUCUGCCUCCCGGUCUGAUGAGAAUGACGGACUCCGCUUCAACUGCUUCCGAUUUAGCAACGGGUCAUUACUCAGAAUGUGCCCUUUCAGCUUCAAGGGCUCCGAUCCCUCUGCACCCGUAGGUCUCCACAUUCUACCCUUUAUUACCUUCGUCUUUUCCCACUAGUUCUAGUAUCGGUCAUACGCUUAUUUAUCAGAAAAAGAGAUUCUAAUUCAAUAGGAAAAAACAAGCAAUAGUACCUCUGCGCAUCCGCGUCGCGAAGGUGAGCCGCUAGUCGGCUUCCUAGCCAAAGACCUCUUCCUUAAUAAAAUAAUGUGAAUUUGAUAAUAAAAUAAGGGAAUCGUCUUAUUUAAUGGAAAGCCUAUCAUGUUCCUGCUUUAUUUAGCUUUCUUUCUCAGAAUGCAUGUCUUAAGCAAAACAUUUAAGAAUGCAUGUCUUAAGCAAAACAUUUAAGCGGAAGCCUUGCUGAAUUCAUUUUCGAGAAAUCAAGGCUCCAUAAGACAGGGAUAUUGUCUUGCAUUCGAAAGGCGCAAAGAAUAUUGCGGAGAGGACUAUUCAUCUUUCCACUUAUUUGACUCUUCUUUGAGCUCUGAAUUUGAGCUAAUAAAGCAGUCAGAACCUACUUACGCAACUGGGACUGAGACUUCUCCAUAUUCUCUGGUCGUCGCAAUAUUCUUUGCGCCUAACUCCUCUCGCUUUAGUUUAGCUCUCGCUUAACUCCUCCUCCCGUAGAAAGAGCUGCUUUUGAGUCCAUUUUGAACCACAUGAAAAGAAGAAAUCCAUAAAUAAGAGGUUCAAAGAAUAUUGAGUUAGACCAGGACCUGAGUACGAGGAUGCGAAAGGAGCUCGACGAGAAGAGGAUGCGCCAUCCCUUCUUGCUGGAGAAGCUCUCGUGGCUUAGUUGCGCCAAAGCAUGGGGGAUUUUCCCUAACAUCUGAAUGAGUGAAGUAGGGAAUGAUUAUCAGUCUUCUUUCCAUAUUUCCAUAGUUUCUACAGUGGCUGAACAAGAAGAUCUUUCGGCUGAGGAAUUAGACCGAGCCUCACAUCAAGAUCACUCGGAAGGAGUUAAGCUUGAUAAAGUCCUUCGCCUAAGAGCGCAAACCAAAGGCAAAGGACGGGUCGGCGCGAAGACAAGGUCCUCCCUCGGGACAGGAAGGAGGAAUGGAGUGCGAAGAGUGUGAAAUUGGGGCCUUCUUUCGCACAAGGGCUUGAAUCCGUGGGCGAAUGCGAGAAGAGGUGGCCUAUUUUUCCUUGGAAAAAGUCGUCUUUCUUUCUACUGAUAUUUUCCCCUUAUCAUGAACAAGCGCAAGAACUGCCUCAAGCACAAGGGCUACUUCCGAAACCUCCGCAACCCCCUCGCCUGCAACCGCAUCUCUUAGCAGCCUCCGAACCCCUUUUUGGACCUGGUUUGCAUCGCGGAACGUCAAAUCAGCCUUUUGUUAGGGAGAACCCACUCCGCGGUUUUGAGCAUAUACAGAACGCAACUUUUUGUGGUCCGUAAAUAGGUCUUGGUUGUAUGAGUACAAUUACAGUCGUUCUAACCGAUCAAGCAUAUGCGCUCCGAUCCCGUGCUUCGCUUCCUCAACUGAAAAAGAAUAGUGACCCACGUGACUCUUCGAAAGGCGUGGUAGGCGCUGCGAUAACCUCUCCUUUGUCGACUCUGAAAAAACUGGAAAUUCCCUAGCCAGGAUAGACAGAGGGACUCUUCCCCGAACUGAUAGCUAGCUUUCCAACUCAUUCCCUAGCUUGAACAAGGGCUUUCCUGAAAGGACUACUUCCCCCCUUUUCCGAACUCAUCAGACUAUUAAAGCAUAUUCGAUUCUAUCCUCGGUGCAACUUCUCUUCUAUCUUAUGCUCGGGUAUUUCAUAAAAGGUCAAGUCAAGUAAGAUAGAAAGUCAAGGCUCUUCUCGUCGAGCUACCUUCGUCUUCCGCUCCGUGGGGUCGAGCAACUUUCUUCCACGAAAGAACUGACUUCAGGUCCGGGUUAGGGCCAUAUCAAAAGAGUGAUAGUGCUUGAGCUUUCUUCUCGUGACCUUAAAGGCCUAAGAACCUUGAGUAGAAAGAAGGCAUCUUAUCUUUUUUCAUGCCUUUCCUUUUUGAUCGCCAUUCUCUUCUUUGUUCUUGUAUUUUCUGGGGACCUUCGCGGCUUUCUAUUUAAGAAUGGCUUUUUGGUAGCGCCUCUUCGGAAGGGUGAACCACUGAGAGGGUUUUUCCUAUAAGUCAGAAUCAAGUCUUCUCUCUUACCCGGGAAUCCCGUACGAGGGUAGGGAGAUGGAAAGAUCGGAAGUAGGUCGCAUGUGUCUUGAGUCUGAAGUCGAUGAAAGGCUCUCGAACUCUAUUCAAUGAAUUCAGUUCUUGCUCCUUCGGUUAGUGAAUGAGUAAAGAGAGGUGCAAAGAAUAUUGCGAGGAGCAUGAAUCUUUAACGGUUCGGAUUCGCUAGGGUAAUUCACAAGACCGGAAAAGAGAGAUCAGAGGUUUCAAAGUAGUUUCUCAUAUCCGUCUCGUCCGCUGUCCCACUUAAGGAUCGGAGUUCAGAGAGCAUGUAAUUGGGGUCAUGACAUAUGACUUGGCUAAAAGCCUGAUUGCUAGCUCGGAUUCGCACGUCCGGCAGCUAUUCCAUUGCGGGAUGCUAACCCGUCCUCCGGACUAUUCAAUCUAUUACUUUGGAGAUCUCGAACGGGGAAGAAAUCUCUUGACCAAUAACUCCAUUUACUGGGCGAAAGAUGUCUGACUUUCUACCGUGAAACCUUCCCGCUUGAACCAUGUUUAGAGUGAAAGGUUAGGCCUUGGCCUGUAGAUCUCAUUCAAUGCCCUACCAUCCGAUACUGGGAGGACAAAAGCGACUACUUGGACGAGGGGAUUCCCUUUUCUCUUAUUGUACGUCCUCGCAAUAUUCGAUAAUUCAGGCUUCGGACCGGUCGAGUUUACCGUUGAGAUCCAAUCCCUAUCCCCCGAUGUUCAUUCAGGACAUAAAGAAGCCGGGUCUGAGCCCACUACGCGGGCAUUGAAUGAGAUCCCUUUCUCUUCGUAUCUCGAACAAAGGCUUUCAUCCCUUGUUGGGGGGAGAGAUCUAGGGAAGAAAGAGUGGAAUGAGUUAGGUAAGAAAGAGGUGCUGCCCACGGAGCGGUGAACGAUCACGAGAAGGAAGAAGAAAGCUCAAGAGGAAGACUGAAUUAUGAUACAGAAUUUUGAUAUGAAUUAGGCUAAGUCAAAGUUGCUUGCUUUCUUGAACUCUUUUCUUUGUCUUUGGCGGAACGCCACUUUUCAAGAAAAAAUGGUAGUAUGGCUGGCAGCAAGAAAGAAUGAAAAAUCAGCCCAACGAAGUUGCAUCAAUAUGAAUCACUCUAGGGAAAGACCUGUUUUGCAAGGUUUUGGGGAAAUCGCUAUUUUUCAAGGGGCACUCAAAUCUGUCAAAAAACUACUAGUGGAACGCAUCGCAAAUUCUUUGCGCCUCCAAAAUCAUUGAAGCGAAAGGCUGAAUUCAUAUUCGCGGACAGUCAAAAUUCAAGAAAAAAGGCAGGUUCAAAGAAUAUUGACAAUGAAUGAAUAGUAUAAAUCCUUGUUGUAAUUUGCUUAAGACAUGAAAUGAGAUUUCUUUCUUAGACUGAUCCUACAGAGUCUUAUUCAAAAAUAAUAAGAUAAGCGGAAGAUUGAGUUUACGAACGAGAUAGAAAAGUAUGAAAUCCAUAUGAACUUCUUGGAAUGUGAAGAAUGAAGGACAUUAGGAAAAGCGGGUUCUUUAAAGUGCGAAUUCAAUGGCUGUAUUUUCGAUAAGAUUACUUGGGACAUAGCAGUCAAAAGCGAAAUCAGGCUUUUAGCCACAUUCAUAAGGCAUGAGCUUCUCCUUAAACACUCACUCACUUCUCCUUCAACUGGCACUGUACGAACCACCGCUACGUGGGCGUCAAGACCCUAUGGUCCUACUACUUCCCAGUCUCGGAUUCCUUCCUAAAGAACUGAAACUGCUUCCUACCUUCCUCGAUCCUUUGUUGGCUUCCUCUUGUUUUGGGCAAAACUGCGAAAGAAAGAAGUUGAGAUGAACAAGAUAAUAUAAGAUAAGAAAGCUCUUCCUCUUCGUCUUCUGUCUUCAGUUAAGUAAACAUUACUCUAAAGGUACGAAGAUUAGAUAGCUUGAUUAGAGUCCUUUACCGCGUAGUGGGCGUGGGGGAAGAUAGCUUGAGAAAAGAGAUCGAAGCAGGCAGGGGAAGAGGAAGACUACUCGUUAUGUUCGUGCCCAGACCAGAAAGAACUGAAAGACGGUCACAAAGACUGAAACCUCUCUUUCAACCACUGCGACUGCAGCAAGGGAUGCCCCAACCUCGGGUGGUAGAGAGAAGGAUGAUCGGCAACCUCGAACCCUUCCGCCGCAGGAGAAGGCGCAAAGAAUAUUGCGUGGGAAUUGAGUUGAAAGAAGAAAGAUCUAAGGAUCUGAAAGAGCAGCUUCAGCAACGGCUACUUCUGAAAGAAGAACAGUGACGACAUAAACUUCCGCAAGAAACUCCGCUUGGGUCCGGCCCGCGGCUUCGUUCUUCGAUCUAUACUAUACUUCGAUCCAAGAAUUCAGAGUUUGUGCUUUCCCUUGAACUCAGACUCCUUAUCUGCAGACAGCGGACGAUCCGACCCGCGUCUUCUUUUCAUGUGAUUUGACCGCUCCGACGGAGCAAAGUGAUUUUACCGAAGGACUCAAAUAGGUUGAAUAGUCCGGAGGACCCUCCCGCUCCGUGGGAAUUGAACCGCGGAAUUUCCGUGGUUAUUAAGCGGCUUUUUUUCGGAAUAAGACUUGAAAAUCAAAGUGGCAAUAAUCGCAUAUUUCAUUGCGCCUCCAUCAAAGAAAGGUCCAGGUGAUUUAUCCUACGUCCGGAGUCCGCAGUCCGCAGGGCCAAAGAAAGGUCCAGGUGAUUUAUCCGUAGGACCAUCCAUAUGGAGGGAAGGAGGACUAUCCAUUAGAAGGAUCAAAGAAUAGACCCGUAUUUCUCCGGACCAUAAACCAUAAGAAAACUCUGUUCAUUGAUUUGACCUUUCCUAGGAGUUCUUCUUUCAUUGCGUUUUCCCGGCUUUUUUGCUUCUAAAUAGGACUAAAUCAAAGAUUUCUAUUUAACGAUAAUUGUCGAAAAAUGACGGAUUUUUCAUGAUUUCUUGCUACUUUAUAGGCCCAAAACCUAGCAAAAUCUUGUAUUUCCCUCCGCGAAGGACUAGUCUGAAAUCUCCCAUAUUCACCUCUUUCUUUUUCAUUCCCAUUUUUUUCUUCUUUCAUUAUCGUUAAUGAGCUUCUUUUCGUCAAUAUUCUAUAUUCUUUUCACCUUUCUUUCUCCGUCCUCAGUCCUAUCCAUAUUAACCCGUCUGUCCUUCGGUCUUAAUACUCCUCGAAUAAGAAGCUGGAGGCUGGGUCAAGAUGAGAUUCUUUCUUUUCUGGCGUAGGAAUAAAGAAAGCACGGAGCGGGAAGAACUGGAUAACGUCAUUCUUUUCAUAUUUCUAGAGUAAGCGAAAGCGAAGCGCUAUGCCGGCGGUCUUUGAUCUCUCAUUUCAUUCAUAACGAAAAGAGCUGGCCGAAAGCUAUCUAUUUUAGGGUUCUUCCUUAUUCCCUUACUUGAUGGAAUGAGUCACUUCCAGAGAGAAUGAGACCUAGUUUACGAGUAAGCUGCCUGCCUGAUCAUCGGCUUUCCAGAGGCAGUUCGUACUCAGCCAGAUCUUCUUCUUUCCCACUACGCGCCAAAAACAAAGGUCUAUAUGAACUCGCAAUAUUCUUUGGGCCUCCUACGCUUAAUCUUAAUAGGGGGAUGAUCUUGGGCUCAAAGCAUUAAUUUUGGAGAUUCCCACUAAUAUAAUAAAAGGCGGAUCUUACCUUCCCACUUGCCUCAACCCAAAACAUUUAAGCGGAAGCCUUGUUCAAAGAAAGAAUAUUGAAAGGUCUUUUUGGCGUCACAGGAAUGGAACCCACCAUUUACUCAAGUCAAAGCCACACAAGAACUGGCUAGACACCAGAGGUACGAUUCCCCGCGCCCCUUCGUUGAGGUUAGAAGUCGAGACCCGUUGAGGAAGAAAGAGCUUAAUAAGAGGCCCAAGGGUGGAGGAAUCAGAGGAUCGACCCACUCAAGAGGCAGCACCCUGAGGCUACGGUUCGACCAGCUGUUGCAGUCGCAGUUGAUGGCAGGGAUGGAUCCCUUUAUGUGCCUUUUGUUCUUUCUUUAUAAAGAGUUGCUGUAGUUUUCAAUUGGCUUUUCCUACUUUUCUUCUUUAUAAGCAAUUAUUCAGAAAGGAGAAAAGAAGAAAGCCGUCAGUCCAAAGGAGCAGUGCAAAAAGGCGGAUUUUCAGUUCUUUCUUCCCUCUUCCGAUAAUUCUUUGAGCCCUCCCCCAGUGCAAAGAAUAUUGCGAAGACCGCUCCGAAGGAGUCUUAUGAAACCCGGACCCUUCUUUUUAAAGAAGAAGAAGGACUAUCCAUUAGAGCGCCUCCGGACUGGAGCCUUUCAAACUCCUUUUCAUGAGAAAAAUACAGGGUUUGCUGCAGCAUCAAAACCCUUGAUUGAAGAGCGAAAUCCCUUAUAUGCGAGGCCUAUCAUGUAAUCCCGGGAAUGAGCUUGAACCUUGAAAAAGGGUAUGUAGCGGUAUUAGAUUGGGAGAUCUGCCUCCUCAGCAGGAACGAGAACAGCCACUUUCUAAGAAACUUCUGCAAGAACAUCUGGUCGAGCCUUGCGCAAGAUAAACUGGAAUAGGCCGAUUCUUAUAUGGGUCCGACCUGUCAAUAUUCUUUUCACCUUCUGAAAGCAUGAAGUGAGGAUCUGACUCCUUUCCGAACCGAACCUACUCCUAACCCGAUGAAUUAGGCGCGUCCUCCCUCUUUCGCUGACUUCUUCUGAUUCUGAUAGCUCUCGCUUCGUACCAGGUGGUCGUAUUCUAGUCUUUGAUUUAUGCAUUCUAGAUUAUUUAGCUUGGGGAAUUUCUCCUCUUCUCCCGCUACUGCCACUGAAACUACAGCAUCUUCCUCAAACUCAUUUAAAAAGAUACUCACUUCUUCAGACUUUGAUUUUAGUAGGUUCAGACGUCCCCUACUUUGAGAUUGGGAAUAGAAAGAAGAGUAGUUGCCCUAGUUCUUGAUCCUCGCACUUUCUUGCUCUCCGAGUGGGUCAGCACCCAGGCGCCUGCUUGCCAUAUCGAGGACUUCUACCUUACUUAUGAUUAGUAAGAUGACGAAAGCUAUGGAAUCCACUCUGUCUAUUAUCCACCUCCUUCAACAUAUAUUUGUGAUAAUGGCUUUGCCACAGCGACUGCCUCCCUAUAUAUUUGUGAUCACUCUGCUGAAGCGGAAACUGGGUCUCCCGCUGCUUCGAUCUCUUGUCUCGCUCGCCCAUAACCCUAGAUCUUCGGAGUGGUCCAACUCUACGAACUUCAACGGGGGCAGCAGACUGCAACUGAUCAUGAAAGGGAUGAGGCUGUAGAAAGAGCACUUAAGCGGCCUCCAUCAGAUCUAUUUCAGUUCAGUAAUAGACUCGGGAAAGCGCUUGAGGUCUAAGGAUCGCCAACUUUGAAUAAGAAAAUACCGCCUCAAUGAACAAGGGGUUGGUGGCCGGAAACCACUAGACCUUGAAGAGGCGGAGGCGCAAAGUAUAUUGCCUUCCGAUUUCUUUUGAAUUGCUCUUUCAUUAGUUCUUCCCGAAGAGAAGUUAGCUAGGCCCAGAAGAGGGGAGAGAGGAAGCAACCCAAGGAAGGAAUUCUAGAGACGGCACAUAAAGGGAACCCCACCAGAUUCAGCCCCCACCACCCCGGAGGUUCUAGGUCGGCAUAGGUCGGCAGAAGCGAGACCGCUACGUGGCUUUCUUUCUUUGUCGGUUCUUUCUUCUCUUGUUCUUCUUCUCAAAUUCUUUGACCCCUCCCCCAGUGCAAAGAAGAAAAUAAAAGGGACCAGAUGUGAAAAGAAGAUUUCCAAGACUGGAAGGAUAGAAGGCUCAAUGCAGAAUAUUGCGGUUUGCGUGAGAGGCUCAAUUCAAAGUUCAGCGGGAAGAACUGGUCCGGAGGAUUUAUCCGUAGGACUCUAAAACGGAGGACCCAAAGAAAGAUUAGACAUUCACUCUUUUUCCAAGAAUUGAUGCACUUCCAUAAAGAUCGACUUAAGAAAGCAAGAGGAGAACCGGAGAGGUUUUGCUGGAUGAGAAGGAUCGGCCAGCCCAAAGCGCGAAUCUCACUAUUUUCUACGAUUCAGACUUAUUCCCCUUCCUAACUAAUGAGUAAGCGAAAGCGAAGCGCUAUGCCGGCGGUCUUUCACUGACGAAGCGAAGAGGGAAGAGAAGAAGAAUCCUACGGAGGGAUCGAAGGGGCCAGAGGCUAGGUAAUCUCUCUCCAACUAGCUCUACCCUGGUCACUGGGUCAAUAAUAGGUCCGGUGGGUAGGUUGUAUUUUGAUGAUAAAUAAAGGAUAAGGAAAAGCUUUUCUUCUUUCAUCUAGAUUUAGAAGGACAAGGUUUAUUCAUAAGCAGAUCGAGAACGAAAUCCUUUCUUAGGACUUGCGGUCUGUCUUCAUAGUCGGAGAUCAUCAAGGUGGUCGACCCGGUCGAUGUAGAUGAUCUAGAUAUAUUUGACCUAUAAAGAUAUGCGAGAAUAUGAGGUCUUCCAGACAGGAUAGGAAGACCCCCAGUCCGCGCUAUCACUUUCAGAGAAUACUCGGGGAAGGGGUCAAGACCUAUGCCUCAUCUCAUUCCGAGAAUAGUUCGAGAUCGGCUUAGCUCAUACCUCCCAGGGACCACUUUCUUCGAUAACCUUUCUGGGCGACUUCCUACCUCUACUAAAUUGAGUUAUUAUAUUUCAACGAUAUUAUGAAUAAUCUUCCCGGGCUAGUCCAAUAUCCGCCUAGGCUCCGAUACUCCUCUUGCUUCACACCUUCCCGAUCGAGCAGCCUGGUCUCCCCGCUUGAUUCAUGAAAGAGAGUUCUCCUUUACUCCCGAACCACUAAUAUAGGGAAUACAAUGCAAAAGAGAAAUCCUCAUCGAACCUAUGAUGCUUCCCGCUUCUACUUGGUGUGGGAAUCCACUUCUCAUUCCCCGAAAAGGUCAAUCUGGUCCUCUCUUCGGCAACUGAGUGAGACUUCUUCCCCGCUUAGAGUACGCAAGACUAAGCUAACUUCAACGACUGCCCGGUGGCCCGGUCGGUGGUCUGAGAGCUGAUCGAUGGAUGGAUUCGGAUUCGCCCUUCUUUCCUGAACUCAUUGCCGGUCUUUUGGUGUAGAAGUUUCUUUCAAAUAGAGCGUAAGGCCUGAAAGGUUCUGCAUUUCUUUGACUUUCUUAUGUCUUCCCCUCUUUCGACCCCUUAAAAGCCUUGAUAUUAGCCUUGGCAAAUAGCAGCCUCCACAGGAAGAAGAAUCCGCAUCUUCCGCUUCCCGCCUCAAAAUCAAGCGGAAAUCUUCAACAAGAUCCAGUCCAUCAAAGAAAGGUCCAGGGUCCGGAGUCCGCAGUGCCAAAGAAAGGUCCAGGUGAUUUAUCCGUAGGACCAUCCGUAAUUAACCGAAGUAGGACUAUCCAUUAGAAGCAGGAUUCUUAUCCGUAGUCCGGAGUCCUACGUCCGCAGGAUUUAUCCGUAGGACCAUCCAUAUGGAAGGAAGUAGGACUGGAAGAUUUCUCAAGAAUAUUGAGAAGAAAAAGAGAUGAAAAAGAAGAUUGAAUGAAUUAUCCCUUUCUUGCCUCCGCCGCCGUCGCACGAACCAUUUCUGAUGGCCGCGUCUAGGUGGAUUGUGGUGCUACCAUUUCUUUAGGAUACCCUUCGGCUUCAGUCAAAACUCUUCCCCCUUUGUUUUUAUAGAAAUUGAGUUUGAAAGAGAAAGAUCUCAUAGUAUGGAAUUCACUUUCUUGCUUGAGUGGAGUUAUUUAUUAUAGAAAAAUCCUUAAAGGAAGGACAAUCGAUCGCACUUGGCGCAGAACCACCUAAGGGUGGCUCUUUACUCCCUCUUUACUUGCUUCUGAUUUUUCUUUCAUCCAUCUUCAUCCCCUUUUCAUCCAAAAAAAUAGGCGAAGAUUCAGUCUGCUCCAGAAAGAAAAGAGAAGCCGGCAGGUCCUUUCCGCUUGAUCGCUAACGAAAGGGCAAAGCCUUGCCGCCCCUCGUGCAGCAUAUGAGCGGAUCUUCACGAAAACCGGCUCUAUUGGCGGAACAAAGAAAGCUCACUCUGCCAUGAGAACAAAGAAAGCCACACUAUCUCCUUGCAGCUUUGCCCGCCGCCCUUCUAUAUAUUCUUUGCGCCUAUCUUCGCCUAUUUUUUGGUCCGCUCGCCCCGGUCCUUAGUGUCGUUGACAAAGGGGAGGAGCCCCCCUCUUGUUGAUAGAGAGCUUACUGCCCCGCCCUUUAUAGUCGCGACUAUUGUCAUGGAAAAAGACUUUUUUGUCAAAGAAGCAUGCUUCAGCCUAUAGCCUAGCAUAAUAAAGGCAGUCGAGCUCCGUCUAAACUCAAUGUUGGGUAAAGGCCUGUACUCUCUCUUCUGUAGAUACGCUAUCCCUUCUGGCUAUGGUAUGGGGGAAGGGAAGUGAGAUCUACCGAUUGAUUUCAUAUUCAAUGAGCGGCCGUACUAUGAUCGUUCGGGAGACCUGGCCCAUGAAAAUCAAAAUAGAAGGAGCACCCAUGGAUGCACUCCUUCCCUUCCGUACACUCGAUCGCUUUAUGUUGAGGAAUCAGCUUAUGUAUCUAGCUUGACUCCCCCGUUUCACUCCUUCCCUUCUUUAAGGCCUUUCACUCCUAAACCUACUCAAACUCCCAGAAAGAGAAAGCCUAUGGCCGAAACCGAGAUCUCUUUUUCCAAGUCAAUCAAGAAAUCGGCCAAUCUCGCCCAUGGAAUGGAUGAGUUCGCAAGGAAAGGACGACCUUAACUUAACGGAAAGAUCUAAGACUCCUCUCUCUCGCCUUUCUCCUCUAAACUAAUAAGAAGAGCAGCUAAUCAGAGAAGACCGCGUAGUGGGUCUUUCUCUUGCACGACUGACUUUGUCUUUUAUAUAAAUACCCUGACCGCCCCGUGGGAGCCGGAGCCUUUUAUGAAGUAUUUAUUAGGUUCACGCUAAGAAAAAGCCUAGGAGAACUCUGAAGAAAGGGAAAGAACUCAAGCUAGGGUAGGGUCAGUCACAAUGCCCCGUCAACCUGUCCCCCCAACUCUGCCUUUAGCUAGACAUUGACCGCGUAGUGGUUCAUUUACCUUCUGCCCCCUGAUACUUCUCUCUUUCUUUUGUCAAAGUCGACCGAGAAAAGGAAGGGGACGCCGUACCAUGAGAUCGAGUUGGGUUAGCCCGAUCGACUACUAACUUCUGAGCCUUGCCUUUCUUGAAUAGCUUCUCCCCUCUAAGGAGUGAUGCUACGGUAGAAUCUCCCAUUCCUAAUGCGCCAGCCCUCGGGCAUGAAGUUAGAUUACUAGGCCCAUAGAGUGGUCCCUGGAAUUGCUUGACUUCUGCCUAUCAUUACUUGAAUUGUGGCACACGAGUGACGGAUUUGACAGGUUUAGCAUUGCCCAUAGCUUGAGGCCCGUCCCAUUCUGUUUGAGAAUUCCCCAUUCGCCGAUCCUGAGUUUGCGGGUUUAUGAUUGGAACGUCAAAUCUCACUUCUAGGGAUAGGCAUUUCAUUCAUCUUCUUUCUUUCGCUUGUUCAUAUCAACUUAUUCAUUCUUAGCGAAAGCAACUUUUACGCCGACUCAGAACCUACUAAACUAAACUCGACAGGAAGAAGACAAGACAACUCCUUUACCGGAGGCAUCCUUAGUGGUCCAGUCUAAGCCCACGGAGCGGGAAGAACUGGAUCAAAGUCUAAUCUUUCUCUGGGUUAAUAUGGAUAGUCAUCUGGACCCCUUAUAAUUGGGGGCCAUAGAUCUUUGCUCCUCGCUCUUUGCGCCUCUCUCAAAGGCAAUAUUCUUUGCACCUCCCCUCUGAAGUUCAGUCUCGUGUCAUGAAUUCUGAGUCUUCGUUCUCGCCCUUAUCAAUGAUCUUUGAGCCUUGUUCAUUGAUCCUUAUUGAGAAUGAAUUUCAGAUCUCGGAGUUCGAUCGAUCGGUAUGCGAAUGAGAAAGAUCUCUUCCCCAAGGCCGCACUCUGGAUUGUAAUAUGGUCAGGUAAUUUCCCUAUGAGUGGAUACAGUACGAGCCUAAUGCUCUUCCUUCGGGCGAGUGUCCUUUGGUCGCUCUUCUCGCUAUUCUAGCUCUUUCAGUGCUUUCAUUCCUUCUUUUCAUGCCCCGAAAAAAUGGACCUUCAAUCCCGGGUUGAUGCUUUGAACGUCAAUCCUGAGGGGAUGGGUUUUGGAGUUUCAUCCCAAGAAUCGAAUCAUGCCAUUCCGGGUUUAUGCUUUGAACGUCAAAUAAGUAGAAAAGGAGAAGCGAGCCUCAACUCUAUAAAAAGUCCCACCGGAACAGCACGCAGGUGGUCUAUCCUUCUCAAGCAAGUGGUCUCGAUCUCUCAGCAGAAUUCCUCAACCUCAAAGGCAUAGCGCUCGCUUGCUUUCAAGAGCUUCCUUUCGUACUUAAGAAAAGAGGGGGAAGGAGCUCAAGACGCCCCGAAGUACACUAAGAAGAAAAAGGUGUCAAAAGCUCAUAUUUGGGGAACUGCCCUUUCGUCCUCCCGUUCUGGAACAUCUGAUUACUGAACCACUUUCUCAUGGCACAGAUGUAUUUGGUUCUCAUAUUCAUUCAGCCUUGCGCGCACUCAUUCAGAAGAAGGAAGACGACCGCCUUUCCCGAGUCUUCGGGGCAGGGGCUGUAUUGGUAUGAUAAGUUGACGAGCGACGACUUUACGACCGACGACUUACUUAAGCAACUCCACGGGUUCGGAGCCGGAAGCGAAGCCUGAAUUCAUGAUCCACGCGUAAAGUACAGCUCUAAAAGGAGUGGAAGAGCUCGACAGAGAAGACGAAGGGAAGGAGCUUCUUGGCCGGAGGUAACUAAGAUGACGACCUGAUUUACCCUCCUUGGUCUUGCUUGCAUACCGCUUUUUCAGUCUUUGAGUACGCUAGAUCUCUUUGCCAAGGCUUAUAGCGAGCCUUAUCACGAGUAGGAAAGUCCAAAAAGAAAGAAUCUCAUCUCAAUAUCCUUUGAGCCGGAGUUAGGCGCAUAAUAUGGAUUUCUCAAUCUUCAAAGAGCCUUGUUCAUUGAUUUCAUGCUCCUCAAAUUCCCUAAUGGAUAGUCCUUCGGACCUGUCUUAUGGCGCCUCCGGACUAUUCAAUCUAUUACUUUGGAGAUCUUUCUCUUUCUGAUCUCUCUUUCGCUUUCGUAGGGAUAAGAAUUCUCUCUUGGAAGCAUAACAUCAAUAGGAAUCAGUCUCGCUUUCAGGUAGGGAUAGGAAGAGUGAGUUUGAGCUAUUCUUUCAUGAGAUCCUUCGUAACUAGGCCCAGGAGAGGUGGAAAUCGUAGGAUUAUUCGUUAUUCCGCUUGGCUUGACCGAGUCUCUAUUCCCCAUCUUUGAGUAAGGAAAAGAGUCAGGAAAAUCCGUGAUAAGCCAGGCUUUUAGGUUAAGUCAUCAGAAAAAGAAUAAAAAGGGAUAGGAAUGAGUAACUUCAAGAUACUUCCUCUUUCUCUAAGUAAGGACCUCUAAGAAAAAAGCCUAGGGAGAGGAGUCAGAAGCUUCUUUCCCGCUCCGUGGGUCUGACUUAGUUAGUUAGGGAGUCAGUCCCAGUUUCAUAGGUUGAAUGAGUAACUUCAUGAGAGUAGGAAGAAGAAUCCACUUUCAUGGGAAUCUCUCUCUCUCUUGAGUAAGCAUGAGAUGUUGCGAAUGCUACAGAGGUUAGAGUCAGAACAAUAGGAAGCGCGAACGGGUGAUUAGAAGGAUCGGAAUAAAGGCCGGCCAAGCAACCCCGGGGGUAGGAAUAGUUCUCAAAGAGUCAGACUGCAUGAGCAUGAGAAGGAUAGUUAUUCGGAGCAGCUCUCCUAAAUCAAGAAUGCUCAAUAGGAGGAUUUAGUCCAGGGGUCAGGAUCUACGCGAAGGGUCAAAAUAAGAGGAAGAAAGAGAAAAUAGUUAUGACUUUCUUAUCUACUUAUAUUAUAUCUUGUCACUAUCGGAUUAUUUCUUUCUUAGUUUCAUUCUCUCUUUCAUUCAAAGAGAAUCAUACUACUUAUGAAAAGCUGAUGAACCACAGAGUUUCCUCAAAGAAAAGGAAAGCCUACCGUAUUAGCGGCUCUUUUCUUUAUUUGUUGUUCUGAAUAUCCUCUUCUUAGGAAGGUGCGAAAGCCACUCGACUGAGUUCUAUCAGGCUGGAUUCAUGAGAAGCUAUUUUAUGACUAUGAAAACGAGAAAAAGAGAAGAGCAGAAGAGCUUGAUAAACCCCUUUUCAUAUGAUAAUAUCUUAUUCAUUCGCUGGUGGUAGGCUUUCUCUCUUUAUUUUGAGCACUCCCGCAGCUUUCUCUUGAAGAUAUAAUCUGAAUCUAGAAUAAUUCAGUAAAGACUUCGUAAAAUAAGUGGAAGGCAAUAUUCUUUGCGCCUCCGGAACCGCGUAGUGGGUAAAGCCUGAUCCUUCCCCUCUUGGGUUAGCAUCCUAACUAAUAAAUAAGGGUGGAGGUCCUUGCUUUUCUUGUUGCCUCACUCAGCAGCCUCAUCUCUGAAAGAGAAUUCCAAAAAAAAAGGUCCAGGCGCAAUAAGACAGGUCCGAAGGACUAUCCAUUAGGGGAUUUCGUAGAUCCAUUGAAUUUCAGAGUAGUUGAUUUUGACGUAGUUUUUUUCUCAUAAGAAAGCCUUCUAAGAAGACGUAGUAGUCAGAAAGAGAAAGCCUAGGUUUCGGAAUCAGUCUAUCCUUUAGACCUACCUGGCACCAAAGACCUCUGAAAGUAGCUGGGCUGUCGCUGGGGAAGGAGCUUAUCUUCAGUCAUAAGUAGUCCUUAGUUUCUUGAAUGCCUUUCCGGUCGAGCCUAACCUAAAAAAGACUUCAUGCUCCGGCGCGAUAGCGAAAGGACUUUACUUACAGGAGUGCAAGGAGCAAAGAUCGUGGCCCACGUAGCGGUGCCAUAAGACAGGUCCGAAGGACUAUCCAUUUGAGUUGCGUGAGUUGCCCCACGUAGCGGUGCCAUAAGACAGGGAUAUUCUUUGAGAGAAAGGUAGGUAGAGAAAGAUCAGUUCGCCGUCCCUGUACUUCAUUCAAUAAGGCUCUUUCAUUAUCUCUUUCGGUAUUCAUUCAUAACCAACCCGACCGGAAAGGGGGAAGACAAGCUAGGGCAUUAUCUAAGAUAAGAAGGAAGAGGAUCAAAGUAGCGAGACCAGUCCUCCGGACGGGAAGAAGAAGAUCGACUUAAGUGGGAAGCCUCAUCGGUUGAAGUAGGGUCAGAUCGGUAGCAUCGAGAGCCAGAAAAAAUAGCAUGAACAGACCUAGAGGAAGUCCAAGAUUCAAGCAAGGGAAGAUACUGAGUUGGAUCCGUGGAGGGAUCGGAUAGGAGCCGUUUAGGACGCCUUUCAUGAGAUCUUGCGGAUCUUCUUUCAUGAGUUGCGGAACCUGGAGUAAAGAAAAGAGGUCUUGACUCAUAGGAAGUAGUCCCACAUAGGAAGAGGCGCGUAUUCUCAGUUGAGGCAGCGGAAUCAGAGGCCGUAGCCCUUGCUGCUUAGUCAAAAAGGUAGCAUUCUCUUUUUCAUCCCCGUCUCAGAAGCUUUACUGAGUUGGAGAGUAAGCUGCCUGCCUGGCCUGCUUCGAUCAGUUUCAUAGUCAGAAGAAAGUAUCUCCAGGAGUUUGAGUGGAAUCUUUGCUAUUCAAAUCAGUUCGCAAUCUAAUCGAUAAUUCUUUGAGCCCUCCGUUAGGCGCAAAGAAUUUGCGAAGGACCAUCAAAGAAAGGUCCAGGGUCCUACGUCCGGAGUCCGCAGGGCCAAAGAAAGGUCCAGGGUCCGGAGUCCGCAGGGCCAAAGAAAGGUCCAGGUGAUUUAUCCGUAGGACCAUCCGUAAUUAACCGAAGUAGGACUAUCCAUAUGGAAGUAGGACCAUCCGUAAUUAACCGAAGUAGGACUAUCCAUAUGGAAAGAAGGGUCCAGGUUUCAUAAGACUCCUUCGGAGCGGUCUUAAUACUCCUAACGGAGGGGAGGCGCAAAUCGAAGUUUUGAUGCAUAAGGAAAAGAAGAAGACCGACUAAACCGUAGGCAAGGAAGGAAAGCCUAUCCCCUCCUCCUACGUCCCUCAAUCAUUGAUUGUAAUAGUCUUUCUUCAUUGAUUGCGCUCCGUAGUCAAAUUCUUUCUUUGUAUAUUCCGUCGUCCGCAAAUUCUUUGCUCCUCAAAUUCUUUGAGCCUCUUGACUAUUCAACCUAUUACUUGGAGUUUUCUACCUUUCAAACUUCUUCUUUCUCUCUUCUUUGUGCCGUAGGUUUUUUUUAAUAGUCUUGUAAAUCAUCAAGACCUACGUCCUUCUACGCGGCACUAUAUAAGACUCUGUAGGAGAAGUACUUUUGAGCUCUUUCUGACUUUUCUUUCUUCAGUAUUUAUUAGGUUCUUCUUUCGAAGAGGAAGAUUCAGAGAGAAAGCAAGAACGAACUACCGAUAUGAGGAGUUCUUCUAUUAUGUAAUUUCUCAAUUCUGGGAAUCUUUCUUUUCGAAUAAAUUGAUCGAAGGGCGCUAUCACUCUUUUAGUUAACGAGUGGGUUGGGUAGGCAGACCACUAACCUAAAUCAACCUCGGACUCGUCCGCUCCGUCUUCCCCUUUCUUUCUGCUUCUGCCUCAGCUGAAAGAGGUACUUCUUCCCCAGCCCCGCUCGAUACUGACUUUUCCCUUGCUUCCGCCGGCCCUACUGACUAUUGAAGUGACUCAUAUAGCAUGGAAAGGGAUAAUGGAAGAGCCGCAAUAUUCUUUGCGCCUCUUGUUGGAACUCAUGAAAGAUCCCCUGUUCAUUGACUUUCUUCCGAAACCCUUCGCUAACUCUGCCUCCCCAACUGAACUGAGGCUUCAGCCGACGACCCUACUAAUAAUCUGACUUAUUCAACCCACUACGCCUGCCCUAUCUUUUAUGGUCUUAUAAUUCCACUAAAUCCUAUCUUUUCCGCAAUAUUCUUUGCACCUUUCUUUCGGAGUAGCUCCAGCGUAGCGUAGCGGUUAAAGCUCAAAUUGCAUUGAGCCUGUAUUUAUCCCUCUGUUAGGCGCAAAGAAUUUGCGAAGGACUAUCCAUAUUAACCUGUGACGCAUCUGGACCCCUUAUAAUUGGGCCAUAGAUCUUUGCACCUUGCCUCCAGGAAAAAGAAAGCAGGAACAUAAAAGGAAAGAAAGCCUAGCCUGAAUGAACAAGGGGGGUUCUUUUCCAACCUCAAUGAGUGAGGAAAGACUCAUAGCCACGUUUUGGAGGGCCUUACAAGUAAGGUUUUGUACACAGAACCUAAUCCAAAACCCAGAAAUUUGGUACAAUAGCCUUACCGUGAAUAGACAUUAUAAUGUCCAUUUGGAAAAACAAGAAAAUCAAGAGUUUGCUUUGGCUUUCGAGAAAGACCAAAAAGAGGGGUUGGAUCCCAUUAUGAGGAAGAAAUCUUUCUUCGUAGCUCUUAGAAAGAAAGAGCAGCGGAAGCAUCCCGCUCCGUGGGUUCUUCCUAAAUUACCAACGGUUACAGAAGCGGGGAUGAAUCUACUCAACUUUGCAAUAAUACCCAUUCCGAGGAUAGAAAGCCCUCCCCAACGGCGGGGAGAGCAUGAACAAGAAAAUGGGAAUCUUCUUAUAUCCAGGGAAGAGGGAAAACUGAAUAACUAUGAUUAUGCGCUAUGGCCCCUAGUAUGAAAAACCUUCCAUUAUACAAUGGACUAUAAGGAUACUUUGAAAUAAUGAGAAAUAGAAGCUGUGCCAAGAAGAGGCGCUUUCAGCACUCUUGAGAAGAGGGAAUACUACAACAGGGGACGAGGGACCGUUCCGGAUACUCUAAAGGGACUCCAAGCAGCAUUAUUAGUUGUCUGAGCAAUAUUCUUUGCUCCUAACGUGAAUAUGGAUAGUCCUCUUAUAAAAAAGGCCUACUUUUAUGGGGUUCGGUUCUGACAAUUCAUUAGGGGUUCGCGGAGGAGUUCUUCCUCUGGAUUCUCGGAAAGUCUCAUUAGGAAAUUGAAUACCAUCAGGGGAUCCCAUACAAAGAGCCUAUUCUUAGCCGGGAGCGGAUAAAAAGAAGACGAUGAUGAAGGAUUUUCUGAAUCUUUGCUUGAGAGGACUAAAAACGUAUUCGCCGAGGAAUCGCUAUAAGAACCGAGUUGACUUUUUAGUGGUCUUUAAAAGAGGAGUUUCCCAGAAAGGAUGAUUUUUUCAUAGAAAGAGAGAGCGGAUUCGCUAGCUCAUACAUCGGGAGAAUCUCAGAGGACUGACUAGGAUUGGGAAUAGACUAAGAAAGAAGUUCAUAAAUCAAUGAACUAGCAAAAUUGUAGCCCUUGUUCAUUGACUACUCCCCUACAAAAAAGAAUGUGAAAAUGACCUCCAACUACUUAUUAAGAGAGAGAUCUGAAAGAGAAAGCCUAGGGGUUCGGUUUGAACGUCAAAUAAGAGAAGAGUGAAUUUGAAGAUUCUUGAUUUUGUUGGGGAGGCAGAAAGGUAAAGGUAAGAGAGAGAGUCCACUCGACCUUCUUUAGAUCUUGCGGAAGAAGCCCUUGUUCAUUGAGGCGGUAGCAUUCUAUCUUUCAGAGUCAUCCCUCUCUCUUUCAUGGGAAUCUCUCUCUCUUGACUAAGAGUCAGUGGCCGUAAGGCAAGAAUCCGCACUCUUCUUGAAGUCAGCUAUCCGGUUAGCGGCAGGUUAUCAAUCAGUAGCUCGAGGAUAGGAAGAAAGUAGCGAGAGAGGGCAAAGCCGGACCAUGAAAGGUAUCGAUAGUCGGACUUAUUUAUGGAACAUAGACCACUACACUAGGCUUGAUCUUCUUCAAAGCACUCCCAACUUUUCCCUAGGCUGACCUCUUUUAUCCACAGGUUAAUAUGUCCUUAUCAAUGAGACGGGUACUGGUACUUCCUUUUCCCCUGCCUUACCUUCUACCCUACUUCGGAAAGAUCUCAUUCCCUUGAAGCAGCAAGGGCCCUUUCUGCCUCCCGUUCUUUAAGUGGGGGGGUGGAGGGGAGGAGUAUUAUCCCCUCGGUUCGGAGAAGCCUUUUUGGAUCGAAAAAGAAAGGUCCAGGUGCUUUGAAUAGGAAUCACUCAUAUUGCAUUGAGCCUUAAGAGUCUAGUCAAUAUUGAACCUUCGGACUGGUCUCGCUGACUUACUCAGUAGUCGGAAAGUGAAAGUGGAAUUCUCAUCAGUCCAAAAAAUCGCCCUAUACAUGAAUUUCAGGCGGAAGGUGCCAUACAUAAGACAGGGAUAUUCUUGGACUGGGAGCUCAGCUUGACUGGGUGGCUGGCAGAACCAGUCUUCGGACCUAGACCAUGAACUGGAGUAUGAAUCAAAGAUCAUGUGGAAUCCUUCGAGCCAAGCCAAGCCUAGUUAUUCUUGCUGUCGGGCUCCGCCCCUUAUACUUAUGACCCUAGCCGUCACGGAUCUGCUUUAACGGAUUGGUUUACGCCUAGACGGAGUUCAAUCAGCGGAUAAGACAGAGGAAGAGCGGAUCAGCCGAUCUUGCUGUUUUUACCGCGUAGUGGGUUACGGAUCAAGUAGUUCAAUACAGGAGGUGGUCCUCCGAAAUCAAGGCUCAAAUCAAGGCUCAAAGAAGAUUGAGAGUUUACAAAUCCUCCGAAAGCAAGGUGCAAAGAUCUAUGGCCCCAAUUAUAAGGGGUCCAGAUGACUAUCCACUAGGGAAUAUUGCGAGGCGAAGGACUUCUUUAUCAAGCUUGUCUGAACAAAGGCUUUCUGCUCGAGCCGCUUCUUUGCUGAAGUUUCCUACGGAGCUUUUGGAAUAAGACUGACUAAAAAGGAGAAGUCCUUCGGAGCUCUUUCAUUCUCUCUUUGUUUACAAGGUAUCGGAAUGAAAUCGAGACCGCCCACGGAGCGGGAGAGGAAAAGGAAACCCCAGCGACCAAGCACUUCCGCUCCCAGGAGACCGAAGAACCGCCAAGUUGUCGAGGACACGUCUGAGGAGGAGGCGGGCGCCGAUUUACCACCCUACCCACUAAUGGACUAUGAGGGGGCAGGCGAAGGGGAACCUACCGAGAACCCGAACCGCUUGACUGACUGGCCCCUUCAUACUCAAUUGAAUUAGGGUCGAGGAUGGAUGAAAGCCAAUCAUAAGUGCAAAUCGCGCAAGCGAAGCCGGGAAAGGGACCGCUGCGCAAGGACUAGGACUCGUGUCCGAGGAGUUUUGAGCGUGAGCUACCACUCAUGCAGCGGCAAAGACCCGCAACUCUCUCAGAGGAAGAGGCCACCAACCGCCCGAUGUAGCAAACCCUCCCUUUACUCAAUGGAUAGCGCUUAUCCUCUUUCAAGAGAAAAAAGAAGAAAUGAGGGGACGUUCUGAUUGCCAUGAAUGCUGCGCCUUCGAGGACAUGUACAAGAAGGUCUUUGCCGAUUCCUAGAAAGAUGGUGCACCUCUCCGUAUAGGGGCCCGUGGAGACUUUGACCGAAUUCAUAGGGAGAAAUGAAUAGACAUUUUGAUUGACCACUUUUUUCGUGAGCUAUGUGCUGACUGGAUGCGUACUCGCGUGAUUGAUCGAUGGACGGGGGAAUUGCGUGAAUGAGGAGACCGGCUUAACGUACGUGUGACCCGCCCGCUAGGGAAACUGGCUACUGGAUUCGUGCCCAGCGCACCUUACCGUAAGUGGUCUUGGGAAGCUUCAGUUCUCUAGUUGGAUUCUUUCUUCUUCUUUCUUUUAUUAGAACUUGGAUACUGCUUUGGAGGCGCCCGCUUUCUUUCUCUCUGGAGACUCCGCUUUCGCUCGGGUAGGCUGACGUAUACUUCUUUAAAGAAAUUAGCUCUUGUUUCCUGACUGAACUUUUCUAUUCGCUUGUUUGCUUCCUCGCUAAUCCGCCGCUCCCUUCCAGGAGCUACACCCCAUACAUCCUAUUCAGAAAACCCGGGAGCCGGUAGCAGCUACCGGCCAUUAACCAGAGGGGUUGGAAAGAAUAUUGACGAAAAGAAGAAUGAACUCAUUAACGAGAAUUCUUCUUGAAUAACCUGGAGUGAAAUAAAGAAUAGACCUCUCAGUAUCCGGAACACAAACUAGAAGUUCUCAAUGUGAAUUUCUUUGACCUAGAUUUUUCUAAUGGACCAGUUGCAAUUUCCCGGCUUUUUUGCUUCUAAAUAGGACUUUUUCGACUUUUCUUAUCUAACGAAAAUAGAUCAAUUUUGACUGAUUUUUUGUCUUUUCUUGCUACUUUAUAGGCCCAAAACCUAGCAAAAUCAUGGAAUUCACUCCGUCUUCAUUAAGCAAAGAUGUCUGAAAUCUAGCACAAAGAUGUCUGAAAUCUAGCAGAUUCAUAAUUCUUCUUGAAUUCGAGUUAUGAAAUCCUAAUUAUUCUUUCAUUAUCGUUAAUGAGCUUCUUUUCUUUUCGUCAAUAUUCUAUAUUCUUUUCACCUAUUCAUAUUUCAUUGAUCCUAACCUUCGUCAUCAAAUCCCCUAAUGGAUAGUCCUUCGGACCUGUCUUUGCGCAUCUUUUCUUUUCUUUAUUUUGGAGCGGUCCGAAGCCUUAAUUUGAUCGACUCCUUUUUUAUGCUGCGUAGGAGGACGGGUUCCCCAAGAAUAUCCCUGUCUGUCUUAUGGCGCGACUUCGGACGGAUAAAGAAAUUCUAAGAGAGCUUUGACGUGACGAGUGGAUGCCUAGUUUGAAAGUCUUGCCACUUGAGGGCUUCCACCCACGCUUCUGGCUGACUGUAAUAAGGGCUAAAGAAGGAUGAAACAAGGGAUAUGAAUGGAUGGUCUUUCCUCUCAAUCGAGUGGUGUAUUUACUAGCUUGAAGAUCAAGAGGUUUUUUCCGUAAAGAAAAGAUUUGGAAGAUUCGGCCAGUUCCGGGCGUAGUAGAAGUACCGCGUAGUGGGCAAGGUAGAUAAAGAGAGGUUUGCAUAUGUUUCAGACAAGGGUUUCGUACAAAUACCUUCCCGUCUUACCGAGACCAAGUAGCUAUCCAGGAGCCAAACUCCAAAUGAGAUGAGGUGCAGGAGUUCAGGAUCGGAAGCCUCUCACUGAAAUAGUAAGCGAAGCGCCCAAUUCAAGGUCUGGAGGUGUGCAUAGGUUGGGCUUUCUAGGUAAUGCGCUAUCAGGCGAAUGGGCGUGUCUGAACGAGUGGGGAAUUUUUCUCUUUCCCUCUACAAAGAAGGUCAAAUAGGUGCCAUGGGCCAUGAAAUAUGAGAAUCCCGGCUUCACGGGCGCGUGCGUAGGCAAACCCACUCUUUGAUCGGAAGAAAGUCAAGAAUUAGGCGAGACCAGUCCAUAAAAAAAGAAAGCUCCAGAUGAGUUUCAUUGAGUGCUCAUAUAAUUUUCUCGAUUCACUAUUUGAUUUUGAUUCAAGGACCCACCUCACAAAGGGAGUUGGUCAUAGGGGAGGCACACAUAGGAUCGGCGGUUCGGGUUAGGGACGGGUCGAGGUAAGAGGAAGCGUCUGCUUGACUGAGGGAGGUCUUCUUCGAUCAGCGCUGGUAAGAUGAGAUUCAGGCCAAAGAAGGCGAUUGAAAUCCAAGGAUGAAGAGAAAGAAAUCAGCCCCGAUAGAGGCUCAAGAGAUCUCAUUCAAGGCCCAUACUCAUUCAAUUCAGGCAAAGCCUCAACCUAGCCUUGUUCAUUGACUUUUCUUAAGGGGCCUUUGUCCUCGUCGGCUAUUCAUUAUAGGAUUGAUUAGAAAAGCGUGAGGCUAGUGAAAGCGAUCCUAGUCUCGACUUGGUCCCUCUCCAAACAUCCAAAAAAACAAAUAAACUACUCGUAGUCUUGGUUGGUUGUUUUCUUCCUCUUUAUUCUGAAUUCUGAUAAUUCCCUCUCGAGCCCAGUCCGCUUCCCCGUACUCUUAUUAAGAGAAUGAAGCAGACUCAAGGCCCCUUAAGAGAAUGAAGCAGACUCAAGGCCCCUCCUUCACAGGGGUUUUAGGGAAUAUCGCACUAGUUAUCUAGUGCGGGCAGGUGAGAUCUUUUCCAGUAGCCCACCACCAGGUCAUAUCUCUUUUUGUCUGCCUUUGUGCGAAAGGAAGGAGAAAUUCAGGUUUCGGCUUAUGGGACGGGUCAUAGACCUGAAAUUCUAAGAAAAUCGAAGGUAAAAGGUAAAAGCACUUGGAUUGAUUCUCCUCGCUUAUCAUCCAUGGGCAAGAUUGGCCUAUUUCCUUAUUUAUUUACUUGGAAAAAGAUUCAUCGUCUUUCGACCAUAGGCUUUCUCUUUCUGGGAGUUUUGAGGCCGACGGCCUGGGAGAGAUAUGGGAGAGCAUACCGAUCUCACAAGAAGAGCAAGGGAAUCAGCAAAUGGAAGAAAGAAGACUGACCACUCAAUCUGGUGGAGCAAAUUCCUAUCCUGUGGGUCCUACCGCAUAGUAAUUGAAUACUCUUUCAUUUCGGACUGCGCGUAGUUAGGAUAAAAGAGGUCUGGAGGACCCGUCCGGAGGACUCUGAUAUUCCACUUAUUUGACGAAGUUCAGUUAUUCACACACGGAUACCUGAAUUUCAUUCCUAUGAAAGGGCUUUCCCCACGUAGCGGUUUCGGGUGAGUCGGGUCUUUGACGGCUCCCACGUAGCGGUUUGAAGCCUUGUCUUCACAUCUUCUUUGGGACAUGGACAUUUGGAGGUUUCUUAUCUUUCUAAUUCUCCUCGAGGAAGGCCUUGAAUAAAGAAAAUAAUCCACAAACCAGAAAGUUCAUUCCACACCACUAUAUGCUAGGAUACGGCUUGCCUUUUUGGAUUUAGACUUUCCCAAGUUAGUAUGUUUUCGACCAGAGUUUUUCUCUGAGGAAUGGCAUGGGAUUUCUUUUGGCCAGCGGUAAGAUUGGAAAAGAAUCCUUCUCAAUCUCUUCGACAUAAAUCCUUCUUAUACGAAAUUCUUCAUUUUGCUAAAACUGAGAAAAGUUAUUAAAACUAAUGAGGUACGGAUUCUCCGACUUUUGGUACGGAUUCUCCGACAUUUCCCUCUAUAUGGAGGCUACGCCCACUAUUUGGGGGGAUUCGGAGGCUUCGCCCUCUGUAUUUCUUUCUACUCUUCUGUUUUUCCUAGCUCUUUCCUUGAAGUUCAACUCGCAGUUCAUAAUGAAGCUUGCUCGGCUUCCUUCGCUUCCUUCCUAGAUCUCCUUACAUCACUCUCUCAUAAAAUCAAAACAACAAAUUGAAAACAAGAAAGAAAUUAGCUAGGAUUCCGCCUCGCAAACUCGGCUCCCUUCGCUUCCUUCCUAGAUUACAUAUUUACAACUAAAUUCAGAUUGAAAACAACAAAUCACUUUCUUGAAGAAUUAAAGCAAGAAGACAACUUAGAUUCAAUCUCUUAACAAAGAAUAUCGUUAUUGAUUGAUUCAAAGGAUAGACAAGCAAUUCAAGUCAUCGUGGAUAAAGGGCAUCAAUUCUAGCUAGGUUUCGUGAGCUCAUUCUCUUCUAUGAGUGGCUGGCAGAACCAGUCUUACCUUCUACACCACGAACUGGAGAUUUAUUCGCUAGUUCUGGUAAGCUGACCAAGCGACGGUGGCUCCAUACCUCUUAUGGGAAUAAGGUAGGAAAAACUUCGAUGAAAGGUACAGGCUACGCCUUCCCUUUUUCGAGUUUUUCUCUUUGGUGAAGGGGGAAAGCCUGAUUUUUCAGUGCCUUCGGGGGUAUAUAUGCAUCUAUAUUUCUGAAGGUCAAAAGAGCCCAAGCCUUCGGGUCAGAACCCCUUUCAGAGACCCUACCUAGCCUCUAGCCUUGCGGAUAUGCCAUUUUCGGAGGAGACCAAGGCGCAAAGAAUAUUGCUCGAAAGAGGAUCCAUAAGACAGGGAUAUUGUAGGGAGAGAAGCGGAUAAGACAGAGGCAAAGAAUUUGUCAUUACGGAGUGAAAUCAGCGGAUAUUGCAUAAAGAAGCCGAAAAAAGCUCUUUUUACCUCAUUUGGCUCUAGGAUCAAAUCACACAAUUACAGAGGCAGGGAUCUUGUAAGCUUCUUCCCCGACAAAAACUAGGUUCUUAGACGGAUCUGGUUUAACGGAUUGGUUUACGCCGUCACGGAUAGACAUCUCUGUAUUCCCUUUUCAAGGUAUGUUUUCCGCACUUUGACGAGCCUAAACAUAUUCAUAAUUCAAUGCCUCGAGUCCUUUUCCUCGCUAAUAGGUCCGGCCUGUAGUCCGGCUUUUCCAUCUUUCAGGGAUAUCGAUCCGGCUGCCUCUAUAUAUUCUUUGCGCCUUCAUACUUUUCCUUUUUUGGGGGUAGGGGUAUAUUUUCUCAGCUCCUCUACGGGAGCUUCGGUUUUGCUAGAAGUCAGCCGAAGUUUCGGCUUUUCCUUUGGACUAGAUUGCUCGGAGUUACCAUUAAUUCAUAAUUAAUCAAAGAAAUAAUUAACUUGUUCUAUGACGAAAACGAUCAAAAAAUCGUGGACAAAGGGCAUCAAUUCUAGGACUUUUCCGUGAGCUCAGCUCGACUGGGUGGCCGCUAGAUCCGUCUAUUUUUCAUAUAUAUAUAGACCUGACUCUGACGGAGUUCAAUCUUUCAAAAAAGCAUAUAGGGACGGAAGUAGCUCGACCAUAGGAAGAGGGACGGAUCCACAGACAAUGCGAUAUAUACCAGGGUUACGCGUAGCUGAAAAACAGUGUCUCAAAUUUGUAUUUUCUUCGAUCUGCUUUUUUGAUUAAAGUACUAACUUUGGGAAAAGAGGAUUGGGAGUCAACUCUGACUAUUUUUCUUUCAAUGGAAGUAGUUACCAACAUAAGCCGAUAUUUGUUAAUAACCUUGUCUCGCUCUGAGAGCGGAGAAAGAGGAAGUCAAAAGGAGAUUUUCUUCCAAAAUCCGGUGGCAUUUCUCCGCAAUAUUCUUUGCGCCUUCUCCUCAUUCAUAUGGAUAGGACUGAGGCUCCAUAAGACAGGGAUAUUGUAAGCCGAAAAAAGCUCUUUUUACCGCGGCGUAGUGGGUUACGGAGUUCAAUCAGCGGAUAUUGCACAAGCCGAUCUUGCAAAAAUGACUGUUUUUGUUAGUCAUUACGGAGUUCAAGAAUAAAGAAGAGCUUCUUCCCCGACAAAAACUAGUACACUAGUAGCAGAUUCAAUAUUCUUUUCACAUCUGCUUCCUUUUAUUUUGUUGAUUGCGAGAACUUACUAUAACCACUAACUGAGGAGAGACUGAACGGAUCUGCUUUCUUUCUACGUUUUCCGCACUUUUACGAGCCCCAACAUAUAAAGACACUAAGCCCCUUCCUUGAGUCCCUUCCUUGUGAGUCCGGCUUUUCCAUUUAAGAGGUCCGGUUCUCGCUAACUAAUAGGUCCGGCCUGUAGUCCGGCUUUUCCAUUUAAUAGGUCCCUUUCUCGCUAACUAAUAGGUCCGGCUCACUAAUAGAUAGGUCCGGCCUGACGUCCGGCUUUUCCUCAGGGAUAUCGAUCCGGCUUUCAGGGACAGGGAUAUCGAUCCAUCCGGCUGCCUUUUUCGCCUUCAGACUUUUCCUUUUCUUUCGCAUCUAGACCCCCAUUGAGCCUUUUGGUUUUUGAGGAAAGGAUAGGGGUUUAUUUACUCAGCUCCUUGAAGGGAGCUUCGGUUUAGCUAGGAGUCAGCCUCGCAAACUCGGCUUUUCCUUUGGACUAGAUUGCUCGAAAGUUCUAUAACCACUAACCACUGAAAGGUGGCUUCGCCCUCCAUAUUAUUUGCUUACUGCCCCCCUUAUAUUUUCAGAACCGACUUCUUGAUGUUCUUGCUCGCGUAGCUCGCGCGCGCGUAUGUUAACGCUUUGUGUAUGCUCCCCACUCGCUCCCUUUUGGAGUGCGCUCGGGGAAGCUUCUACUAAGCGCAGGAUUCUCUUCCUUUAACAUUCUUUCUAUGUCUUACUAAAGUUAGCUACCCAUCUCCGUCAGGCUCCCCCCCGCAAAUUCUUUGCUCCUCCACCUCUUGACCCAAGCUUUGGCUCUGAACCAAGACCACCCAGGAACAAGCAAGAAGAAGAAGGAAGGAACUAACUAAUGAAACUAAUGAUUCGGUCAAGAACUAAUGAUUCAGUCGCUGCGCUCCACACAAGAAGAACUAACUAAUGAAAGAUCUGAACCAAGGGUAAAGUUAUCCAUCUCCGUCAGGCUCUCCCCCGCAAAUUCUUUGCUCCUCCACCAAGCUUCGCUCUUCACCAAGACUACCCCAAAUCCUACAACCCACCCAUCUUCCGAAGUCUGAAUAAUAUCCGUUCAGGGCAUCUCUGCCAUUAUCUCUUCCUUAUCUCUUCUCUUCCUCCUCCUUAGACUUUAUUACAGGGCUUCGCCCCUCACACUUAUCCUAUUUUAGCCUGCUUAAGACAGAAUGUAUACCUUUCUUUCCUGCUCUUAGCUCUUAGACUUUAUUACAUUACAGGGCUUCGCCCCUCACACUUAUCCUAUUUUAGCCUGAGCUAACUUCAUUUUCUUUUCUGAGCUAACUUCAUGUUGGUGGUGUUCUAACUCGGCUCGUCUUACUCACCUCGCAUCUAUGUUAACGCUUUGUGUAUGCUAGCCGCUCGCUCCCAAAGUACGCUCGGGCUAGCUUCUAGAAAGCGAAGAUUCUCCCUCUCAGGAGAUUAACCUGUGAAAUUCGUCUCUGAAAUUAAUAAAGAAAUCAUGUGAAAUUCAUCUGUUAAAAGAAAUCAUUAAGAAAGAAGUUCUAGUCGUGAAAUAGUUGAUUCAAACGAUGUGUGCCCGAAAGGCUUAUGCCUUGACUAGGGACAUCGUGGACAAAGGCGCCAUAAGACAGGGAUAUUCUUGGACUGGGAGCUCAGCUUGACGGAGUGGCUUACGCCUAGCCGUCACGGAUAGACAUCUCUGUAUUCCCCUUUCUUUCUACGUUUUCCGCACUUUUACGAGCCUCAACAUAUAAAGACAGGUAGCCCCUCGUCAACUCGGUAAAGCUGCUUCGCCCCUUCCUCGAGUCCUUUAAAGACACACUAAGCCCCUGCCUUGAGUCCUUUUCCUCCUUUCAGGGAUAUCGAUCCAGCUAACUAACUAACCUAACUAAUACUAAUCGGUCCGGCCUGACGUCCGGCUUUUCCUUCCAUCUUUCAGGGAUAUCGAUCCGGCUGGCUCUGGCUGCCUUGUUCUUUGUUCUUUAAGGGAUAUCGAUCCCUCUCCUUAUCAGUCGAGCCCUUGUUCUUCUUUUUUCGCCUUCAGACUUUGAUUUUUCUUUUUCUUCAUACUUUCUUUUGGUUUAGGGAUGGGGUAUACUUACUCAGCUCCUUGAAGGGAGCUUCGGUUGUUCUAGGUGUAGCAGAGCUUUUUUCAAGAUUGAACUAGGAAAGAAAGAACAAGUCUGUGUUAAGCAGGUGCAGGCAUUUCAAGAAUCAGAUCCCCUAUUUCUUUAUGGAUGUCAUUGACUCUUAGGCGAAGGACUCUUUCACUUGCUUGUUGGACGCGCGCGCUAGAACUCCUCCCUUGAAUAGGUCUUUUCAGUUCGUAUUCCCGAUACAAGGUCCUAAGACGCUGGCUAGCUCUCUAUAUUUCAGAGACUAAGCUCCGCCUUAGAGGUUUCCAUGGGGGUCGGGGUGGAGAUCAAGCAAGGGAUGCAAAGCAAUGAGACCGACCAGGAGCAUAUGGCCAGAGAAGAAGCUAGAACUCAGAAAGCAAGCCGCCGUAUCGGUGCAGCAGGGAUCCCACUAUUAGUUCCAUUAAUAAGUCCUUCGCUCAAUAGGGUAGUAGAGUCCUCCGGACGGAAUAUGGAUAAAAAUCAGUCAGCUAGACACUCUAUUUUAGGCGCAAUAUUGCGAAAAAGCCUUGAUGGAGAAGGAGCUGAACUUUGAAUUCCUUCUUUAUCAAGGGAUAGGCUCUUCUUUGCGCUCCUUAACACGUAGGAGGAGAUGUAGUGCCUCCAGUUUGCGCUCCCGUAGGUCUUGUCUUAUUCUCUUAUAUAAGCUUGCCUUCGCAUGUAGGAGUUUGCCCUUGGUUCUUGGUCUGCCUUGCCUACGGCGGUUCCUUGCCUCCCUCCGGUCUGCAGUCCUUCGUCUUCUUCGAUCAGCUCUUUCAAGCAGCUAUAUAGGAACUCUUCCCCAAUCCUACUUCGCAUUAGUACUACACAACCCCCUACGCCUUCCUUACUGUCGCGUAUCAGCUGUAAGAAUAGCUUCAGCUAGAGCAGAUAUCCCAGGAAAUGCAAAAUCUCCGAAUCGUCUCAUCCCUUACCCAGGAAGCCCCGCAUGCCUUCAGCUUCAAACCGGGCCUCAUCCUUGUUCAUUGAUUUCACCUGUUGAGCUACUGCAUUCCGAAACCGCUACGUGGGGGUCUGGGCUAGUUAGUCUAAUGAUCUGAGUUCUUGCCUUGAUCUCUUUUCACUUCUUCCCUUUCUUCCGAUCAUGUUAUGAAAGAUCUAUAGAGAGGACUUGCUCUUCGUAAUCCUGUAUUCCGAUCCUUUGUCUCUGGGAUAUCCCGAUUCAGGUCGAAUACCGCCUCAAUGAACAAGGGUCAAAGAAGAUUUCGAAGACGAGACUGGUCCGGAGGAUAGGCUUUCUUUUCCUUGGCCGACUACGCGGUAGAAAAGCCAACCAUGGCGAAGCGAAGGAAGUGCUCUGGAAAGGGCGGGCUGGGCGAACUCGGGAGUGGAAGAAGUUGAUGUCCCCGGGAGUCCGCCUGAGAUCUAGAUCUUUCUCUUUUUCUUGCUUGAGGUCUGAGAUCGGAUCCUUCAUUCAUUCGUGACUCGUGGCAUUGAACUUCCUUUUCUUAUAAUAAAUCACCUUCUUUCUACAGUGAAAGCUUAGCUUAGGCUGACGGCCUUGGGAAUGGUCAAGAGAUUAGAACCAACCGCGUAGUGGGCAGCCUUCCUCAUCACCCUAGAAGGAGCCCGGAUCCUGAAAGGGGGACCUAUGAUUCCGCUGACUCAGCAAGAAUUUGAGGUGGGGCGGAGACUGAAUUUUCCUCUCCUCUGGGACAGAAUUUCUCUUGACUUCUGAUUCCGCUCUUCUCUACGAGGAUCCCGUAAUAAUCAGACUGAUUCUUUCUCCUUCUGCCGAAGAAAUAGAGUCCCGUCAGUCCUUCCUCUUUGUCGAGUUUUGCGCUUUCUUUCCAAAAAGAGAAUGAAAUCACGUAUUUUCAGAGUUAGAAGAUGGGAAUCCAAGGAUUUCUCCUUCAAGGCCGACGGAAAGAGAUUGUACACGGAUCCUCCUGGUUUUCUUCCUGCGAGUCAUCCUAUUAUUUCUUCCUUUUUCUACUUCUUCCUAUAGAGGUUCCUAUUUCCCAACCAUGAAUAAAGACGGGGGAGGUCCCUUUCAAUCCCACCACUAAUAGACGAGACGAGGGUAGAUGGGUCGCCGGAUCAGUAUGAAGCAGCGGCCGGGUCAGAGUCAGGUUGCAUCCCUUUCAGGAAUGAGAAGGAUAGAGGAAGAGUAACAAGAAAAGCAAGUUCAAAUAAACUAAGAUUUUGGGCUAGUGAUGAAAAUAUUCAAGAUUCCACUAUUCGAAAGCCUAUCCUUUCUGAGAACCUUCUGACUUAUCUUCUUUUUUAGAACCGUCGAAGAACAUUUGCCAGAGGAGUUGAGUCUUCUUCUUCGCCUACCGCUAAUAGAAUAGCUGAGUCCGGGAAAUGCGUCCCCUUACUAAACUAAGAAAAUCAAGCUCAUAGUCCGGACGGGAUGAUCCAUCCGUAGGUGGUCUGCUAUUGCCUGCCCCUUUCCUUACUCAUUUAGGGCUUCCCCUUGCUUUUACAGAACUCUGAGAGUCACAUCUGCCACCUUCCUGGCCCAUUCAGGCUGGCUUUGAAAAGAGAUACUGAAGCGGGUCCAUCCUUGCAAUCAGCAUGGUCGUAUAGUUCAAGAUGUAGUGGCGUAGGCUUUGCGAGGCUCAUGGUUGAGCACAACCGCUUUUUUCUAGAACCGUAUACCUUGUCUCAUAAUCAGUGAACUUCUUGCCGAUCUCGUAUAUUGCCCUUUCUUUCCUACCAGUUUCAUCUCAUCGUGCUGACCAAGGACAGACACAACUCAUGGAUGCUUGAAUUACUUACAGAUAGAUGCAUCAGGAUAGGCUUUCCUCUUUUUCCCACGGAGCGUCCGUCCGAAGGACUACGAAGGAGGACGCCUAGUUUUAGUGGAAAAUAAGGGUCCGGAGGCUGAAUGAAAUUCUCUAAUGGAUAGGACCCACGGAGCGGUGCAAUGAAGCGUUGUAAGGAGCUUUUGUUUUGAAAGUGGCCUUUUUUAUAAGAGGACUAUCCAUAUUCACCUUAGGAUCAAAGUCAGCCCACGGAGCGGAACAUAAUCAGACUGAGACUUUAAUUCGAUCUUCAUUCUCCCACGUAGCGGUCUUCUCGUAUGAGAUCUUUCGAGGUUAGUUACGAAGGAGAGGCGCAAAGAAUAUUGCGAAAAGCCUAGCCUUUGAGAAUUUUCAUCUUCGUUCUUUCGAGAAUGAGGAGGCCCACCUUUCUUGCUCCUUCCGCCUGCUUGCGUGCUUGGAGAGGAUAAAGGUGCUUCGACUCUUAAUAAUGCAUCUUCUUUAGAUAAAGGCCGCUUCCCGGAAGGAAAGGAGUGGAGAAAGGGUCCUUCUUCCUCCCCUCCUUUCGAGAUCCUCUUUUCUAAGAACCUGUAAUAACUCCUCGUCAACUAAGCUCUUUCGCGCUAUCGUAGUAGCUUGACUCAGUAUUAGGUUAUUCAGUUCCCACCCACACUCGUAGGUUCCGAUCAAGAGAGGUGAAUCAGCUUUCUUUCUUCCGCAUCCUCUUUAGGAUUAGGAGUCGAGCCCUUGUUCAUUGAUGGCCUAGCCUCUCUGUCUUUACCAAAAGGAUAGCUUGACUCAAAAGAGAAAGGACGCUUGAAGUUCAAGAGCGACUCCGGACCCGCCCGGAAGUUGUCGAAUCAUUAGCCAAAUAAGGAGAAGAGAACAAACUGGAGUGGGAAAGGGGAGAAGCAUAAGGUUGCCCGGUUCAGAUCAGUCUUCAUUCUUUCUUCGGCUUAGCUGAGAUUCGUACCAUCAUGCCUUCUCUACAGCACCACUUUGCCUUUAACCAGAGGUAAUUCGCUCCUUUCCCGCUCCGUAGAGUUCAAGACUUCCGCUCCGUGGGGGUUAAGACUUUCUAAGAGUUAACAAGAAUACCGGAAUAAAGAAGCUUUACGGUCUCGCUCUUAAGUCGUAUUCAUCCCUCAGAAAGAUAAGAGUGAGAGGUGAGACUUCGUACUCACUCUUCCUUUGGUGCCAAGAAAAGACCUUUUAGUGUAUAGAACUCAUACAAUAUCCCUGUCUUAUGGAGCCUUGAUUUUCCCGUCCGUUUCAGACGCCAACAGGUUAAUAUGGUCCUUUGAAUAUGGAUAAACAAGUCAUCUGGACCUCGCAUAUUGAAUUGCGCCUUACAAGAUCCAGUCAAUGAAUCCGUGGGCUUACUUUGAUCCUCUCCCCCUAUUUCCUAUCGUCGGCGAGCCGCUUUCGCUCCGAAGGAGGUGCAAAGAAUAUUUCGUGGAAGAGGAAGGAAAGAAAGAAAGGUAUACAUUACAAGAAGAGAGAAGAGGAAGGCGCCAUAAGACAGGUCCGAAGGCUAGGUGCAAAGUUCGGUUAAUUACGGAAAGUCCUCCUUCCUUCCAUAUGGAUGGUCCUACUUCGGUUAAUUACGGAUGGUCCUACGGAUAAAUCACCUGGACCUUUCUUUGGCCCAUAUGGAUAGUCCUCCGGACUACGGAUAAAUCCUGCGGACUGCGGACUCCGGACUCCGGACGGCUGUCCGCUACGCUACGGCUCCGCUUCCGCGAUUAAUAUGGAUAGUCCUUCGGACGGAGAAAGAAAGGUGCAAAGAAUAUAUAGAGAAGGAGAGGAUCAAUGUAAGUAAUAUGAUGUAAGGAGAGGAGUUUUCUCCCGCCGAAUUCUUAAGGAGCAAUCAUUGAUAAGGAAGGAUCUUUUCACCUUUAGCUAGCUCGUCGGGCGAUGUCAACAAGGUCCUUCGCUCCGGACCCGCGUAGUGGGAAUGGACAUUCUUUCUUUAGUGCAGCGUCAUUUGCGAAGAAGCGAAAAGAGGAAAGAGGAAAGCCUAUCCAACCCACGGGGCGGUCUAAGGAAGGAAAGCCUACUUAAACCUACUAUCAAUGAACCGCAAUAUUCUUUGCGCCUCCCAGUCUCCUAAUGGAUAGUCCUACUUCGGUUAAUUACGGAUGGUCCUACGGAUAAAUCCUCCGGACUCCUUCCCUCCAUAUGGAUGGUCCUACGGAUAAAUCCUCCGGACUCCGGAUAAAUCCUGCGGACUGCGGACUCCGGACGUAGGACCUGUCUUUAUCAGGAGCGUAGCGAACAGCCGUCAACUACUUGAUAGUUAUCCUAUCUUUCUCCUACGCGGAAUCCAGAAUAGACCUCUCUUUCUCCGGAAAAGAAACUCAAACAAGAAUCAAACUAUGUGAAUUUCUUAUCCCUUUCCUAGGAGUUCUUCUUUCAUUGCGUUUUCCCGGCUUUUUUGCUUCUAAAUAGGACUUUUUCUCAUAUUUCUAUUUCACGAAAAUAGAUCAAAAAUGACUGAUUUUUCAUGAUUUCUUUCUACUAUUUCUUUUCAGCUCUCCUUAUCAGUCGAGCCCAAAACCUAGCAUUUCCCUCCGCGGAUUCAUCUGAAAUCUAGCAGAUUCAUAAUGAUUCUUUCAUUCGAGUUAUGAAAUCAUAAUGAUUCUUUCAUUAUCGUUAAUGAGCUUCUUUCAUUAUCGUUAAUGAGCUUCUUUCAUUAUCGUUAAUGAGCUUCUUUCAUUAUCGUUAAUGAGUGAAUUCUGCUUUUCUUGACUUUUGUGCCAGUCCGAAGGACUAUCCAUAUUCUAUUCUUUGCGCAUCUGCGUCCUUCUUUUUCGCAACGCAUAUUGAAUUGCGCCUUUUAUCUCUUUCUUCUUAAUAGACCAAAUCGAUGAAAUAGACCAAAUCGAUGAAAAGAAGGAGAAUUUGUCGGAAAUGGCCGGGAUAGCUCAGUUGGUAGAGCAGAGGACUGAAAAUCCUCGUGUCACCAGUUCAAAUCUGGUUUUCUCGGCACAUCAUGAAUUUGUAUGAGUAUCUAUUCUACGGAUUCAUUAAUAAUAUAGAUCAUUCAAGGAUACAUCAUCUUUGACCCUCAAGACUCAACAAUAUCCCCCAACUACGUUGCCUCAGUCGCAGCAAACAAAAAGAAAGCGGAAAUCCCCUAAUGGAUAGUCCUUCGGACCUGUCUUAUGGCGCCUUCGGACGGUCACAUAUUCUAUUUUUUCUCUAGUUCAUCAAAUUUCAUGGAUCCGUAGUUAGGAUCCAUAAGACUGAAUAUGGAUUUCUCAAUCGCAUAUUUCAUUGCGCCUCCGUAGCUUAAUAUGAUUUGCUCAAAUAUGCGUUCCAAAAAAAAGAAAGAAUGAAAACUUUGAAUAUUGCGUUGCGUGGAAAUGGAAAUAAUAUCCGCGCGUAGGAUGAAUGAAUAUGAGAAGAAUAUUGACAAGCGCAUUUAUCUAAGAAGAGAAAACGAGUCAAGAGGACGGAGUGCAAGGAUGAAAUCCCGUCCUCAGUCCUAUCCAUAUUAACCUGUUCAUAUAUAGACCCCUCCGCUAGGCUCAAAGAAGAUUUCUCAAAAGUCUGAUUAAAUAGCCGAUAAAAAAGCAGUGAAAUAACUGAAAUAAGCGGUCUACAAUAUAAUAUCCCCCUUUCUUAUGGAGCCUAACUACGGGGGGGGGAUCGAGAAAAUCAGACUCCAAGGGAGAGGUCAGACCAGAGAAUUCUAUUUGGUAUCGGGUGGGCUACUCUUUGUGCUUAUGUUACCAAGGAGCACAAGAGCCCUUACGUUUGGGGACAGUAAUCACUUCAAGAAAAAGGGUCGGGUAGAACAACUUCUUAGGGGAAGCUUUUUCUAUGAAGGAAGAGAAAGAAGAAAAGACGAAGCAAAGAAGCGGAGCGGUAAAGAUCUCUGGCCAGAACCUGAUAGGGCUAGCUUAGCUGCCAGAGGGAUUGGAUUCUCUCUUUAUUGUAUAUCAAGAGAACGUAGAAAUCCUUCUUUCUAGUACGCUCCCAGAAUGAGCCCAAGCCCAGAGAAUGAAAGGUGCUCCUUUUCUCUAUUCUAUAGAUAUAAGAAAGCAGCUAAUUGCUAGCUCUCUUCCUUUGGUGCGAGUGAGGGACUAACCGCCUUACCUCUGCUCACUCCGGAACUAAAGAAAGCCUACCAAAGAAGAUUGAUUGCUAAGCCAGAAAGAGAAAGAAAGCCUACCAAGAAAUCGAUCAGUCCCUAGGGUUAACAAAUUAGUAAGUUCAUGUGUCAUGUAAAUUACUCAAGGGUGUGUAGUAAGACACCCAUCCGCAGCUCAAUAUUCUUUGAACCUCACCUUGACUAGACACUCAGCGCAUCAUGACUCAAAGUAGUACUAAUUUUGAGGGAAGAAAAAAAGGCGAGAGAUAUUAUCGAGGGAAGUAGUCAUCUUCUUUGAUUCAUUCUAAGAACUCUGUCCCAAGCGGGAAAAGCUCAGAGAAAGGGAAUUACACAGGAUGAAAUGGGGAUGAAAGUAGGUUAGAGCUUAGAGAUUAUGUCCGUUGCACUGCCAUAGUCGUCGCGAAGGAGAAGGACGAGGCGCUAUAUCAUAUAUAUAGCUCUACUCAAUGAGAAUGCAUCCAGAUAGAGUGCCGCGAAUUAGAGGAGCCGAUACAGAAUGGGAAGGAAGACAGUGCUGUCUUACAUUCCGCGUGGGCCAGCCUCUCUUUAUAUGUCACCAAAGAAGACAAGAAGCCCUAUGUCUGGGGAAAGUUCUCCCUUCAAGACAUACUGCAAGAAGCAGAGGUCAAAGCACAAAAGGCUUUCUUGUGAACCAGCACGAGCGUGUGCGGAAGCUUAGAGAGAGGAUUGAGCAGUACGAUGAUUUCCUGGAGCUAAGGGGCGAUCCAGAGAUCGCAGGGCUCCUCUGGUCCAAGUACAGUACUGAAAGCAAAAUCAGGGAAGAUUCCCAGCAGAUAAAGCUAGAAAAGAGAUCCACUAUGGAGCUACGAGUAGCUUAUCUCGAGGAGAGGGGCGAAGAAGCUCGACUGAAAGGAGAGGGGCCGGCCUCUUCUAAGAAGAAUUAGAGGAUCAAUCUCUAUUCUUAGAUUGGAUUGGAUCGCCACCAACCUCGUCUUCCAGAGGCCCAUCCAUAAAGACAAGGCAACUCUUUGUCUAUGGGCGGCCAAGUACACAAAAAACCCCCUUGUUCUUAGUAUGUUAAAGAAGGGCUUAAGGGAAGAAGAAGAUCAAGCCUAGGGACAAAGGAAGAACGACUAAAAUCAAAAGGGGCACACGAUUACUUCGACCUCUGGGUCGUCGAUGAGUUCAUGGAAGACAAGGCGCAGUCCGAAAACGAAUCGGAACAAGGUCGGAAUUAGAUUCAGGGGAUGCUCACGCUCAUGGGCAGGAGUGCAGGCCUCAAUACGAAAGGACCUGAUAUAAGAAGGCCAAGGUUCCCAUUAUUUUCAUGGGAAAGCAUAUACCUUCUACCUGAACCGUGGACGAAAGGCCUUUGGCCAAGAGAAGAGAGCCUUUCACCUUUCAACUUUGACUCCAACAUAGAGGAGCUGCAAGAGGAGAGGCUUAUAGCCAAUGGGGUUGUAUUUUCGGCCGCCUGCACGAUAGCAGGGGAGCUCGUAAGGGAUCCCCGCCUUUAAUACAAUUCGUUAAGCAGAUUAGAAGUGCCUGUAAGCGACGGAAAGAUUCUUUCACUCCUUAUUAUUGAAAGGAGAAAUCCACGUGCUGGCAAUAAGGAAGGGCAGCAAAAAGGGGGAGAAAGCCUACCUGGACCGCGGAGUGGGCAUUGCUCAACUGAGAGCAUGGGACAUGAACCUACUACAGUUUGCCGUAGUACCCCAAGAAAUCCGUAAAUUCAUAGCCCAUGAGCCCACACAGCACAUAAGGGGAGCACGCCAAAGGCUGGUUAUAAGGAGGGAAGAGGACCACGAUAAGCAGGAUUACGCCUUAUGGUAGGCUUUCCUUCGUGACGUAAAAAGGGUGCCCCAGGCCUUGUUCAAGGUGACCCAGCAUCCAUCUCCAUCAGUACUCUUUCUGUUCUAAUAAGCUUUUAGCAGUAUAGCGGGAAGCAUUUUCAUUCAAUAGGGCAAGAUGGAAAUUUUCCCACUCCAUUGCAUUGGGGAAGAUUUUUGAGAAGUUUCAGCCUUAGUGCAUUCUUUUGUCUCUUCUCUCUGUCUGCCUGAGAAAGAGUUCUGAGAAUCAAAUCAACCUUCAGAGAUUCCCGCCUUCUUUCUUGACUAGUAGUAAGCAUUAUGCCUUUCAUUUCUUAACCUAGUCAAAGAGGGGGAGCCGCUGCUCCUUUGUAUAGGGAAAAAGGGUGAUAUAAAGGGAUGAAUUCUCUGGUCUAAUUAAUAAUAGACUGGGGAUCGUAGGAAAGGUUCUUUACUUGUCGGCUAGCCUAAGCUCCAUCCUACUUACUUGCUUUCUUACACAUUUAGACCGGUCCGAAGCCUGAAUUCUCGAUUUUCGGUUCAUCUGAAUUCAAAAGAAAGAAAUCAGAGCCCACUUCAUCAAAGAAAAAAAGAAGAAUGGGGACGGUCCCCUGCUUCCUUUAGUUCCUUUGGUGAACAAUAGGUCAUCUUCUACCCAGAAUUGACGAGUCUUCCCUUCUUUAAUCAACUGUAUUAUAGCUUGGGCCGCAGGGUCCUUGGCCAGGCAAGCCUUGAUAGUUUCAAGAAGGGUGCCGGCUGCUAGCUUUUAAAUGGGCGAAGAUGCACAGGGCCGCAUGUUCGCUCAUCCGACUAAGGGCUAAGGCCGCUCUCCUUUACCUGUCUUCAAAUUUCAAAGAAAAUUCGGCCAAGCAUUCUUGCCAACGAGCUUCUUUAGAGGUCAAUUUGGGUUGACUGAAAAAGUGGCAUAUCUUUCUAUUGUCCGUCUUGACUACGAACUGGGAUCCCAAGACAUAUUGUCUCCAGGCUCUAGUGUACCACUGCAAGCAUUUCUUUCUCUCCGGCUUCUCCUCUCCGCAUCCAUCCUUCAGUUUCCUGCUCUCAUAGGCAAUGGGAUGGCCGUCUUGGAGGACUAAGGCAAAAUCAGAUGCGUCGCUUUCCACUUGCUUUGCUUACAUCGGCAAUUCCGAGAACCGGCCCUUCCAUCAUGGCCUUCUUCAGAUCCCCCAGCCUGAGAUUCUGGGGUCCAUUCCAUUCCCACUUAUGGUCUUUCUUCAAGAACUCCGUUAAGGGCCCUGUUCUUGAAGAGAAUCCCUCAAGGAAGGUAGGCUUUCUGGAAAAGAAAUAGUAGGUUCUACGAGGAAAGAAGGCAAAUCCCUUACUACAGACGGCACUCUCCAGUCACGUAGAGCAGUCAUUUUGCUCUCUUCCAUGCCGAUUCGGCCACACUCGAUCACGUGACCGAGGAAGUUAAUGCCUUUCUGAGCAAAGGCAAUUUCUCUCUCUUUACAUACAGUCAACCUCAAUUUCUCAAAUACUAACUGAAGGUGAGGUUGAUGCUCUUCUAGCCUCGCGCUCUAAACCACAAUCUCGUCCAGAUAUAUAUACUAGGAUCAACUUCUCAAGGUAUGAAUGGAAAACCUGAUUCUGAAAGGUAGAAAAAGUGGCUGGAGCAUUGGUGAGGCCGAAAGGCAUUAGACUCGGAAUGAAAAGGCGUAAUCUCGUCUAAGACAAUGGUUCAUCUCCUGAAGCAAUUCGCACUUGAUAAUAAAUACCCUGAAAUCUGAUCCAAUUCUUCAAAGUACUUGGUGGAGGCGGUCAAAUAAGUCUGUGAUAAUGGGGAGAGGUCUUUCGAACUCUGAGUUUAUUCAGCGCUCGAUAGUCGAUACAUAAGCGGAGACUUCCCUCUUUCUUCUGAAUCAAGAAGAAAUAUGUGCGCGAGGACCUUUUGCAGGUCUAAUAAACCCAGCGUCCAAGAACUCUACCAAUGAGAAGUUCUGCCAAUUCUGGCGGCCCCAUGUGAUACGCAUUCUUUGCAGGGGGUCUCGCCCCGGGUAGAAGUUCUAUCUCAUGAUCUAUCCCCCUGAGUGGAGGUAGAGUCUUAGGCAAACUCUCUGCCAUUACGUCUUGGUAUUCGUCUAAGACAUACUGGACUGCCUCCGGAACUAGCUCUUUCGGACUUUCCUCAUCAACCACUGGGAUAGCCAUGAAUGAACGUGGGCUCUUCGCGGGCUAGCCCUCUCUUCAGCUGGAGAAGUUUCAUCCCUUUCUUCUCUUUGUCUGGACUACGGUGGGAUUAGAUCCUGUGACUACCAAAGAUUUGGCCAAGGAUCAAAGUAUUUGAGCUUUGCGCCUUGUGUUCAAGAAGGAAUUCCAUCCCCAGCACUACAUCAAAAUCGUCCAUCUUCACAACCAAAAAAUCCGUCUGUCCACUCCACGAUCCCAAUUUGAACCUCAUUCGUCUUGCAAUCCCCAAAAUGGGUAAGGCGGCUGAGUUUACUCCUUUCAUUUUUCCUGGGUCUUUGUCCCAAUUCUAAGACGUCGGGCCUCUGUCUCAGCAAUUCCAUUGGGGGUGGGAAUCGACCUCUUUUGGCCUCUUUCUGAUUCACCCACGCAUCUACGUACAUGAGACCUCGUUCCGCCUGUCCUUUAUUUCCCUCUGCCUUUUUCUUCAGGGCGGACAAAAACUUCAGGGCCCCGGGGUUUUCCUCGCCCUCUUCUUCCCCUGUAUUCGUCUCAUUCUUUUCUUUGUUCAUUGAUCGGCAUUGGUUCUUAACCUUGCCUGGAAUGCCUUGAGAGCAGCGAGAUUUGGGCAUUCGUAAACUCGUUGGGGGCCCUUGCACAGGAAGCAAGAUGGGGGUCCUCCUCUAUAAUUGCCUUGCUCUUGCUUCGGGUUGCGCCCUUGGUGUCCGCCUCUUGGGGGAAAGGCUUUGCGAUCCCCUCCUCCCGCUCUCUCUCCUCCUCCACUUUUGGGAGAGUUAGAUCCGGCGGGUUUAUUACUUCCACUAGAGGAAGCUUGCUUUCCUCUUUGCUCGUGGGGCGCAUCCUUGCUGAGAUCAAAUAGUCGUUCUGCUGCGGCAUAGGCUGAGGACAGGCUUUGGACUGACGGCUUUCUCUUUCUUUUUCUUUCUUUUAGCCCACCACAAAAGAUCAAACUUUAGCUUUCUCUGACAUAUCACGGAUAUCCAGGAUCAGCCCGGCAAAUUGCUUCACGUAUUCUCUAAUUGUGCCAGUAUCUUUUAGUUCUCCUAACUUACUGAGAAUUUCUUCUCGGGGAAGAACUGAGACCGCAGCUCUUCUUUCAGUGUCUCCCACGUAUCGAUGGUCCAUCUACCCUCUUGGAUGUCCACAAAUCGGGACCUCCACCACAAGCGUCUUCUGCCAGGUGCAUCGUCGCCAAUGUGAUCAAAGACUCUUCAGUCACUGUAUUCCUAGCUCUUAAAUAUUGUUCCAAAUCAAGGUGAAAAGAAUAUUGACCAGCCUAAGAAAGAGAAAGCCUAGGCACUUGAACCCGGUUGAACUGGACCGCGCCCCGGGCUUGGUCACCGCUCUUAUGGUGAGAUUGACUCUUGCGCUGACAUCUGCAAUCUCUGUCCUGAUGACAUUAUCAGAGCUCCUCCGAGAAUUCAAUUCGUUCACCAUUUUCAUUAUCGCUUUCUCUCAGCUGUCCAAUGCAAGGCUCUUCAGGCCGUAGAGCCCAGCUAUCCCCUCCCUCGCUCGAAGCUACCCAACCUGCUAGCAUUUGCUUCUCUCAAAUGAGCAAUAUUCUUUGCACCUUGUCAUCAACUCUUUGAGGGGCAUUCCGUCUAAGCGGCCAGCUACCGCAUCGAUUCCGCCUUCUCAGAGACUUCCUUCAGCCGAGUGUCUCUAGGAAUCGAACUUGAUCAGGGACUUCUAUCAAAUAGAGCAGAUGCUCUUCCAUCUCUCCCAACCGGUCAACGUGGGACUUACCCAACUCUUUCGUAGCCGACAUGAUUACAGCUUGUUAACUUCGUGAGCCGACUUGGCUCUGAUACCAAUUCUCACGGUCGCACUUUCGUAAGCGUCUCGGAGCGAUCUAAGGCAAUCCCACACUAGAACAAGUCAGCCAAACUCAAUCCAAAUAGCCGAUGGCACGCACAAUGGACGUACUUCGCAACCCUUGAUCAAUUAGAAAAGGGGUUUAGAGGAAAAGGUUUGAGCAAAGGUUUGAAAGCAUCUUUGAGAAAAUCAAUGAGGGCUAUAAGCAGGACAAGAAGUUCUAUCUUUUCACUCGAGGAUGUGUGGAUAUGAUGAUUAGUCUGACCCCCACAUAGUACAUUUUGAACAAAAAGAGAAUUGGCAGGCUCAACUAGAAAGAAAGGAAGAAAGCCAGCGGUGGAAUAAAGAAGAAAGUUUGAGUAUAUUCACCUUUUAUUUGCCGCCUUGAUUUUGUGAAGAGGUCGGAUAUAUAGGAUUAGGAGGAGUGGGAGUGGAGAUCCCGAACUUGCAUGAGAAAAAUAGAUCAGUCAGAAAGGACUUAUCUCAUUCUAUAUGUUCCGACGCAUAAAGAAAGAGUAGAAAAAGAUAGAAAAAGGACGGGACAAUUAAUUCAAGUACGGAAUCCUCUGUCCAUGUCUUGAGGUCUAUUCGAUCUUGAUCGACUGCUUUUUCCUUAGAAGACAGCUGUCAAAGCAACCUCCUCAACCUAUCGGAAACUCCUCUGAACCUGCGAUGGAUGAUCUCUACUGGUCUGAACUUUCUUCUUAGUGAACUGAAAGGCCUACGAGGAGGCUGCUCGAGCUACCUUACCUCUCGGUAUGAGUGCGGUUUCCGUCGGAGUUCUUGAAUCGGAAAUGAGUACAUUAUCAGCCGUCCAGCGACUUUCUUAUUCUACUGUCAAAACUUCUUCCUCGCUUUUCUUUAUGGGAACUGAAGCUCGCUAGGUAGGAUGGAUGCAAAAGUCUGUCCUUCGAUAAUUGGUCGGGCAUAUUCCUUCCACUCGUGAACCCCUUCUCCUCGGAAUACGAACCUAUUCCACUGCAGAAGAACCGAGACUUCUCCUACGAAUGACUCGUAAACUGAAGAUCUUUCAAACUCCUCCGAGCAAUAUGAAAACCUACUAAAGCCUAGGAGGGAAUUCCAUUCCGGCCUGGCUUACCUUGAGAGUUGACUGACUUUCUUCCUCAUGAAACUCCAAUGCAUUCCCGAAAGAGGUCAAGCUGCAACCUAUCCUCUUGGUCUCCUCACACAGCGCGUAGUGGUGGUCGAGAUAUUAAAGGCGUAGUGGGCUGGCCGGUCUACGAAGAGAUUCUAAUAGUGAGAGAGCCAGACCCAAGUCAAGAGUUCUAUCGGAGGCCUUCUCUUGAAAACCGAGUUCUCGAUCCGAAUUCAGAUUACUCGGUCUAAUAAUGGAAGAGAGGUUCCAUAAGCAUAAGAGGAAAGCCAUACCUACUCAUAUCUUCUGCUUUCAGUUACCUCCGGGCUUCCGGUAAUCAUUGAAUCAUUACGCAUGGUCUAAUGGAAGAGAGAGAGAAAGAGCCAUUCCACUCGUCAACUUAGGAUGUGCCACCAAGGCUCAAAGAAUUUGAGAAAGAACAUCACUCCUUUCUUCUGGUCCGGUCCCGAGCAAGGUAGAUCCGCCUGUCUUUCAUGCUUUGUUUUUUCCUCUAACCUCUCGACUCGUACUCUUUCUCUCUCCUUUCUUCCUCGUGCGUGCCUAUUUGACUUUGCUGUCUCGCUACUUUCUCAGUCUGAUCCUUCAUUAUUCUUUCAUAAGAGAAUGGGAAUAUGAGCAUACGAUUUCUGAAUAAUAGCUUGACUCUCCUGGAACAAGCCACAGCCACUUCCUCAACUUCCGCAGCCACUGCUCUCGAUCCUUUCUUCUUCAACUUCAACCGCUCCUUUACCUUUAAGUAGGUUCAGACUUUCCUUUCUACAGUCAAAAUCAACCGUGGGCGUGGUGACCAAUCGUCCGCGAUGGAAUGAGAUCUUGAGUCAUAAGAAAAGGUAGGGAGAGGUGGGAAGCCGCUAUCGGUCUGAUUCAUAGGGCAUUCUUAUUCUCUUUCUCUCUUUCUUCCAAGAAGACUAGACCGACCGACCCCCACUCGGAUCGGUCUUAUUCCGCUUCUUAUUCUACUUAAUAAAUAAAGGUAAGAUAAGAAAGCCACGGGUGGUGGGAGGUAAGCUUCGUAGGACGCCCCAAAGAUGAAAGAGGAGGCUACCUACCUACAAGCUUGACUUAUAUCCUCGUAAACUACUUUUGAUAGGGAUCUCAUGAUCGGAUAGUAAUGUCAUAGGAUUGAUCAAAGAUCAAAAAGGGUUGCGAGACCUAGUUUUCUCCUUUUCUUGGGUUCGGGAAAGGGUAUCGGAUUAUGGGCGAAGCCGCUCCACUGUAUCAAGAUCGAGAACUCACCCGUAUCAGAUGGAUCGGCCGAGUCAUAGCUCUUCCGUUGCAGCAGAGUCAGAAAGAGCGGGGAACUCCGCAAUAGUAGGACUAGCUAGCGCAAGAAUCAUAUAUCUACUCAACGAAGCAGCAUAGAAAGGACAGGAGCGAAGCGAGUAUCAUCAGUCCAUUCAAUAUUCCAAAUUGAAUAAGAAAGAUUCCCGCUACGUGGGCAAAGAAAGAAGGAAAGUAAUAGAGAGUCACUCCAUUCAUAACUAGGUAGUUCUGGCUUUCUAUCUCCAUCUUAGAGUGACCACCUUCUUUUCUCAAAGAAAGCAGGCGACCAAUAUAAAAAAUAGUGGACUGCGGUCCUGCGAAGCCGGUCAACGGAUAGGCAGAGUACAAACCGAUGGUAGACUUUCUUCAAGUUUGACUUUCCAUGAACUAGUCUAUUAAAGAAGAGACGAAGAGCUUGAUUAUCCACUUAUUUCCCCCUCAAUGAUCUUGAGCAGGGUAUAUAAUGGAGAAUAGAGACUGAACUUCUUAAUAUGUAUCGUAUCACAGAUCCAUGAAAGAUCCUUUUUUCCUAGCCCCUAUUGCACCAUCUUGAUAGGAAUAGGUUGAAUGAGUCAGAGGAAGCGAGACAGAAGGCAUCGGGGCAGGGGAGUAAUCGUAAUCCGUCCCAGGAGAAUAGGAAGUAUCCGUUGAGGAAUCAGAAGUUGAAUGAGAGGAAUGAGAGACUGAAAGCAAGACGGGAUCGAUGUGCAGGUCAGAAAUCGGGGGGAUAUUUUCUAGGGAUCGGAGGCCCCGGUAACAUAACUCUCUUAUAGAAAGAGUAGGGUAGGAGUAUUCUCAGAAGUUAGUAUUCCAGAGUCAGCCUCAUCCAUUUCAUGAGUCCGAAGUUUCAGUUUCGGAAGUUGAAUCAGAGUGAGAGGAAUCAUCUUUCGGCAGAGGGCUAGGCCAGGAGGGCUUGAUGGGACUAUCUCAAUUCUCUGUUCCGGAAGCCUCAGUUAGAGGUUAUCAUAGGAUCGACCUUCACUAUCCCAAGCAGCUAUCUGCUUAGGGGCUCUCUUCUUCCAUGUCGGAGAAAGUACUUUUUCUUGAAUCAGAGUCUGAGUACGAAAAGCAUCCUUGAGUAUGAGAAGGAUAGGUUGCUAGGGAAGAAAGGAUAGAAGCAGCUUUACCGCCCACGUAGCGGGAGAGAGAAUGAGAGGGAUAGGACGUCAUCACCUUAUCAAUAGGAAGCGAUACCGGCCGAGUGCCAUUUAGUUAGGAUGCGGCUUUCCCGACGGGUAACUGAAAUUCCUAAGCAAGAUCAGUUUCAUUAUCCGUUUCCGAAGAGCUACUCUGAUAGCUUGACUCAGUAUUCUUUAUACCCCCUCUUUCAAGGGAGAAUUAUCCGACUUAGGAGGGUACCGCAUUGGGCAGAAGCAUCACAGCAGUUCCUAUAAGAAAUAUUCCCUAGUUCAGGUCGAGCAGAGCUUCAUACCGAUUAAGAAAGGGAUAAGAAGACAGCUGAGCACCGAUCCCGAAAGAAAAGAGUCUAAGUCGAAAAAUCCGCUUUUAAGAAAAUGAAGUCAAAUUCUUUGCCUCUGUCUUAUCCGCUCCUCUCCCACUGCGUAGGAGGACGGUCUAGCAGCCCUUUUUCUUGAUUACGGAAGAAGGGGCCCUAACUUUUGAGUGAUUUAGGCUAUUUCCCCUCUCCCUAUCUAUAGGUCUAGCUCCUAAGCGCGUAGUGGGCUCUGCUGCCUCGCUCGGGUCGUAUUCAUAUCUUGAAAGAAGGUCAGGUCUAGCUUUCGGCGCUCUUCCUAUGGAUCAUGAAAUGAGUACUUAUUGCCAUAGAGCCGCAUCGAUCCUAAUCUACUCUGUCUCCCUUCUGGUCUCGCUCCUUCGCUUCCUAUUUCUGAAGCUUGUUGUCGAGCUCCUUCGCUUCCUAUUAAAUGACUGACUCAUGGUUCUAAGAAUGAAAUGACUUUAGACCUGAAAGAAGACCCGAUCCGGGGCCACUUCGCUCUUCAAGCCUAUCGGUAAAGCAGCUUUCGCUGACUCUGACUUUGCCCUGGUCUACCUUCCCCAAAGAAAAAUCGAGCCCUCACUCUACUCUUGCGCUUCCUUUUCCACUCUUCUCCCUAAGGAAAGAGAGAAUUUGACUUCUACUCAGAUCAGAAAAUAGGGAAAGCUUUCUCCAACUCAUGAAAGGCGUAUGAGGCAUAUGAAAGAGAAAGAGCGGUAGUUCUCAGUCCCCUUAACCCGAUCUGACCCUAUACAAAGCGAUCUUGCUUAGAAAGUCUCUUUCCGCCACCAGAUCUGAUUCCUACUAAACUCAAUCUGACUCCGGAUCUUAUGCUCCGGCUCUCGAUGCUACCGCGUAGUGGGCCAUAGAUCUUUGCGCCUCCUCAAAAAGGGCAAUAUUCUUUGCGCCUUCUCUUCUGACUUCGGUUUUUGGAAGGUGGGCUUUCUUCUUCUUCUUUCUCAAACUAGACGCCCACUUAGCCCCGUCAGUGGCCCUUCUUUUUUGAUAUAUUUAUAUAGGCGCCCGCGAAGCAAGGCAUCCUUCAUAUUUCUCUGGGAUAGGCAGAGUACAAAAGAGAAGGAGAAGAUCGAUUGAGGAAAGCAUGAACUAUCGUUAUAGUUGUGGAAAGUAGAUCUUGAUUCUUCUUACCACCUUCUUUGAGAAAAACCAGCAAGAAUAAUGGCUUUGAUUCAAGCCGGUCAAAGUCUGGCAGAGUAGAAAAUUCGAACUUGCUUCAAGACAGAGAGUUCAAGCUAUGACGGUAGUUCUGGCGAAGUCUCUCUCUCUUCUUCCAUUAGAUGCAGUAGGGGAAUCAUCAUUCUCACUCCCUUUCCGAAGAGCUACUGACUGAGGAAGACUUGGUGCGAGACCGAGUUGGAUCGAAAGAAGCGGCUUUCCCGGAUUGAGUAGGGGACUAAGCUAUCUCAAGAGAGUAGGAGCCUCAAGCGCUUUCAAUUCGAAGUUAGAGUCAGUGGCGCUCAAUCUCCAGCUCCCCCGAGCAGCCUUUCCCGAUAGGGUCUUGAGUGAGUUAUUGCCUUUCUCCCUUUCAUAGGUUAAGUGAGUCACAACAAUCGUCAGCGAGAACUAUCUAUUUCUAUCAAGUAGGCUUACAGAGGGUAUUUCAUAAGACAGGAGAAUUCUCAGUGUCGGCUACGAAAGGCGAGACCAGUCAAAUUCUUUGACCCUAGGCUUGAUUUUCAUAUUCAAGAUUCCACUCGCAAAUUCUUUGCCCCUUAUUCAUUGAUUGCGCUUGCACGCCUAUUUUUUGGAUUUCACAGGUCCGAAGGACAGACAGGUUAAUAUGGAUAGGACUGAGGACGGAAUCAGACUUCUAAUAGAGUGUCCAGCUGACUAUCCAUUAGAAUAAGGCGAAGGCUCAAAGAAUCCCACUACGCGGGAUAGUCCGGAGGACUGGAAGGCGCAAAGAAUAUUGCCCAUUAGAGAAUUUGACUUUGGAGGAGGCGCCAUAAGACAGGGAUAUUCUUGAAUACUAUUACUUCUUAUUUGACGUUAGGCUCAUAAUAUAGUAUGAACCCUUGCGCUCCUUAAGAGUCGCUUCGCUUCUCCCCUCUCCUUUCAGUCGUCCGGAGGCUCAAAGAAUGAUCGGAGCUUUUCAUAUUGCGGAAAAGAAGAAAGGCUCUUUGAAGAUUGAGAAAUCCAUAUUAAAUUAGUAAGCGGUAGCUUUCUUACAAAGGAAAGAUUGAACCGCGUAGUGGGUCUUUCAAAGAUUAUUAUCAAUAUCAAAACAUUUAAGCGGAAGCCUUGUUCUUCCAGCGCCUAUUCUUUGUGGUGGUCCGAGCUACCGGUACUACUUUCUCCUAAUUAGACUAAUGGAAGGAAGACCGUAACCUCCUAAGCGAGCACCCCUUGUCCCUAAUAAGAUCAAAGAGCUUCUCGCCCCUUGCUUGAUCUUCCCCUGGAACCCACGGAGCGGUGGGGUUCAGAUCAGAGUGCCAUGAACAGACUGACGGAAAGAAUGAAAGACCGAUCGUCUAGUAAAUGAGAUGCCCAUUGAUACCCUUUUUCGAUGCAUGCAAAUGGACUGUCGACAAAAGAUAAUAUAGAAAAAUCAGUGAUUUUCCUCUUUUCAUUGCUUCCACCUGCGAACAUUCCCCCUUGAAUCAGUACUCUAAUCUAAGAAAGGGUCCGGGUCGUAUUCUAUCUUUCAUGAUCAAAGAGGAUGAAAUGCUGCUCGACAAGAGGGGUUGCUGUCUAACUUCAAGAAGUAUUGAAAGGUAAGACCUAUAAGAAAGAGGUCAGACCCAGAGACUGAUUUCUUUGAGUUCGCCUCUUCCUUUGGUCUUGAAUAUCUAGAUCUGAGUUCGUCGGCCUCAUUCAAGGCAUUUCACUCAAUUUCCUUUUAUUUACAUAAAAUCGCCUAGUUGAGACCGCGUAGUGGGGAUUUACUCGACUAUUAAAAACCUUGGGAAAUCCGAAGCUCUUUCCUCCCCAAGGCAGACCGAACUACAAGAGCUUUUUUCUAGAAUACGAAGAGGAGGAAUCGGAUGACGAAGGAUCAAUCAGGCAGGGAAAGGAAAGUCGGGCUUACUAGCCCGCCAUCUCAAGCUCAUCAGACCCACGUAGCGGUUCGGAGUCGGAGCGGGAAUAAAAGGAAGAGGUCUAAGUCGAGGGGUCUCCAGCUACCUGGGUAGGGUCGGCAGGUCGGGGCCGAGUGGGAGAUCCUAUUUCAGUGACUAACGAAAGAGCUUACCUCGAAGAAGAGAUGACGCAUCCUCAACUGCACUGCUACUGGUCUCGUCUUUCUCUACUGCUUGAAAGCUGACGCUUCUGACUCAAGAAAGACGGGUUAAAAAGACUAUGAAAGUCCGCCGAGACUGGUGUCUUUCACCCCCUAUUUCCGAUUUCAGUGACUAGAAAGAAAUACUAUACCGCGUAGUGGGACCCGAGCAAAGAAUAUUGCUUUAAAUAGUGGUCCGUCCGGAGGACUCAAGGAUUCCGCUAAAGUUUACCGAAGGCGCAAUGAAAUAUGCGGCGUGAGGUUAGGAUCAAAGAAUUUGAAGAGAAGAAAGGCUCUUUUCAGAUUUCGAGUUUACAAAUUAGGAGAAAGAAAUAGAAAGUGCUGAAUAAUGAACUCAUUAACGAUAAUGAAAGAAGCUCAAAAUGGGAAUGAAAAAGAAAGAGGUGAAUAUGGGAGAUUUCAGACAUCUUUGCUUAAUGAAGACGGAGGGAAAUCCCGGAAAAUGCUAGGUUUUGCCCAUAGGGAAGUAGCAAGAAAGAAAGUCAAAUGCCUUCUUUUUCACUCAAUUAUCGUGAAAUAGAUAAAACUGAAUAUGGAUAGUCCUUCGGACUGGUCCAUUAGAAAAAUCUAGUGUGUGGAAAUUCACAUUGAGAACUUAUAGUUUGUGGUCCUAAAUUCACGCUGGUACCGUAGUAGGUAAACUUUCAGGGGAAAGAGAAAGAACUUUAGGCUUUGUUGAUUUACUACGUGAUGAUUUUAUUGAAAAAGACCGAAGCCGCGGUAUUUAUUUCACUCAAGAUUGGGUCUCUUUACCAGGUGUUCUGCCAGUGGCUUCCGGUGGUAUUCACGUUUGGCAUAUGCCUGCUCUAACCGAGAUUUUUGGAGAUGAUUCUGUACUAGCGGAGGAACUUUGGGGCACGGGUAAUGCACCUGGUGCCGUAGCUAACCGAGUAGCUCUAGAAGCAUGUGUACAAGCUCGUAAUGAGGGACGUGAUCUUGCUCGUGAGGGUAAUGAAAUUAUCCGUGAGGCUAGUAAAUGGAGUCCUGAACUAGCUGCUGCUUGUGAAGUAUGGAAGGAGAUCAAAUUUGAAUUUGAGGCAAUGGAUACUUUGUAAUCCAGUAAUUACUCUUCGUUCUUUUAAUUGACUUUCAAUUAAACUAAACUCGGCCCAAUCUUUUACUAAAAGGAUUGAGCCGAAUACAAUACAAAGAUAUUAUUUUAUAUCUUUUUACUAGAUAUACAAAAUAGAAAAUUGAAAUGAGAAAGAACUGAAACAUUUUUUGAUUGUUGUGCUGGAUCCGCAAUUAAGCCUAUGGAUCCUUAGGAUUGGUGUAGUCGUUUAAUAUAUUAUAUCCCGUAGCCUCGUUUCAGAUCCGGGAUCGAGCCAAGUAUCACAACUUCUUCUACCCAUCCUGUAUAUUGUCCUUUUUGUUCUGUCUUGGAAUACAAAUUUUUGCUUUUUAGUAAACAUUAUAACGGAACCUUUUUUUUGAAGACCGACUCGUUAAUAGUUUUUAAUCCUAGUUCUUGGAUUUAGUGAUAGGAAAUGAGAUAUGAAAAUGAUUUCCUUUUUAUCGAAUGACUAUUCAUCUAUUGUAUUUUCAUGUAAAUAGGGGCAAGAAAGCUCUAUGGAAAAAAGAUGGUGAAAUUCGAUGUUGUCUAAAGGGGAGUUAGAAUACAGGUGUAGGCUAAGUAAAUCAAUCAAUAGUCUUGGUCCUAUUGAAAGUGAAGGAUCCAUUAUAAAUAAUAUGAAUCAAAACAUUCCUAGUCAUAGUGAUAGUUACAAUUCUAGUUACAGUACUGUUGAUGAUUUAGUCGGCAUUCGAAAUUUCGUAUCUGAUGACACUUUUUUAGUUAGGGAUAGUAAUAGCAGCAGUUAUUCCAUAUAUUUGGAUAUUGAAAAUCAAAUUUUUGAGCUAGAAAGUGAUUUUUCUAGUUUUCGGAACUCUACUUAUCAAAAUAAUAUAUCUAAGAGUGAUGAUUCCCACUAUGAUCGUUACAUCUAUGAUACUCAAUAUAGUUGGAAUAAUCACAUUAAUAGUUGCAUUGACAGUUAUCUUCGGACUCAAAUCUGUAUUGAUAGUUACAUUUUAAGUGGUAGUCACAAUUACAGUGACAGUUACAUAAAUAGUGAUAUUUGUGGCCCACGUCUAUAAAAGGGAAAGACUAGUUCAAGUGAGAGUUUCAGUAUUGAAUAUGGAUUUCCUCGUUGCGCUCCUUAACAGUCCUCCGGACUAUCUUUGAACCUUCGGACGCAUGGAAAUAAUUGAACUAUAACAGAAAGUUCUAAUGAUCUAGAUAAUGAUCGAACUCCAAACUACAGCCAUUUGUGGGUUCUAUGCGAAAAUUGUUAUCAAUUCAAUUAUAAGAGACUUUUCAAAUCAAAAAAAAAUGAAUAUUUGUGAAGAAUGUGGAUACCAUUUGAAAAUGAGUAGUUCAGAUAGAAUCGAACUUUUGAUUGAUCCAGGUACUUGGGAGCCUAUGGAUGAAGACAUGGUCUCUGUGGAUCCCAUUGAAUGGGAUUCGAAGGUGGAUCCAGGGAAUUCGGAGGUGGAUCCCAUUGAAGGGGAUUCGGAGGAGUACGAGGACUCUUCUUAUAAAGAUCGUAUUUCUUCUUCUCAAAUAGAGACAGGAUUACGUGAGGCUAUUCAAAGAGGCACAGGUAAAUUCAAUGGUAUUCCCGUAGCAAUUGGGGUUAUGUAGUUUGAGUUUAUGGGGGGUAGUAUGGGAUCUGUAGUAGGCGAGAAAAUCACCCGUUUGAUCGACUAUGCUACCAAUCAAUUUUGACCUCUUAUUUUAGUGUUAGUGUGUGCUUCGGGAGGAGCACGGAUGCAAGAAGGAAGUUUGAGCUUGAUGCAAAUGGCAAAAAUCUCUUCCUAAAUAUCAAGAAAAUCCAAAAUUAUUCUAUGUAGCAAUCCUUACAUCUCCUACUACUGGUGGGGUGAGAGCUAGUUUUGCUAUGUUGGGGGAUAUCAUUAUUGCCGAACCGAAUGCCUACAUCGCAUUUGCGGGUAAAAGAAUAAUUGAAGAAAGAUUGAAGAUAGAAGUCCCUGAGGGUUCACAGAAGACUGAACCUUUAUUCGAAGCUUAUUAGAUCUUAAUCGUACCACGUAAUCCUUUAAAAGAUGUUGUGAGUGAGUUAUUUCAGCUCCACGCUUUCGUUCCCUCGAAUCAAAAUUCAAUCAAGUAAAGCCCUUCAAAAAUUCAUUCUUUUUUUUCUUUCUUCCGCUCAAAAUAGUGCUAGUUGAUUAGAGUUACUUCGGAAAAGUCAAAUCUCUUUUUUUGAUUCUAUCAAUUCCAAUAAAAUGCAACGAGAUCUAGUAUGAAUUGGCGAUCAGAACGUAUAUGGAUAGAAUUUCUAAGAGGAUCUCGAAAAAUCAGCAAUUUCCGCUGGGCCUUUAUCCUUUUUUUAGGUUCAUUAGGGUGGUAGGGAUUUUCUAUCUUGAUUUCCGUCUCAGCAAAGAAUUUUUUUUCCACAGGGGAUCGUAAUGUCUUUCUAUGGGAUUGCCGGUCUCUUUAUUAGCUCCUAUUUGUAUGUAUUUGUGGUGCACAAUUUUGUGGAAUGUAGGUAGCGGUUAUGAUCGAUUCGAUAGAAAAGAAGAAAUAGUGUCUAUUUUUCUAUGGGGGUUUCCUGGAAAAAAUAGUCGAAUCUUCCUACGAUUCCUUAUGAAAGACAUUCAGUCCAUCAGAAUAGAAGUUAAAGAGGGUAUUUAUGCACGUCGUGUCCUUUAUAUGGAAAUAAGAGGCCAAGGGGCCAUUCCCUUGACUCGUACCGAUCUGAAUCUGACCCCACGAGAAAUUGAGCAAAAGGCUGCCGAAUUGGCCUAUUUCUUGCGUGUACCAAUUGAAGUUUUUUGAAAAAUGAAGUUCAGAAUGAAAUGAGUAGCAAGAGGGAUAAAACGGAAAUGAAAGAAUAGUCUUUUUUAUAGACCAUAGUAAUAAUAACUUAACUGGAAUUUCUUCAGAAUGCUCAUUUGACCCAAAGCAGACGUAUACGGAACAGCCAGAAAACUGUCUUUGUCCGAAAUUUUGAUCCGUAUGUAAAUCAACUCCACAGUAAGAAAAAAAGUGGAUUCUUUCUGAUUUUCUUUCUGUAUUAUUUCGAAAUGAAAGGAUUAACUAAUUCAUCACAAAUCAAAAACUAAAAAACAGGGAAUGGAUUCAUAAUAGUAUCCAUAUGACUUGUAAUAGAACUUAUGUUUGAUAUAAAUAUUUUGAGUGUAGAGAGUUAACGAAUGAAGUGAGUUCAUUAAAAAAUCAAAGACGAAAAAAUGGAAAAAAAGAACAAAGAAUAUUGCGUCUUUGCGCCUUCUAUAUCUUGCAUCUAUAGUAUUUUUGCCCUGGUGGAUCUCUCUGAAAUUGAAUAAAAGCCUAGAAUCUUGGUGGUGGAAUACUGGUCAUUUAUUUUUGAAUGAUAUUCAAGAAAAGAGUAUUAUCAAAAAAGUUCUAGUGGACGAAAUGCUAAAGGAAUACCCAGAAACACAUCUACAAAAAAAAGCUUCGUAUCGCAAUCUACAAAGAAAGGAUCCAAUUGAUCAAGAUGCACAAUGAGGAUCGUAUCCAUACGAUUUUGCACUUCUCGACAAAUCAAAUCUCUUUCGUUAUUCUAAGUGGUUAUUCUAUUCUUGGUAAUGAAGAACUUGUUAUUCUUAACUCUUGGGUUCAAGAGUUCCUAUAUAACUUAAGCGACACAAUAAAAGCUUUUUCUAUUCUUUUAUUAACUGAUUUAUGUAUAGGAUUCCAUUCACCCCAUGGUUGGGAACUAAUGAUUGGUUCUGUCUACAAAGAUUUUGGAUUUUCUCAUAACGAGAAAAUUAUAUCCAGUCUUGUUUCCACUUUUCCAGUCAUUCUUGACACAAUUUUGAAAUAUUGGAUCUUCCGUUAUUGAAAUCGUGUAUCUCCGUCACUUGUAGUGAUUUAUCAUUCAAUGAAUGACUGAAAAAUAGAAUCUUUCUUACUUUGUACAUAAGUAAAGAUUCCAAAUUGUACUUAUUCCUUCUACCCAUCACGAAGGAUGCCUCCUAUAUUCGAGUAACUUUAUUUCAGUAAAUAGCAGAAUCAUGGAUAGGGAACUAUACUAGGGACCUACCUAAUUUGAUUGUAGAAAUUUUGGGGCUCAAUGAUUGGACCAUGCAAACUAGAAAUACCUUUUCUUCGAUAAAGGAAGAGAUUACUCGAUCUAUUUCCGUAUCACUCAUGAUAUAUAUAAUAACUUGGGCACCCGUUUCAAAUGCAUAUCCCAUUUUUGCACAACAGGGUUCUGAAAAUCCACGAGAAGCAACCGGCCGUAUUGUCUGCGCCAACUGCCAUUUAGCUAAUAAGCCCGUGGAUAUCGAGGUUCCACAAGCGGUACUUCCUGAUACUGUAUUUGAAGCAGUUGUUCGAAUUCCUUAUGAUAUGCAACUGAAACAAGUUCUUGCAAAUGGUAAAAAGGGCGGUUUGAAUGUGGGGGCUGUUCUUAUUUUACCCGAAGGGUUUGAAUUAGCCCCCCCCGAUCGUAUUUCUCCCGAGAUUAAAGAAAAGAUGGGCAAUCUGUCUUUUCAGAGCUAUCGUCCCACUAAAAAAAAGAUUCUUGUGAUAGGUUCAGAAAUAUAGAAAAAAAGAACCUUUCCUAUUCUUUCCCAAGGCAUCCUUCUCUUGUUCUUGUGCAUCUAAUAGUGAACUUCUUCAAAUCUCCCAUAUACUCCGGCGGAAACAGUCAUAAUCAACGGAAGACUUACCGGGAGUAAGAGUCAGAAUAAUCUUUAUAAUGCUACAGCAGCAGGGAUAGUAAGCAAAAGAAUACGAAAAGAAAAAGGAGGAUAUGAAAUAACCAUAGUGGAUGCAGCGAAUGGGCGUCAAGUGCUUGAUAUUAUCCCUCCUGGACCAGUCCUCCGGACUAUUCGCUAUUCUAAAAUAGGACUUCGGACCAGCAUCAAAAUUCAAUUCCCCUUACUUCUCACUUCCUUGAAUCUCCUUCCUCUUCAUGAAAACUUAUAUUAAUCCGCUCCACAGCAUUCAGUUCCAUAAACAAGUCUCCUUCGGUUCAAUAGGGUAGAAGUCCUUCGGACUUUCUUUUUGGAAAAUAUGAUUCAUACUCAAAUCCCCUAAUGGAUAGGACUGAGGACCUGUCUUAUGGCACAAAAGUCAAUCAAAGAAAAUCAGCUCAUUAACUCGAAUUCAAGAAUCAUGAACUCAUUCACUCGAAUUCAAGAAUAAUUAGGAUUGAAUAACCUGGAGGGAAAUAAAGAAUAGACCCGUAAUUCUCCGGACCAUAAACUCAAACAAGAAUCAAACUAUGUGAAUUUCGAAAAUCAAAUAGGACAAUGCCUUGCUAUUUCCCGGCUUUUUUGCUUCUAAAUGUGACUUUUUCUCAUAUUGAUAUUCUACGAUAAAAGUACUUUAUUGACUGAUUUUUCAUGAUUUCUUGCUACUUUAUAGGCCCAAAACCUAGCAUUUCCCUCCGUCAAAAAGAGUGAAAUCAAUGAAGGAGUACAAUGAACAUCAUAAUGAUUCUUGAAUUCGAGUUAAUGAGCUUCUUUCUUUGCGCCUUCGCAUAUUUCAUUCCGCCUCCGUCCGGAGUCCGGAGUCCUACAGAUGAAUCUUCCGGACUAUCCAUAUGGAAGUAGUCCGGAGGAUUUAUCCGUAGGACCAUCCAUAUGGAAGGAAGGAGGACUAUCCGUAAUUAACCGAAGGAGGACUUUCCGUAAUUAACCGAACCUGGCACCUCCGUCCUCUCCAACAAUAUCCCUGUCUUAUGGAACCUGCUUUCGUCUUCCGAUAAUAGAAAACCUGAUUUCAGUUUCUUCAGGAUAGGCUUUCUCCCAACAACAUCGAUCAGUCUCAGACCUUGCAAAUUGUGCAUUUUGCCUAAUUCAUCUAAGAUUCAGACAAGAGGAAGGCUUCGUUGACAAAGAGGGUUCUUUGAUCUGAACUUUGUGAAUGCACGAACCCCAACCAGACCCUUUCUUUCCCCCGAUCGACAGGGCUAAUCAGCCUCCCUCUAAGUUCUUUCUACUACUACAAUAGCCUCAGUCUCAUGACUAUGCUUUCCCCUUUUCUGAAUAUCGUACCGAACCCAAACCCACUCCGCGGUAGAUGACUUUGAACCUCCCUGAUGGAUAGUCCUUCGGACCUGUCUUAUGGCGCCUGAGGCUCAUCAAAAAGAAGGUUUCAGAUGACCUUUCUUUUUUCUUAGCAACUACUAUUUUGAAUAAGACUCCUUCUACGCCGACUAUCCACUGAAAGUAGAAAAGCCUAUCAAAAGGAGAGGAAAACUACAACUUGACAAACUAUCUUGACUGACUUUCCGCCUUCAAAGAAGAUUCGGAAAGUGGUCCGUAAAUAGGUCUUGCUCAUAUCGGACAUUGAACAAGGCUUCCGCUUAAAUCUUUUGGUCCGGAGGCUGAAUUCAUUGAGUCACCGAAACGUAAUGAAAGCUCCGUGGGCUUACGCUUGAUUUUGAAGGACGCUUCUCUCAAAUUCUUUGAGCCUUAGUUUUCUCUUUUUCAGCUACGCGUAGCCGAUGAAAUAUUCUUUUCACCUUUGCUUUGUUUUCCAGCUUUCCAGCUAUGCGGACAGCCUGAAACUACUUUCUAUUUAUCCGUCCUCCGUCCGGAGUCCGUAGGACUAUCCGUAAUUAACCGAAGGAGUGGGCCACGAUCUUUGCUCCUCACGCAAACCGUAAUAUUCUGCAUUGAGCCUUCUAUCCUUCCAGUCUUGUCAAUAUUCUUUUCACCUUCGGUUUUCAAAGUAAGAGCUAUCCAAAAUCAUGAAGCAUCUGGACCUGUUAAUGGAACUGAUUUUCAUCAUUUGCUGCAUUCUAUAUGAGCCAAAAGUUAGCAAAAUGGGAAUUUCCCUAAUCAAAGAUGUGAAAAACCACCCCAACUUUUACGCCGACAAAGGAGAUAGGCCUUCUUCACCUACGGCAAAGGGGCGAAGCCAAGCGCAUUUAUCUGCUAAAUAAGGCGCAAAGCUCAAAUACUUUGAUCCUAUUUAAGGUGCCAUAAGACAGGUCCGAAGGCGGAAUGAAAUAUGCGGGGGAGCCGAAGGACUAUCCAUAUUAACCUGCGACUGAGGGUGAGACUGGUCCUCCGGACUUGUGAAUAAAGGGUGAAAAGAAAGAUUAGAUUUUAGGCGAAGGACUAUUCACGCAAUAUUCUUUGCGCCUUUAUGUCGAGCUUAUUCUAACCUUGAUUCUGAUAGCUGACCCCUCUCUGCUUCCUUUCGUCCGUCUUAACAAGGCUAUAAUUCAUAAGGGGUUUCGGUCAGUCACUCAAUGAAUAACUAAAUUCCGGUAUUCAAGGUAGCCCAUUCUCAUGGAUCGGCUAUAAGCUCCCCCGUAAACUCAAUGAAAAGAAGUGGAAUGAAAGAAGACAGACAUGGGCAUAGCAGCCUAAGCGGGAACUCUUCUUCUACAAAAAGCUAUCAUCCCUCGUCCGAAGCGGAAAGAACCGCCUCCGCGACGGACGAGGACGAAUGAACCCUUCUUCUUAUGGAUGGAAGCUACCCUGGUUUGCUAGGGAGAAUCCCCCAAUGCAUGAAGACCGGCUCCUCCCUUCUAUCUCCUUCCUUCAGUCGACGAAUAUGAACCGCUCCUGCGCUCUCUUACUCUUUCAUAAUCUUUGAAUAAGCUAAUCUUUGGAAUACUCACGGCCGCUCCCUUCUUGAGCACUUUCAGCCGCUUAUGAACUGAUUAUUUGCUUCGCAGUGCGAAUGAGAUCUUUCAGUAGGUUUUGCCCGCUCCGAAGUCUUAUCAAUUUAGCCUCCAGCUCUCUUAUUUCAGACUGAAGCUCGAUGAAAUUGACCCACCGGUAGGCUUUCAUUCUUUGUGCUUUCAAUUCUCACUGAAAAGGGCUAUUCUCCUUGUGGUCAGUACGAAAGGGAAGAAGAAAAGUAGAGGUUGCGAAAGCUGCUCGACCCAAAGGUUCAAAGAAUAUUGACGAAGCGGCUCGUACGUACAAAGGUUGAACUCCCUUUCGAAAGGAAACCAGCAGGCGAACUCCUCCUCAGUAGAGGCAGAGGGUCUGGUGGCAGUUUCAGGAUAAGCUAGAAGUCAAGACCCGUCCUCCGUCCUUAGUCGUAGUCUGACCGGGUUAAUAUGGAUAGUCCUUCGGACCUGUGGAACUGAUUUUUAUGGGACUUAUUUAUGGAAGGAAUCUGAUAUCUUACCUAUAGACUGGAAGGGAGCGAACUUCCCCUUGUUGGGAAAGGGGAGGCGAAAGGCUCGACUUUCAGUUAAGGAGAGGCAUCCCCCCUGGAAUCUGUACAAAGAUGGGACCAGAAGAAAGCUCGCUUUCAAUCUCUUUCGGCAGUUCCCAUUAAAUUGAGGGGCAUUAGAGGCGGAAGUUUCUGAAGUGAAUGUGCCCUCCUUUCUUUCCGUUCUUCGAUCAGAAAGAGAUCUCUUGACCAGAAAGACAUUUAUACUCUUCGUAAAGUAAGAGGAAGAUCAAUGAAAAGUUCAGAAGAAAGAAGAAAAAGAAGUCAAUGAACAAAGGCUCAAAGAAUUUGAGGAAUGAAUGAAUGCGCUUUCUUGAUUCUUACUAGUAGAAUAAGAGGAUAUAGGAAGUUAGAGAGUGAGCUGUAAGUAAUUCAGGAUGAAUUGAAUUUUGAUGCCUCCUUCUCCCUUAUCAAUAUUCUUUGAACCUCUAGUUAUAAGGAAGAAAACGACUCCAGAAACCUAUCCAGAUCAAUGAGAAAUUUGGCGGAUGAAAGUCUAGGAAUCAAAAGUCAAUGGAAGUCCCUUCUUAUGGCCGAGUCAAUAUUCUACCGGGAAAAGAAAGAAAGGUUUCAAAGCGCGGUGGCCCAGCCUCUUCUCUCUUCAUCGGUUGAUUGAGCGACGAGCUACUACCACAAAAAUAGCAAUAGAUAAAUAGAGAAAUUCGUCAGCCAAAAUAAGAAGGAAAUAUGGAAAUAGCUUUUCUCAAAAGAAGAAUUCUCAGGAUCUCCAGCAAGGCCAGCCGUUCAUUAAAGGCCAGCCCUUGGUUCGGAAUAGGGAUAGGAAGAGUCAUAAGUUGGAAGCUAGCAUCUCGGAGACCGGAAUCUUUCUAAGUUGAAUAAGCUAGAUCCGUUGAGUAAUCACUCUCAGUUGAAGAUAGAAAAUCCCGGUAUUUUAGGUGAAAAGAUUGAAUAAAGCCUUUCACAUGCAAAGGCAAAUAAGUACGAAGAAGCGGACGAAUAAGUACGAAAGCUAUCCAGGGGCAAAGGAAGAAGCGAGACCAGCGGCAGAGCCUUCUUCAUUGAAGCCUAUAACUUGAAGAUCGAAAGAGAAAGAGUCAUCACCGCAGAGGUUAGAACUCUUAGAAAGAGGAACCCCAGAGAUAGGGAGAGGCGCAGCUCAACUUCGACCUUUCCCGCCCACGUAGCGGUAUGAAUAUGAUUCCCCUAGUUUACCAAGAGCUUCUUGAAUUAGGAACUUUCUCUCUGAUGUUUGAGAACUGAAGCUCGUAGGACGUGAAGCUCUUCACUCUGCUUUCUUAGAAAGGUCUGAAUAGGAGAUCUUGAAUGAGAUCUUGCCCUUAUCAGCCUAGAGUUCUAUCCUGUAUCCUCGUAACCUCAAUAGGAGGAUUUAGUCAGUCUCAGGCGCAAAGAGCGAGGAGCAAAGCAACUCUUAGACCAGAGACGUCGACCAGGAGAGGAAAAAAGCCUCAUAGUUCUAGAGGGGAGAAGCAGGGAGGCGGACCCGAGAUCACAAAGAAAUUAUUAAGGUGAAAAAAUCAGAUAUUCUGAAAGUCAUCUGGAGCUUGAUUUUUCUCUCUAUUUAUUUAUGGAUGGGCGGUGGAGCUGCACAUUUGCACUCUUUGAACGUGAUCAUUUCUCACUCACCCGCGAAUAGAAGUCACUCUCUACACGGGAUGAAAAAUCCCCUAUCCUACUCGCUUUCUUUAUGCUUCUCUGGAUCCUUCUUCUCCUCCACCAUUGAUCCUACUUGGGAAUGCAAUUACUUAAUAAUAUAUCUUCCAUAACCUUUUGCCGAGGGCAAGAGAUCUUUCUCAUGCGCAUACCGAAGGCAUAUUCGGUCUUCAAAGCCUACUACAUGAGGACCGGGUCGACCACUUAUGAUCUCCGACUAAGAUCAAUUCCCCCAUUCAUCCUUCUCAAUCUGGACUGCGACGGAGAAGAAGAUAAGACUUUUCCGCUGACAGUCCCCUGUCUCGGUCAUUCUAGCCUGUGCCGAGACUACUUCUCCUUCUUCAGAGUCCUCCUAAUUGAGAGCCGCCCCUCUCCCUACGGUCGAGUCUCUUCGCCCCUCUCCCUACGGUCGAGUCUCUUCGCCCCUCUCCCUACGGUCGAGUCUCUUCGCCCCUCUCCUUUCAGUCGAGCGGCUUUCGCCUUCCUUCUCCUUAAAUGCCCGCUGGUGGGAAGGCUGGAGCACAACUCAUUCUCUGUCUUGCUUUGGCUACCCCAUUUAUUAAUCAUUUCCUUCUCGAUGACUCAACUGGGACCUCUGAUUCAAUGGGACAAGGGGCCUCCUUACUCCCAAUGAAAGAGGAAGUUUCCGACUGGAAUAGAAUUUGAUAGGGCGGGCACUAAAGAGUGAGUUGUGGAGAGACCACCCGGCUAGACCACGAGUUAGCGGGCACUCAGUAAUUGAGUGAUGAUUCUUUGUAAACUGAAACCUAAUAAAUACUGUGAAAAGAAUAUUGACGCUCCCUCGGCCUUCGCGAUCUGCUCCACCUCGAGUUUUUGAAUGAAGGAAAUGAAAAUCAAUCUUUGAAUCUCGCCCUUCCCUUCUAUCCUUUCCAGUCUUAUCAAUUUCAUCUCGUGGACUCCUAUUCAAUUUAUAUCGGAAUAUCAGCCUACUUCUCCCAAUUUCUGAGAUUUUGAUGAGAUUAAUCUUCUCAAAUACUUUGAGCCUCAGCCUUUACUUAAGACUGAACUGCUAGAACUCUCCCUCUCCUUCCAUCUCACCGGUCGAGUCGCGCCUUCUUCUUCUAUUUCUUUUGCAGUAGUACUAUUCUCAAAUUCUUUGAGCCUGAAUUCUUCUUUCACCGCGUAGUGGGCUUCUCAGUCUUCCUCUUCCCUCGGCCGAUACUAAUGCUUUGAGAUCCAUAUCUAACUCAAGAGUUCUAGCUUUGUCUUAAUUCUCCUUAUCAUUCCUCUUUUCCCUUUUCAAGGAAAGCAUAUAUUCAUACUUCUUGAGUGAUGUUCCGAUUUCAGUUAUUGCUUGAGGGGGUCUGACCUUUCUAAGUCUGAUUCUGUGGUAUACCUGAAUAAGUAAACUAAGGAGAAAGGGGGCUCAGCUGCUUUACUACGAGGUAAAGGGGAUAGAAUAUGCUUUUCCGAGUUUGACGAGGUGCAAAGAAUAUUGCGAGACGUUUAUAUCAGUCGACCAAAAAGUCUCGACCUAAAUAAAUGGGAGAGGAGAGAUGGCAACGGAGUUUUACGGAGUUCUAGCAGUUGAGAGAAGAAGGGAAAGGCCCAAUCGCACGGGUCUUGGUUCGGGUGAGACCAGGAAAUUCCCUCUUUAGUCAGAGGUCAAGUCCCCAGAAGAGUACAAAGGGCGCGACCGACCAGUCAUCCCCAUUCUUCUUGCAUCCGUUGAUUCAGUGGAAAAUGGGAGAGUAUGUGUCAUCUUCGCUCGUAAGUAAGCUCGAUCCUAUUUAGCCCUUAAACUAGAUUGUAAUGUCCCAAAAUUCUUCACGACGGCUAGCCCGAUAAGAAGCUCUGCGUCUAUCUCAGUUAUGGCAAAAUGCGGGAAAUCCUUUCCUUCGCUUGAGAACUUUUUUUCGGAAUUUGAGAGUGCCUUUUUUCCGCCUACUCUACUCUUAAAAGAAUCCACAGGUCGCAAUAUGCGCCUUAUCAAUGAUCUUUGCUCGUCCUUCUCCUUAAUAUUAAUAAUUGCGCUUGCCUUCUUAUGAAAAGGUAAUUAAUUGACUUCCGUACCGCUCCGACGGAGCAAAGUUCAUUUCAAAAUCAAGCUCCAGAUGAGUUGACCUAUCCAUUAAACAAGUCCGGAGGACCAGUCUCGCCCUCAGUCCUAUCCAUUAGAAGGCUCCGUGGGCCGCCCCGUGGGAUGCUUUCGGUCCUCCCCUAUCUUUGAGUGAGAGCUGCUGCUUGGUCUCGCUGCACCUCGUAUUCUUAUUGAGUGAAUUGGGUAUUGAUUUCUUCUAUAGGAAAUUUGGAAUGAGACUGAUGAAAUGGGAAAGCAGGCAUAACCCUUAUAGGUUCUUCUCCCCUAACCUAUGAUCAUUGUUCUAGCUGGUCCGAGUAAACUCAGGAAAGAGAGAGAAUUAUCUCUUUAAGAAGUGGCGGCAGUCUGCGGCAGAUCAAUCGUAAGCGAGUAGCAUAAAAAAGAGAGUCAUCAUCCAGGGGAAUGGGCCUCAUCUAUUUCUCUUUAUCUAUUGUAUAGCCCUAUUUCUCUUUAUCUAUUGGCGGUAUCAGCUUGCCAAAAGGUGCGAAGAAGUUCGAGUUUCUAUAUAUCAGGAGUCCCAGCGGCAGGAGAUCGGAAGCUAUCGGGAUCGGUUGUGGCAGAGAAGAUAAGCCUGAGCCGCCCAUUCAGUUGAGGAAGUUGCUACCUCGAAGCCUUUUCCACCCGUUGAUGGAUCUCUUUUUCUUGCUUGCCAUUCGUGCGGAUGAGAAAGAAGUUCUUUGGGAUCUAUUGAAAUAUGAUAAAUAUCUCAGCUUUUGCUAGCCUCCUUUGAGGUUAGCGCCGCGCAUUCACUCAAAGAUAGGACCACUGGUCGGUACCAGGCGAGAUUCUUAUAAGGAUAGGUUUGAAUAUCAAAAGACGUCAGAACCAGAUAGGAACCGGGGCAGGGAAUAAGCCAAGUGGAGAAAGGAUGAGAGGCCCACGUAGCGCUUAGGGGAAGUCCGAUCAAGGACGCGACUUCUCUGAACCUAAUAAAUACUGUGAAAAGAAGAUUUCCGCUUGAUUUUGCGGUUCUCACUUUUUUUCGUAGAAAGAAGAAAGUCUUCUCUCGAGGUAACUGAACUAAUAGGAGUCGGAUCUCUUUAUCAAAGCAGAAUGAGAAGGAUCGGGGGAAGCGCGAACUCAAUAGGAGAGGAGCAAGAUCCUUUUCUGGAUCGGAAGCUCAGCUCUUGACUUAUUCCCUUUUGAGACAGAACCAAGAAGAAGGACAGGGGGAGGAAGAAGAAUUAGUAGGGCCAGAUAUGGAGCGAAGCGCUAACUAUGAAGAAAAGUAGUAUCCGGCGGGGAGGAAGAGGUUAGAAUAUCGGCCGGUAACCUGGCUACAGAAGCGGAUGAAAUAAAGGGAAGACGAGUCCCCAUAUGGCACUCGGAGAGGAAGGAACCCCACCAGAGGACCGGGAAGGGGAAGAGUAAGCAAGAUGAUCAAGACUUCCAGGUCGUAUGAGAAGAAGCUAGAGGAAUCUGUCCCGGAAUAAGCUCCAGAGUCCGCGCGAACUGAUUGACCGGAUUGGAAGCUAUCCCUGAAGGGGAGGGAUAGGAAUUCUCAUCAGAGUCUUGACUAGAUCUCUUUCAUUCUCAGUUGUAGAAUAGGAGCAGGCGCAAUUCAAUAUGCGUUGACGAGACAUCAAUCGGAAUUCUCAGAAUAGGUUGAGGCUUUACCAUUGGACUGAAAACCCUUUGAACCCACAGAGCGGGAUAGGUUAGAAGAAGCUCGGAAGUAGCUCUUGGCCGAGUUGGCUCGAAUCCGUAGUAGUAGUAGCUCUUUCGCGGGCUAGGCAUUAUUGGGGCCCCGUUGCAGCUUAGUUGGAGUUAUCUUAUGAGGUAAUUGAAUAAGCCCACUCCGCCAUCUCGGACUCGCUUACCGCUCUUCAUUUGCAAAGAUGUCCUUAUCAAUGAGACGACUGAGGCUCCAAGCUAAUAUGGAUAUAAACAAGUCCUUCGGACGUCACCUGGACCCGUACGGAGGUGCAGAUGAGUUUCAUUACGUUGAAUCGGUUCCGCAAUAUUCUUUGCACGUCUGUCGAGCUCAAUUACAUCGACCCGUCCUCUUUAGAGUCCUUCGGACGUCCUCAGUCCUAUUCAACCCAUGGAAUUUCUUCUUUUCUCCUGCUUUUGAUAGAGUGAGAACAGCAGCAUAACCUCAAGCUAUCUACAUAUCCUAUCUUAAUUCAGGCAUUUAUACAAGUCUUCUUUCAUGAUCUCUUUCGUAAAGCGAGAACUCUGAAUUUAGGGUCUUUCGUCGGGUCAGAGGGUCCUUUCUUCAUUCUUUUAUGACUAACUCAUUUAAGUAGUCAGAUCUCGGAGAGAGAACGAGCGGGACCGAGUCUCAGUCAGAAAGGUAGAAAAAAUCUUCUUUGGGCCUCCUACGCUUAAGAUGGGACCGGCAAGACCCAGCAAUAUGAAAAGCUUUGAGCAAUAUUCUUUGUCACGCAUAUUUCAUCAAAGAAAGGUCCAGGGUCCGGAGUGCCAAAGAAAGGUCCAGGGUCCGGAGUCCGCAGGAUUCUUAUCCGGAGGACUAUCCAUAUGGAAGUAGGACUAUCCAUUAGAAGCAGUCCGCAGGAUUUAUCCGUAGUCCGGAGUCCGGAGUCCGCAGGAUUUAUCCGGAGUCCGGAGGAUUUAUCCGUAGGACCAUCCGUAAUUAACCGAAGUAGGACCAUCCAUAUGGGCCAAAGAAAGGUCCAGGUGAUUUAUCCGUAGGACCAUCCAUAUGGAGGGAAGUAGUCCUACGUCCGCAGUCCGCAGGGCCAAAGAAAGGUCCAGGUGAUUUAUCCGUAGGACCAUCCAUAUGGAGGGAAGUAGUCCGGAGGAUUUAUCCGUAGGACCAUCCGUAAUUAACCGAAGUAGGACCAUCCGUAAUUAACCGAAGUAGGACUAUCCAUAUUCAGGAGCGGAAUCCAGAAUAGACCUCUCUUUCUCCGGACCAGAAACUCAAAGUUUGAACAAACUAUGUGAAUUUCGAAAAUCAAAUAGGACAAUGCCUUGCAAUUUCCCGGCUUUUUUGCUUCUUUUUCAUAGUCAAUCUCAUAUUUCUAUUGAACGAUAAAAGUACUUUUUUGACUGAUUUUUCAUGAUUUCUUGCUACUUCCCUAUGGGCAAAACCUAGCAUUUCCCUCCGUCUUCAAUCUAGCAGAUUAAUCUGAAAUCUAGCUCUUCAAUCUAGCAGAUUCAUUUUGAGCUUCUUUAAUUCUCGUUAAUGAGCUCUCUUUUCUUUUCUUUUUUCUUUGAUAGUGAACUUCCACGCAAUAUUCUUUGCGCCUCUAGUAAAGCUUUUUUUGUUGCCAAAAAGAAAGGCGAGAAGACAGGUCCGGAGGCGCGCCAUAAGACAGGUCCGAAGGACUAUCCAUUAGGGGAUUGAGAAUAGCCAAUUAUAUAGAAUCUUUGACCCUCUCCUUGGGACUCCCGGAUUUCCAUACAUAUGUCUCAACUAGGCUAAUCUCAUAUUUUGCAUUUUAGUCAAAUUCUUUGAAAUGAAAAUACCUUUUAAUUAAUAAGCACUCGGUCACGACUUAUGGUGGUAUUUAAUUGAGUAUAUCUACUAACAAAUAUCUUUUUUCAUUCGGCAUCCACUACCAUUACCAUGCGUGGUACCAGCAGUUUCCACUUUUUCUAUACAGAGGAACCUCCCGAGUGGCACCUUUUGGGGGUUCAUUUUCUUCAUGAAAGCAAGAGAGUGCAACAAUCCUUUCCUUUGACACUGGUCCUGUAAACGAGUGAAAAAUGCCUUGUACAGUUUUUCUUUUCCCUUGAAGCCAGUCCAAGAGUUCAGUUCACUCGAAAGCGGCUCUUAGAUAUUUGCUUUGAACCGGUUCCGCCCCACCCCCUUAUAGUAAGUACUGGUGAGAGGAAAAGAGCGCUUCUGCCCUUUACCCAAACAGUACAAGAAUGGCAAUCCACCUAUUGGUGUGCUCCUGCCCUCAACCGACCUGAUCGUCCCAAUCCGGUUGUCCUCACUAAAAAAAGAUCCACAAUCUCUUAUCUAAUUCAUAUGAAUUUCUUAUCUAAUCUUCCUUUGCCUAGCUGCCCAUUGCUAGAACUUCCAGCGCGUCGGGGGGUUGGUGUGGUAAGGCAAGCAACUCCUCUUUCCGAAGAAGAGUGCCGAGCUAUCUUAAAGUAAAGCUCUAACGGUUAGCUAUAGGUAAAGUUCUCCCAGAGCUGGAGACAGAGGCCGCUACUCCUUCAGAAACCGGAAAUCCGCAAGGAAGGAUAGGACAGAGAAUAAGGACCUAAAGUUCUUUGUCGGAUGAGACCGAGAACCGAAAGAUGUCUAUCAAAGAGCGAGAGGGACUGACUAGACCGCUGUCAACCAGCUCUGAAGGUUGCAAAGCCUGACGAGUGCCCCUGAACGGAAGGAAGGAAAGACAGAGAGAACUUUAUCCUAGCUACCGGGGAAGGGGAGAGGAGAACAGAGAUAACCGUCAAACUACGCAAUGGAUAGUCCGAAGGCAGGAAAAAUAGGGCAAUAUUCUCAAUAUUCAAAGAGCCCUUCUUUCUCUCUCCAUUUCAUGCGCCUCAAAUUCUUUGAGCCUCUCCUCCAAAGUCAAAUUCUCUAAUGGAUAGUCAUCUGCACCUUUCAGUCGUCCGGAGGCAGGUCGCAAUAUUCUUUGCGCCUCGUUGCGCUCCUUAACAGUCCGGAGGACUAUCCCUCAAAUUCAAAGAGCCUACGGACGACUGAAAGGUGCGAAGCAAAGAGCGCGAGACUAGAGAGGAGAGGUGCAAAGAAUAUUGCGAGGAGUGCAAGGCGCAAAGAAUAUUGCCGGCCUGAGGCGCAUCAAAAAAAGGGUUGAAGAUGAGCUUGAUUUUUCAUUGAGCCUGAAGUAGAGAAACCUACAAAUAAGAGAAUACCUGCCAAAAGCUUCACCUCGGUCAACCUUUGGAAUACAGAUUGUCGAGCCGCCGACAACUCCCAGGGUUCACUAAAACAGAGGUACUCCGCGAAAGACUAUUGAGUGACCUGUCGAGCUAAUCCGACACCAAGUGGGCCGCACCUCUGAGGACUCAAUAUGAAAAAAAUCUUCGGUCGCAGAAAGUCUUUUAAGAAAAAGGCUUUCCCACUUAUUGCUCACAACAGGAUAACUGAAACCUCCACUGCAACUACCAUCGUUAGGGGCUUAGCUUACAACAGGAACUGCGGAUAUAUCUUUCUCUUUUGCCUUAAAGACAGAAGAACUAUCAUCAAUAUGGAUCAAAAUCAGUCCCACUAUUUCAACUUUGCGACUGAGUAGGCGAGUGUCCAGGUGGUCCCUCAAUAAUAAGGGAUAGCUCUGACUUUGAAAGCUAAGAAAUCUUUCUAUUCCUUGAAACUGUCUUCCCGACAGUGCUACCGCGGAGUGGGGUUGAAUCAAGCUAUUAGCGAUAUGGGAUUGAGAAUGAAUUUGAGAAUUCUAUUUCUGGUGAGAUUAGAAUAUUGUCAAACUAUGCGGGCCAAUCGGAAAUUCCUUCUUUGCCAUAAAUUGAACUCUCAAUUGGGGAUGGGUUCAGCUUCUUCUGUGUUUGGAAAUAGCGGGUGGCUGUCUUAUCCGCCCGGACAAGAAGUCAAGGUAAGCUUCCAAAGCUCCCUCCUGCCCGCUGACUGGCCACGAUAAUAAUGAAAGGAAGAGUUUGAGCCACAACUAUUUAUUAUAGUUGGCAAGGCUUUUUCGGGGACUAGCCCGCUUCCCAUUACUCGACGAGGGAAAUUCCUCGCACAUAAUUAAGGGAGCCAUUGAAAGGUGACUGAAAGACCAGAAAAAAGAAACUUACCCACCCUGAUAGAGGCAAGAAGACUUUCCGGCCAGGCCUGACUAUAACCAACCUCACAGAUCCCACUCAAUCUUUUACACCGAUGUAUCAUACUCGGAAGACCAGGUCAUCAUAAGAAAAUACUGCUAAAUCUUUCCGAAGUGAGAGAAGGCGCAAAGAUCGUGGCCCACUCCUUCGGUUAAUUACGGAUAGUCCUACGGAUAAAUCCUGCGGACGUAGGACUUCUUCUUCUUUAAAAAGAAGGGUCCAGGUGACCGUCCUUCGCAAAUUCUUUGCGCCUAACUACGGGUGCAAAGAAUAUUGCGAGUUGAAGAGCCAGCUGAAAAAGGCUAGCUAGCUAGGCUAGCGCGCAAUGGCUUUCUCUGCCUUGGGAAAGCUUCUUCAAGCUCCGCCCAACCUAUACAAGGUGCUGCUCGCUUUCUCUCAGCCACAAGUGGCUUAUUUAUGUAGUGGUCGGCAUUCCUACGUGCUCCUCCUUUCCUUGCUCACCGACUGAAUAAUCUAAAAGUGAGAAAGGGAUGUUGUCGUGAGGCUUUGGUGUAGAAGGUUGCCGGGGUCUAGGUUUAUGGAUGGAUUCAGUCAACGAAAGUCCCUCAAACUCAAUCAAGAUCAACCACUAUUUGAACCUCUCCCCUUUGAAAAGAAAGUAGGAGAAGGGGGUUCAUUUCUUAGUAAACCUCCGGUGCUGGUAAGGUCGGGACCGUGGUCGUCCGUCUCCGCUUUGCCGGCCGAUAAGAUCUUUGAGAUUGACCAGCCAGCUGGGUUGCUUUGGCUAUUCCUUUCUAUUGAAAAGGAGUCAGCUGUCUGCGCGAGUAACCUUCUGAUAGGCUUCGCUGGACGACACGGCAUUCUCGUUCAAAUAUAGGCCGGCCGUACUUGUGAUGGUUCCCAAGGAUCCAAUAUGACCACUUAGGUCUACGUUGCCACGAUAUUGUUCUAUGGAAGCGGGCGGGCAAGUUCGGCCCGGUUUUUUUUGUCUCGUAGGGGAGGGAUUGACCUUUCUAACGCAUAUUCAGUCGUACCGGCAUGGCCCCACUUUUUCUCGAUCGGAGCAUCCAGCAGCGCAACCCGGUUCUACUUGACUAAGCCCCGUGCUCGUCCAAGGAGGGAGUUUGCUUUACCCAACUCUCUUUUUGAUAAGAAGGCGGAACCCCCCGACCCAAGAUUCAUUAGUUUCUCAUGAUCAAUAAGGCAACUGCAAGCAUCUACUCCUAGAGAAAUGAAAAGCGGAGCUUUAGGCUUUACUAAUAACAAGGUAAGGCCGGGAGCUCUAGCUUUACAAGGAUAGAGCUUAGAUAGGGACCUUUCUUAUUAUGAGUAUAAGGUUUGAAAAAGGCGUAGACAAGAGAUCAAUGAACGAUCAAUGAACAAGGUGAAAGCAAUCAAAAAAGUUCAGACUCGACCGCCUUGAUUCUGCCUCCAAAAGCAUUGAACCGAAGGUGCAAAGUGCGGCUAUGAGAAAAUAGCGAGACCUGUCUCAUUGAUAAGGACAUAUAUAUUAGCUUUCUGGCUUUCUUUUCUUAUGAGAACUCUGAUGUCUCAAAGAUUCCACAGGUCCGAAGGACAGACAGGUUAAUAUGGAUAGUCCGAAGGACGGGAUUUCUUUCUCACGCAACCCCGCAUAUUUCAUUCCGCCUUCGGACCUGUCUUAUGGCACCUCUCAACAACAGUUCUUCCCGCUCAAAUUUCAUUCAGCCUCCAAAGUCAAAUUCUCUAAUGGAUAGGCCUUCUCGCAAUAUUCUUUGCGCCUUCCAGUCGCUUCGCUUCGGGCCUCCGUAGCUUAAUAUGGGGGAUGGAGGAGGACUAUUCGCUAUUCUAAUAUUUACGGUAUAAACAAGUCAAAAGGACUUUUUAUCAAUGAUCUUUGCUCCUCCGGACUACUUCCUUCCAUAUGGAUGGUCCUACGGAUAAAUCCUGCGGACUCCGGACUAUCCAUUAGAGGAGUGUGAGUGCAGAGGCAAGGACGGUUUUCAAAGCAAAGAAAGCCCUAUACAUGAAUUUCAGGCGGUCUAAAAGAGGUUUUCAAAAGUCAGACUAAUCAAUGAAAGAGGAGAAUCUUUGGAGAAUGAAGAGGUCGGCUAAUAUAUAGGUAAUAAGGAAAAGUGACCCACGGAGCGGAAUAAAGUCAAUGAACAGGUCCUCCGGACUAUCCAUAUUAACCCUUGAAGGAGAUUGAUGCCUCCAAGAACAUUCAGUUCCAUAAAGAAGUCCGCCUUUUUUUAGAGGACGAAAUUGAGUGUCGAGCUAGUAGGAAGAAAAAGAUCUUUUUUAUCUAAAGAGCGUAGUAGAAGUCUGAAUUCUGCAUUCUCUCUUUUUUUUGCGGAGCUCCUUUUUAGUGGACGCUACUUGAUUAUGGGGGGAUGAGACUCUACCCUAAUCACUUUGAUUCCAUUGACUUUGAUUCCGUCCGGAUUGCUCGCCUUCUCCGCCAUAAGAAUGAAAUUCCAUAAAGAGGUCCAAGAACAAUCAGUGGAAUUCUCACAAGUCCGACUAUCGAUGAACCCUGUAAGUCGUUCUAACCUCUCGGUUGAGUACAUCGACCCUUUCCUCUAAUACGCCCUGAUUCUAGUAGACGCGUCGACGUCUUUUGAAAGGACUUGCUUUGGUAUAGGCUUUGAAUAAGGCUCGUUCCCGGCGCUCACCUUUUUUGGCUGAAAUCGCGAAUUGGUAAAGACCCACCCCUUGUUUCAGUCAGAAUGAGUCCCCGGGACCCCGGGACAUUGGCUUCCGCCAACAGUGGACUAUUAAGGAUCGCAUCCCGCGCAUAUUCUACAUUAUAGCCUGCAACUGAUUCAGCUUCCGCUUCUGGGAGAUCAAAGGGAGCUCGAUUAGUUUCUGCUAGACGAGAAAUAAAGAACAUAACCAAUACAGGGAACAAGGGAAUACCGGACCAUAUCUGCUUUUGCGCCAUGACAAUCUCACUCGAAUUACGGGGACCUACACAUAUUAGUACAGUAUACCGGGGUCCCCGGCCAGAACCACACGUGCAAGUUUCCCUGCAUGUGGCUCGUCCGUGCUUUCCGAGGCGCUGCCUGCUGUGACUCAGCAUGGGAGAAGGGGGCGGAACUGCACACUUGAGUGUGAAGAGCACUCUGAAGUGACUGACGAAACUGAUCAUUCUUCUUAUGCUUCCGAAACAUCUGACGAAAGAUCUCAUACGAACAAGAAAGACCUAUGAAACUCUUAUUCAUGAAAUGACCUCAUUACCUCUUUGAAUGCCUUUAUCUCAAAGUUCUAGCUUGAGCUUUCUUGACGACUGGGCUGGUUCCUCGCCAACAAAUUGGAUUUCGAUCUUGGGGAAAGCCCCAGGAAAGUCUAGGUUGGCUUCCAGCUCCAUCUCGGCCGGCAUCCUGCUCUCGAGGGGGUGGAGUCCUGGAGCGAACUACUCAUUGCUGUCUUGCCCCAAUCCCUUGAAGGGCUUUUGGGGAGGAGCAUUGUUGGAGGGAAAGGCGUGGUUGACAAGCCACUUCGAGGAGGCGACUGGACUGGAGUGCUUUCAUCAAGCAUGUGGGCUGAGCCAUUCCCACCACUUGGGGUGGCCCGAUUCGGCCUGGUCGGGAAGAGAUGAAGAUAGAGACUCUUACGUUACGGGAAUCUCUUUCUAUGUUAGCGGGAGGGGGCCUUCCUAUGGUAGUCCCGCUGCGGCCUCUGACCGUCCGUCCCGUCUCAUCUUUCUUUGGCUAUACUUGGAUGUAGCCAGCCAUCUUAGCUUCACAUGAGAGAGUUAGCCUUUAAGGCUCUGCACUCAUCAGUCAGCUCGGCCCCUUUCCUAUUCCCCUUUGCCGCCUUUUAAGAGAAUAGGUCCCGUUGAAGCGGCCCGCCUUUAUGAAUCUAUACCAGCUGCCACGCACGACCCAAUAGGAACUAUCAUGAAACUCGAAAGAAAGAAGUUGAAAACAUAAGAUAUAAGUCCCAUAAAUAAGAGAGACGGACGUAGAAUAUUGCUCGGAAACUUCAGCAUUAUUAGGAGAUAGAUAGGGGAGGGUCCGAAGCCUUAAUUUGACUUCCAUUGACUUUUUCUUCCUUCCAUAAGGACUCAAACCUUUGUUCAUUGAUUCAGUCCGAAGGACUUCGCAAUAUUCUUUGCGCCUCUUUGAGCCUCCCCAUUUUUUCUUACGCCUGGAGAUACUUUCUUCUAGAGGAGAAGGCCUGAAUAUGGAUCAAAAUCAGUCCCACUAUUUCUUAAUAUGGAUAGUCCUCGAAUAUGAAUUCAUCCUCCGUUAGGCGCAAAGAAUAUUGCGUGGAACCACCCGGAGAGAAGGUUUUUUUUCCAUUAAUCAGUCCCUCUUUUCAAAGUCAGAGCUAUCCAAAAUCAUGAAGCAGAAGGCUCAAAGAAUUUGAGGAUAAGGGAUAUUGAUUCUUUGGUCCUUCGCCUAAGAAUAAGGUUCAAAGAAUAUUGAACUCAUGAAUAUGGAUCAAAAUCAGUCCCACUAUUUCUUAAUAUGGAUAGUCCUUCGCAAAUUCUUUGCGCCUAACGGAGGGAUAAAAACAAGUGAAAAAUAAUGGAAAUAAGGGUCCUAAAGUGGGGCGCAGUUGAGGAGGCUCCAUAAGA
rnacentral:lncRNA from 1 species